GACAUCCAGCUCGCACGCCGCAUCCGUGGCGAGAGGGCCUAAGCUCUGUUCGUCGUCGUCUUAGCCAGAUGUGUUCAUCGGUGGAAAUGUAGUGUGCCUGAUCUGAUGUCACCAUCUUGCUGUCAUCAGUAAUUUAAAUGAAAAAUGUUGGCUAUCUGUUCUAAGAUCUGUGCCUUUUGAUGCCUGUUUUUGCUUGUAUGUGAGCCUGUCAGUGAUCGUGAGUGACCAAAUCGUGCAUUCUAUUAUCCCAACUCGUGAAAUUUUCUGCCGGUUUAUGCUACUGUGUCAUAAAUUGCUUCAAGUUUUUAGCUUAAACGGUGCCUCUGGCUGCAUUAAGUUUUGUAAUCACCAGUAAUUUUGUUGAUUGCCUCUGAACCUGAAUGAACAACCUUGGCUCAUUCAGUUUUGUGUGUCCAUCUGCUUUAUGUUGUUUUAGCCUGGCUGUUUUAUUCUGUAUUUCCUUUUGAUCCCCGUGACUGCUGCAAUCAACUCACCUGUACCAUGAUGCUAACAACUGGUAAAUUAGGAUCUAGACAAGAGAUGUUUCUAUUUUGCACUGCUCAUACUGUACAUACUGUCUUCAAUAAAACUAUCAAAUUUUGUGUCGCAUGCCAUGAUCCAUCUUGAUGGAUUUCUUGCACCUGCAAAUCACAGCUUCAUGGUGUUGUCAACAGCGUAGUUGAGGCAGAAGGUGUAACCAAAGAUGAUGCAGGCGAAGCUGCUGCAUAUCAGAAAGGUGAACACAUGUUCGCCUGUGUUAAGAUCUUAAUGCUUCCCUGCAGAGCAAAAAGGUUCGACAACCAUGAGAUCCUAGCUGAGGAGGUGUGAUACUGCAUGUUUUUGUAACAGAAGGUCCUCUGAACUUUAGAACGUGUUUUUAGCUCUAACAUGUCUUAAGAUCCAUUUGCACAUAUUUCUGUUGGCAUCUAGUAGUUUACAAUUUACAUGCAUCCAGAUCCGAUAGUGAUGAUGAAGCUCUAAAGAAUGGAUUGCUUACAAAAAAGUAUCACAUGAUCGAUGAAGAUGAACCAGUACUAGAGAAAGCCAUUAGGUAAUUUAUCAUUUGAACUCACAUGCUCUAUUUGUAUUAUUUUUCCCACUAUUUUUUCUGUUUUGGCGGUUUUCCAGUACUGAAAUUAUCCUUGGAAGCGCUUGGCACAGAAGGUGCUAAAAUAGAAGCCAAAGAAGGGGUCAAAGAAUGAUAUACCUAUAACAAGUAAAUAAACAGCUCAACUGCAUUGUAUCAGUGAGGAGUGAACGUACGGGAAGUAACAGUCUGAUCUUAAAAAUCAAUGCCUGUCUCGGUGUCUCCUGAUUUCAGCAAACGUUUUGGUUUAUCCAUAUCCCACUGGAAGAUUUCUUGCUGAAAAUGUUUUCAAAAUUUUUGGGUUUCAAAAUAUCCUGCGGAUAAACACGUUCUUUUGAAGGGAAGGUUUAAACAUAUCCAUCCAUCAAUGCAUGUUUGGGUUAGACAGGUCCAAAGAGAUCUUUAGGACCUGAAUUUGAUGCUUUAUUGGCCAUACAGUUUUUCCAACAUUCAAAUGUUCUUAUUAUCUUACACAAUAACAAAAAUACUUCGCAACACCUCUUCUUUAUUUGCCCUCUGCUUGUUUUUUUCUUCUUCAGUAGACUGCUUCUCAACUAAAGAAUUGCCUUCCACAGUCGAGAAGGGUCAGAGACUACAUAUAUUGACUAUUCCUGUUAGAACGGAUUAUUAACGCAGCAAGAAACUGUAUAGUAACUUGAAACUAUUGUCAAUAGACAUAUUGCGGACCAGCAUGAAAGUCUCAGCUAGUACCUUUUGCAGAAUAAACACAUUCCGUUCCUAAAUAUAAGCCUUUUUAGAGAUUCCAGUAUGGACUACCACGGAGCAAAACGAGUGAAUCUACACUCUGAAAUAUGUCUAUAUACAUCCGUAUGUAGUCCGCAUUGAAAUCUCUAAGAAGUCUUAUAUUUAGAAACUGAGGGAGUAUAUGAGUUGGCUCUAAAAAACUUUGGUGCCUUUAAAUACAUGUAUAGAAAAAGAAAUCAAAAGUAGUUUGAAAAUCAUGCAGAUAUCUGAAGAGCACUUUAGAUUCUCUCUUUGGCAUCAAAUUUACAAGGCAAAUCCCUCAAAAUUCAGAAACUAUAACUUGCAUUGCAAUUAUGCCCCUUUCUCUUUUGUUAUCACUACUACAACAUAUCUGAAAAAGAGGUUAGAGUUCAGAGAUGCAAAUAGCACCCUAUAUGUUGUUAAAGAGAGACUGAGAGGCACUUAUAUAAUCCUGCACCCUUAUGAUCAUGAAAAUGGAAUUGAAGGAAUGCUGCACGUUCACCAUUUAGCUCCAAUCAAGAAAAAUAUGUGUAACAUACCAGCCACAUUCAGAAAUAAAAGGGGUCUACUGUAGGGUAAGUCAAUUCCCAAGUUUGCUAAGAUAGACGCCAUUUCGUAACUUGCAGUACUCUCAAGAGUAAAAAAAAACUGCUUGGGAUUGACGAACCUUAUCUGAUUUUUCACUACCCUUACUCAGCUCAGAUGUCCAGGAAUCAGGUAGCUGUUCCUUGGACCAACAAAAAAUGCUUGUUAGCGAGGGCUUUGCACAAGAAAUGUAAAUGUAGGUAAGUUAUAUAGGAGCCAGUGCAUUCUCCUUUCAUGUUUGUACCCUUCCUUGUUUUCCUGAUAUAUAACCGUACCUGUAUGUUUGAUGUCCAAUGCGCAGAUUCUUGGAAGGGCCUCCUGAUGGUGACACGCUUGCCCUGUCUGAUGGCUUCAGCCUACAGGCGAUCCUAGCUGACACUGUGCCUCCAGUUUGUGUUUGGAUGGCCGAUGCAGUUUUGUUGACUGCUGUAUGUUUGUUCAUGGGUCAUGGACUAUUUUUGCUUCAUGAAUCAUGAUUAAUAAUGUCCUGAUGGGCGCUGAACUAAGAUGUUUUCAGUUAUGUUUUUGUGCUGCAACAACUAGCAUGAUCUAGUCCAUAGAGAUCUUGUAGGAUUAAUUAUGUUAGCAUUGUAUUUUCUUAUUAUUAUUUUGUGAAUCUACUCUUGAAUGAAGAAGUAAAGUCACUGUAAUGUUGUGUGGCUGUGAACAAUGGUAACCUUUCGCUAUGGUGUAUAAUAAGUCAUUCCCAAUUUUCUUUAUGUCUCUGAACACUGCAUUUCUUCGUCAAUCUUUCUAAAGGAAUUGCUGUAGUGAUCUUUCUAAUAUUGUGAUAACUCGUGUUCGUUUUUAUCUUCUACUAGUAGACAAUUGCUGCUGCAAGCACAAAGAAAAAUGAAUCCAUGGCUUGAGGGAGCUCCAGAGCCAGCUGAAGUAUAAGAAUAUGACAGUGGAUGUGAAAGCAACUUCAGACUCGACUGCAAGAGCAUCUCCAAUAGCCGCCCAACACGCGGCGCGCUAAAAAUCAGUUUGCAGCGUGCCGAUCGCCUGGUUUGGCGCGGCGCGCAGCGCUGGCUCCAGCAGUCGCGGUAAAAUGCAGCCAUUACCUUGUAAUUGUAUAAAGUGCCUAUCAGCCAUUACCUUGUCUCCCACGUACUUUUACAUGUCUCAAACUUGGAGUCCACAGCUUCUGUAUCCGUGUCCGUGAUACCCAUAAGGUAUUAUCACAUUUACUUUUGUAAAUUCAAUCUAUGUGAUCUCUAUGGACUUCCUGAUCGUGCUUACACCGUACGCACCUUAAUUUCCACCUCUAGAACCAAGACAACUUCUAAAUCCAUUAAUAAGGGCCAAUUUAACAUGUGCAGUGAUGAACCAUCUAAACAAUGCAGGCACUUUUAUUCCACAACAAGUGAGAAUCACAAGUUCACAACUACAUUAAGUAAUUAAUAUAACUUGAUGAUGAUCCAUGCGUCUGGAGAUGACGCCGACAUACGUCGUUUCUCCCCUAGGUUAACGAGGCGCCGCACGGUGUGAUGAUUCAGGUGGAUGACCGUCGUAGGCGGCAAGGCGAGAUAGAGCUGCGACGACGGCGCCGAUGGGCGAUCUCAUGUCCGGCUGUUGGUGGAUGCACAUGAAAGUAACUUUCAGUGCCUCCUGCAAAUCCAUGGACGGAUACCGGCCCUGCAGUGCUGGAUCUGCCAUCCGGCGGAACUGGCUCCUGUCCAUCAAUCGUGUGGCCUGAUCCAACAACAAGCUUCACACCAUUCACGGCCAAAUUAACAAGAAACAACAAAUAUGUGAACCACCAGCUUGGCUAAUUAACCUAUCCAUGUGACAAGGUGCGAAUCCUCGGCUGGCUGGGCGCGGUCGAAGGCCCUCCGCCCCGUGAUCAUCUCUAGAAGUAGGCCGCCGAAGCUGUACACGUUCGACUCCAUGGUCGCCUUCCCUGUAAAUGCUAUCUCGGGGGCAAUAGUACCGGUUCUGGUGACAUCGAUACACAAUUCCUCGUCAUCCUCUGCAACUAUCCGACCAAGGUUUGUGAGUCCAUACUGGGACAGCUUUGGGUGGUGGCCGUCUCCGAGCAAGAUGUCCGAGCUGCUCAUGAAUCUGCGGUACACCACACCUUUGUGGUGGAGGUACUCUAAACCCUUGGCCACGCCGGCAGCUAUGUUCAUCCUUGUGUUCCAGGCUAGCAGUGCUUGGCCCGGAGACCGAUCUGAUGAGCACAAGAUCUUAAUUAAUUAACACAAACUCAAGCGAUCGAAUCAUGAGUGCUCUCAAAACUACGGUUUGGACUUUGGAGUGCCAAUAAGUACCAUGGAGGUGAUUUUGGAGAGAGCCUAAUUGCAUGUACUCGUGAACCAAGAUCCUGUGAUGGCCAUCCGCGCAGAAGCCAACAAGGUUGACCACAUUCGGGUGGCGCAGCGCGCUCAGCGUCAUGACACGGGCAAGAAACGCCCUGUUGAGUUGCUCUGAUGAUGGUUGACUGGGAUCGAAACGGCUUGACUAGAGAACCCUUUCCUCCUCCACAAGAAACGUCUCCUUCCUCCUCCCGUCGGCGCCGCCGCAGAUCCGCCCCGCCUCCGAUGGCCUUUGGCCUAUGGAGGUGCGGAGGAUCUCGGCCCCCCGCCGGCGGGAGGGACCCCGUUCUUGUUUUUGCUAGGUUGAACGUCUUGGUUGGGGCUGUUUGGCGGCGGCGAUAUCCCUCCGUAGCAAUAAUGUCUCCCACGUCCUAUCUCCGCCCCGAUGGUGCGAAUAGCGUUGUCGGAGGAUGUGUGGAGGUGUGUCUUCGUCGGAUUUCAUGGGAUUCGGUCGGUGCUGGUCUUCGGUGGAUCUCUUUGGAUCCAGUUUUUGUUUGUCUUCGUUCGUGUGGUUCCAGGUUUGAUCUUUCCAAUCUACAACUCUCUUCAUCGGCGAUGGUUGCUGCUCCGGUGUGUUGGUCCUUUGGGGCCUUAGCACGACGACUUCCCGACUGUCUACUACAACAAGGUUUGCCCGGCUCCGGUGAUGGAGGGGUGAUGACGGCGGCGCGCCUUCGCCUCGCUCCAGUGCUUGUAGUCGUCCCUAGGUGGUCCAUAGACCUAGUUGUAAUUUUUAUUACCUCUUGUGUUCUCUGUACUGCCAUGAUUGAUGAAUAGAUUGGAAAUUUCUCUCGAAAAAAAGAUGUUGACUGGGAUCAACGGCAUGCUGCAGCUUUAUAGCAACGACCUACAAGACGAAUGUGAUGGAUCCACUCACACAUCAAUUUCCCCCUCACAUCAAACUGAUGAGUAAAAAAGGAUGAGCUAGCUAGCCAGGAAAGGAUCGUCACCUGCUUGACGCUCUUGAGGUAGCCUUUGUAGAGACUCCCCUCCCGAACGACGCGGAAGUCGUCUCUGAAGUUCCUGGUCGCCGCCGCGAGCUCGUCGAAGGCCAAGGCUGGUGCCGUGGCGGCGACACUGCUGCGGCUGUGCGGAUCGGCAGGGCGAGGCGGCAGGGCCUCCUUCUUGCUUGCCUCCAGGCCGCCGAGGAAGCAGCUCACUGGGCCAGGCCCGACGGAUGCAAAAUUGGGCUCCCAGCCAGGCUGAGCGGAAACGCAGGGAUCGGUCGUUUCCGCGAGCCAGGCCCGCGCCUGCACCCGCGCGUGCAAAGUCGCGAGCUAGGUCUCGUCUUCCGGUCCUGUCGGCUCGCAUUUUCCCCCGCUCCCCGCCGCUCUCUUCUCUGAUGCGACGCAUUUGGAUCUCGUCGUCCUCGCUGCAUCUACCGUUCGCCGUCGCAUCUCCUCACCGGUGCCAAGGUAAAGCUCUCCUUCUCUCUCUCCCCUUCCUCCUGUCCCAAGUUCUAGUCCCUCCCUACCAUCCCCAGCUUCUGGCCACCUGCUCGCCGUCGCUCGCGGCCGCCCGGCCGGUCGUGAGAGCAACCACGGGACUUCGGCGGCACGUAGACCACGGGCGCGCGUGCACCGGCCUGGCACUCGCGGCCGGCCGCCUGAUUUGCCUGUGAGAGCUGCUGCCAACUAGAUCCACGCAUGUGAGCAAGCACGGGAUGUGCCCUUGCCAUUGAGCAGCUUGAUCUCCUGUUUGAUUCGGCCGCUGGCCUUGUAGAGGCCCGAUCUGGUUGUGAGAUCCUAUGGAUUAGAGAUGAUUCUGCAUAUUUUUUUGUUAACUUCAUGAAUAAUUUCUGUAUAUGUUCCUUUUGAUUUGACCAGGAUAAAGAAGAACUAGAGAUCAGCUAGCUAGAGGAAGAAGAAGAAGAUAGACAAGCUAGUUUGUUUUGUAUUUGUGCUGUUGGGAUUAAGAGAUCAGCUAGCUAGAGUAGAUAUUAUAGACAGUAAAGGGUGCCUUCAGAGCUGUUCUGUGUAUGUAUGCAAAAUAUAGGACCUUGUGAAUGUUGACAAUGGAAUACACAGAAGUACAUCAAUUUUCAUUUGUUUUCUUUCCCUGUUUAGCUGCCUCUUUGAUUCCAAGGAUUUCAUAUGAAAUUGCAGACAUUAUGAUUUCUUAUAUGUAUUUGAUAAUAUUAGUUUACUUCAAUCAUCAAAGAUAUCUGAGUUGGAGUGCAUGUCACCAAAACAGUCUUCUAAUUAUUUUGCAUACAUGUACAAGUACCUAGAAUCAAAUUCCACAUUUAUCAUAUAUUUGGCCUCAUGCAGCCUACCAAACAACAUCUGAGGUGAGCCUGGCCCAUAUCAUGCAAGUACACCAAACACACAUCUCGACUCCAUCUUGCAUCAGAUGAACCAGGCCAGCCCCAGCCAAGCUCCCUCAUACGAUGCAGGCUGGAUGCACCCAGGAAACCAAACACGCCCUAUGUGUAUAUAUCUGUUUGGGGCGCCGUGAAGGAAACCAAACAUGGCCACUCCGUUUAAUUGAUGGCUGCCCUACCACGUAGUACUCCAUCCGUUUCGAAUUACUUGUCGCAAGUAUGGAUGUAUUUUAGUUCUAGGUACAUCCAUUUCUGCGACGAGUAAUUUGGAACGGAGGGAGUACCUUUUUACUACAGCGGCUGGAUGGAAUUUAACCACAUGAGCUAGUAAAAAUAUAGUAUUGUACUACUUCAGAGGUUAGGUGGAGGUUGAUAGUUGGGGGGAGGGACGUUGAUGCCCGCAGUGCAUUUAGUUGCUUGGUGGGGUAAAACUCGUAGCUAAGUGAAAACCGAAUUCUUACGAGUUAUACGUUGGCGGGGAAGGAGUGAUGAAAACACAAAUUAGCUUAUUCUCGUCCGUGGCCGUUCAUUAACGUAGAAAAACACACACAAAGACCCAAAAGAUGGGUUUGAAUGCCGAUGAUAUACAAGGCAAAUACAGCCAGUAAAAGAAAAUCUUUUUUUGUGUGGGAGAAAGUAAAAAUUACUGGUUGUGCGGAUAGAGCAGCUAAACCUGCUGGAUUUGGUGGUGUCAUGUGGAGAUUUCUUAUAUCCGGUAAAGUACCAUUUACAUUAUGCAGUGCCUUGUGUCUCAUGCCUGCAAUGGGUCCUUGCUCUCAUGUCUGUUCUAAGAUCUGUGUCCAUUGAUGCCUGUUUUUCAUUGUUUGUGAGCCUGUCGUUGAAGCAUUUCAUUACACCAACUCGUGAAUUUUCUGUCAGUUAUAGCUAAUGUGUUGUAAAUUCGCAAUCACCAGUAAUCUUUUUCGGUUGCAUGUGUUGUAACCAAAGAUGACUCAUAUUGCUGCAGAUCAGAAAGGUGAACAUAUGUUGGCUUGUUAAGAUCUGUUGAGCAAUUUUUUAUGCUGGAAAAAGAUCAUGUAAUGAAAAGGAAUGUAGGCCAGUCUUUGUCUCGUUCAUAAUCACUGCUUACCUGCAGAGGAAAAAAGCAUGCCAGAUUUCUGGUUUAGUGAAUUGAAGAACCAUGAAAUCCUAGCUGAGGUGAGACACUGCUGUUUUUUGCAAUAGAAAUUCCUUCUCUUAUGAACUGUUGAACAUGUUUUUGCUCUACAUAUCUUAAGAUCCAUCUGCAUAUAACUUUCGUUUGGCACCUAUUUUAUCGUUUACAUGUACCAGGUCCAAGAAAGACGGGCGAGCUAACUCUUAAGUAUCCCAAGGUACAGAAUUAGUGAGGCAAAGGGGUUACAAGCUUGAGAACGAAGUGCUUACAAAAAUGCAUCACAUGACCGAUGAAGACGAGCCAAUCUUAGAGAGCGCCGUUGUUUAGUUACUUUUUGAAACUCACAUGUUCUAUUUCCUAUUAUCGAUUGUUCCAUUAAUGUCUAUGUUCUGGUAAUUUUCAAGUACUGAAAUUGAAUGGUACCCUGGAAGUGCUUGACACAAAAAGCGCUAAAAAGAAGUCAAAGAGGGGGCCAAUAAACGGCAAGCCUAUCACGAAAAUCGAAAACAGCGGAGGCUUCUUUAAUUUCUUCAGUCCACCUCAAGUUCCUGACAAUGAUGACGAAAUUGACUAGGAUACAGGAAGCUGGACCUCCUUUUAUGUAUGCUCUUAUGCUGAAACUUCUGCAUGAGCAUGAUUUUAUUUAUCUCUCAUUGCAGUACUGCAGUUGCCUGCGGGUGGAUAGAUGUGCUAGGUCGUCAGUUUGUGUCGAGUGGUGGAAAUGCCGUGGUGCUGUAGUAAGUUACAUUGUUCUGUUCAUUUGCAAUGGAAAAGCGUUCAGCCCGGUUAAAAAAAAGAGUUACAUUGUUCUUGCCGUGGUGGCUGCGUUUAAUGGCGUGGUCUGAUGGUAACAUCCUUUUGUCAUCAGCAAGUGAAAAGUUGGAUAUCUGUGCUCAUACAUGUGCUUUUCAGAUUUCAGUCCAUGUUUUUUCCUUAUACGCCUGCCCUCGAAUGCAAAAUUUCGUAAUCCAGUAAUUUAAUCUGUUCCCUCUGAACCAGAACGAAGAGCGUGUUAAUAUGCCUGUCUUGUGUUCGGUGCACCGACGAGUUGCAGGACAGUAGAUCUGUUUUUUCCUUGCAUCUGACUUGGCAUUUCCUCGAAUGUGAUUAACUAAAUGAUUCCCAGUUCCGUGUAAUAUAUCUCUUGGCAGCGUCAAAUUUUAUAUUCAAUCAUCUGUUUUGCAAGUACCUCUGAACCUGAAUGAACAGAUGUUAAAACGCUCCUUCAGUUAUGUGUUACAUAACAGUAGCAGUAUGUUUGAUGUUCAGUGUUCAGAUUCUUUGAAGGGCCACAUGUUUGUCCUGUCCGAUGACUAGAGGUGAUCCUAGCUGACCCUAUGCCUGCCAUGGGCGCAUGCAUGUCCAUUGCAAGUGUUGUAUGUUUGAUCAUGGCCAUGGGGUCACUGACUAUGUUGUUUCAUGAUUGUAAUAUCCUGAUGGGCGCGGAACUAGAAUGGUUUCAAUUAUGUUUCCGUGCUGCAACAACUAGCAUGAUCUAGUCCACAUAUAUCUUGUAGGAUUAAUUAUGUUACUAUAUUUUACUUUCUGGCUGCCAGCACAACGUUUCUUGGUCAAUUGUUGUGCUGACCUGUCUAAUGUUGCAAUAAGCUGUUAUUCGGUUUCAUCCUCUAGACUUGCUGCUGCUGCGAGCACAAAGAAAAAUAAAGCCAUCUUUGAGGUAGCUCCACAGCCAGCUCAAGGACAUGAAUAUGCAAGCAACUUCAGACUCGAGUUUAACUUGUUUCCUUCUCUCUUAAUUAGUCUUUUUUUUUUUGAUAAAAGAAGGUCUGUGCACCCUUCUGAUUUCCAUUAACGAAAACCAUAGAGUUCUGGAGCUACAAGGAUAAAAAAGAAAAAACCAACGACAAACUGCUCCUCAGCUUCAGCAGAACUGGGAAGCAGGACUAAGCGACCACGCGAACCAAACCUACUACAUCAUCAAUCCUGAGUUAUAUAUUAAGUUCAUACAUUCAUCCAGGCUAAGGGCCUCAAAUCCCAAAAGACGGGGGAAACAACUGAAAAAACAGGUAAACAAAAGCGAGCAGAUCUUCAUUCCAACCGCGCCACGUUGAUUCUCCACCCUUGAGAAGCUGCAUAAACCUCACUUGCUACCCGCUCUAACAGUCUUGCCCCCAGCUCCAACGCCUUUUUUGUUUGCUCCUUUAUCUGCAAAAUAGACCAAUCCACCAUCCAAUGUGUCAUCAGUUUGAUUAAAGUCAUAGGAUCAGAGAUUCUUUUUUUUUUCAAAGAUGAUCCCAUUUCUAGAUUUCCACAGAGCCCAGCAUACUGCAACAAUCCCCACCAACACCAGUUUCUUAUCCUCUGCUCUAAAUGUGUCUAACCAUCCCCCAAAACAAUCAUGGACUGAAGAUGGGGUUCUUCUUAGUCCAAAUGAGCAUUUGAUUAAGCUCCACAUUAUAGAAGCAGCUGAACAGGUAAAAAAGAUGGUCCACCGAUUCAUCUUUGCCACAGAACACACAAUUCUUUUCUCCUUUCCACCACCAUUUCAAUAAAGAGUCUCUCAUAAGUAUACUUUUUUAUUAACUAACCAGAGAAAAACUUUAAUUUUUUUGGUAUCUUAAUCUUCCACAGAAAAUUUUGUGGGAAUUUAAGAUUAGAGGCUACCAACUCUCUGUAUAAAGAUUUAACUGUGAAUUUGCAAUCAGCCCUAAGAGACCAUAUUAUUUUGUCUUUUCACCUUCCAUUUCUAUUUCCUCACAUCUGCUUUUCAAGCUAUUCCAUAGCCCCAAAGUGUCCCCAUAUAAAGUUCUUUUAAACCUAAACCCUUGACACCCUUUAUGAAUGGCUUCAGCCACUAUUAUGUUAUGCUCAAAACACAAGUCAUAUAACUUGGGAUAAGCUUCCUUCAGAGUUUUGUCAUUAAUCCAAACAUCUUCCCAAAAUCUGGUAUUUUCCCCAUCUCCCAGUUCUUUUUUAGCAAACCUAUAGAAGAUUUCUUUAAUUUUCAUCAGGCUGGACCAAAAAUGGGAAUCCCCAGGUUUUUUUUGGCCCUAGAAAGAUAGUUAUCUCCUCCAUAUUUCCUACUUAUCACAUCCUGCCAUAACCCCUCCCGUGUUUCCUUUUUCCAGAACCAUUUAGCCAUAAGUGAGAUGUUCAUUAAUUCUAAAUCUAUGAUUCCUAAACCACCCACUUCUUUAGGUAAACAACAAGUUUUCCAAUUCACUAAGUAAUAUUUCUUAAUAUCCUCAUCUUCUUGCCACACUAAUGUAGCCCUGUAGAAGUCAACUUUUUUAAUCACCCCUUUAGGGAUUGGAUAAAAGGACAUCAUAAAGAGGGGUAUAUUAGUGAGGCAAGCCUGAACUAGAGUAAUUCUGCUUGCAAUCGAUCCCAGCAAUUAUCCCUGCCAACACCCACAUAUUUUUUGAACCUUCUCAGUUACACAGUUCUAGUGGAUAUUUCUAAGUUUGGAAUCUGAAAUUGGCAUUCCUAAAUAUUUUAUGGGAAUCACACCCAUCUUACAAGUCAGUAUCUCUUGAUAUAUAUGUUAUUUCUCUUUAGCUUUUCCAAAUAACACUAGUUCACUUUUGUGAAAAUUAAUUUUGAGUCCAGACAUUUGUUCAAAUGCUCACAGGAUAAAUUUCAAGUUCUUCACACACUCAAUAUCCUCUUUGAUCAGGAAGAUUGUGUCAUCUGCAUAUUGUAACAUAUUGACCCCCUUAUUAUUUCCAUCUCCCAAGACUCCCUUGACCAAAUCAUUCUCCAAAGCUUUAUUCAUCAGUAUUGUCAAAGCAUCAACAGCUAAAUCAAAUAAUAGGGGAGACAUAGAAUCUCCCUGUCUAAGCCCUUUAUGUGUUCUAAAAUAUGGUCCAAUUUCAUAAUUUACCUUCACCCCCACAUGUCCCCCUCUAAUGGUUUCCAUUACUUAGUCACACCAUUUAUCAGGGAAACCUUUAGCUCUUAACAUCUGUAUCACAAAUGGCCAUUUAAUUUUGUCAUAUGCUUUUUCAAAAUCCACUUUAAAGAUUAAUGCAUAUUGCUUUCCAGAGUGGAAAGUAUUCAAUGCUUCAUGAAGGAUCACCACUCCCUCCAUAAUAUAUCUCCUUUUGAUAAAAGUUGUUUGAGUUCUAGAUAUGACAGGGGACACACAUUGUGUCAAUCUAUUCAUCAACACUUUUGUGAUAAUUUUGAAACUAACAUUUAACAAACAUAUUGGGUCUGAAUUUUUGAAUUUUUUUAGCAUCAACAGUUUUUGGUACUAAAGUGAUUAUGCAAUAGUUCAGCCUGACAAUAUCUAUUUUCCCUUUAGCAAACUCUUCUACCAGGGCUUUCAAAUCCCAUUUAACCAGAUCCUAGAAUUCCUGGUAGAAGUCAGCAGGGAAUCCAUCUGCUCCAGGACUUUUGUUCUUUUUCAUCCCAAAAACCACCUCUUUAAUUUCAUCUAAAGAGAAGGGUUCCAUUAACCUCUCUCUCCUCUCCUCAUUGAUUUUUCUUGAUUCCAAAUCACUCAUGGAGAUCUGUGUUUCUUCAGGAUGUCCAAAUAGCAUUUUGUAGAAAUUUGUUAUAUAUUUCAUAAGGUUUUCACCCCCUUCUAUCACACCUUCUUCUUGUUCUAAAGAGAUAAUUCUAUUUUUUCUUCUCCUCCCAUUCACUUCGGCAUGAUAAUAUCUAGUGUUCCUAUCUCCAUCUAUAAUUUCCUUGUCUUUAUAUCUCUGAAGCAUUUUAAUCUCUUCUUGCAUCAUUACUUGUUUAAGCUGAUCUCUUAGUUCCUUUUGUUCUGUUCUCAAUAGCAAUAAUUCCCACAUUCUCAAUUUUUUAUCCAACUCAUCUAGCCUCUUAAUAAUCUCAAUUUUAAUUGUUUUGUACCAAGAAUCCACAUUUUUGUUCCAGCCCUUAGUUUUCUUUCUCAGUUUUCUUAGUCUAAGCUGCCAUCUUUCUAAAUUAUUUCCAUAGUAUCUCUCAUUCCAUGUUUUAUAUACAAGUUCUUUAAAUCCCUCCCUCAUAGCCCAAGCAUUCUCAUAUCUGAAGGUGUAUUUAUCACUCUGCCCCUCCACUAUGUCUAGGAAUAAUGUGGAUGUGAUCUGACACUUCUCUAGCAAAGGCUUGUAAUAUGGUCAGGGGAUAUUGUUCCUCCGAAGUUGGACACAUCAGCACCCUAUCUAGUUUUUCGUAGGUGGGAUCAUCCAAAUUGUUAGCCCAUGUAAACUGUCUCCUAUUCAGGGGUAGCUCUCUCAGCCCAGCUUGUUCAAUGAUAGCAUUAAACAUAAAGGUCCAAUGCUCAUUAUGAACAUAUUUUUUUUCUUUUUCAUUCCUGAUAAUAUGGAAAUCCCCCUACCAAGCAGGGCAAGGGGUUAUCAUCGUACAGUCUAGCCAAUUCUGCUAGGAAACAAGCUUUCCUUCCACCUGAGCAUCCCCAUAUACAGGUACCAGGUUCCAGUGCAUCUUGAUGAUUUUAUCAUAUAUCAACAUCCUAACAAAAUGUAUCCCUUUCUCUAUGUGUUCUACAUUGAACCUAUCUCUGUUUACUCCCACUAAAAUCCCUCCAGACAUCCCCCUGGGCUCAUUCCAGCACCAAUCAUAAUUCUCCCCCACACAAGUUGUGUAAUUCACUUUUAGAAUUUUUUUCGGUUUAAUAGUUUCUAAAAUCCCAAUAAAGUCUAGUUUAUGAUCAUUGAUCAUUUCCCUCACAUAUCUUUUCUUAUGGUCUUACCCCAGUCCUCUCACGUUCCAGAAAACUCCUCUCCAUUUUACCCCCCAAUUUCUAUUUAUAGUUUGUAUGUCAAUACCUAAACUAUCUAAUUUCCCAGAAGCAAUUUACACUUCUUUCUUAUUCUUUUUCCUUCUAAGGGCCCCAAUCCCAACUGAUUGCUUUCCACAACUUAAUGUUGGUGAGCACUUAUUAUUAUUAUUAUUAUUCCUAAGAAAAUAGCUCCCAGUUUCCUAUAUUGUUGCUCUUCCAUUUCAGCAUCAGAAUGUUCUAUAUUUGAGCACAAUUCCUCCAGAUCAACAUCUCCAGUGUCAAUAUGCACUGAAUGUUGUUUUUCUCUUCACCACUCACUCCACUUUUUUCCCUUUUGUUUUUCUUCCUCUACAAUGUUUUGAAAAUAAAUUUCUCUUCUUGCCAUCUCCAUUUUCCUAAUAUUUUCUAGGUUUUUGUCAACCAUCUCAAUAGAGCACCCUAAAUCUAUCCCAACCAAAGAACUAAUAUGCAGUAAAGAAGAAUUAGCACAAUUUAAUACGGACUCCUUACCAUAGUUAUCUCUUUCUUCAGCCCUCAUUUUGGCCAUCUCCUCCACUUUUUGAUCUUCCUUUUCCCUGUUUUUUAGGCUUCUUUUUAGCUCAGUUUCCUUAUCCUCUUCACCUUUGUUUAGUACCCCCACACCAUGUAUUUCAGCCAUUUUCUCUCCAAAUGUCCCCACUGAUUCCUGGCUUGCAUUGUAGUCAGUAGGUUCAUUAUAUUUACCAGACCCAGUCUCUUCUUUCUUUUCCUGAUUUUCUUUAUCAAAUUCCUCAACCUCCUCUAUGUUAGCCAGCUCCAUAUCAUAUUGCUCUCUAUUAGCUGCCUCCUGUUACAAUCUCAGGAUCACUCAUUGUUGUUGUUCAAUCAAAUUUUAUAAUCUCUUUUGUGUGGUCUCCAAGUCCUUUAUUCUUUUAUCAGUUUUGGUCCAUAGAGCAUUUUGUCUGGCUUUUUCUUCCUCUAACCCUCGGAUUUUUCUGCACAUAAUGUCUACCUCUUUUUGCAUUUUCCCUCUUUCUCCAGUCAUUUCUCUACUCAAGUGUCCCAUGUUUUCAUCCAGGGAAUUUUUCACCAUUUCAUUUUUCCUAUCUAUUUCUUCUAUUUGUUUCAGAGAUAAGCUGCCAGUGUCAUUCCCCUCCUGUCUGAUCCAUCUACUUUUGUCCUUUUCCUUUUUUUCCUCCUCAUCUUCUCCAUCCUCUAUCUUAGUGACAACAUCAGAUUUUCUUUUCUCUUCUUUGUACCACCCCAUCUCAAUUACCUUACCCAGCUCCGCCCCAAUCCUGAACAUCAACAAAUAUGGUGAUGUGAUCUCUACAUGUGAUGGGAUCUUCCCGAUAUCUCUCACUCCACAUUUCACUUUAACUGUUUCUUCAUGUAUAGUGUCCUUGUCUAUUUCUAAAACUGACCCUAUAGCAGUAGCAACCUCACACAUUCCAAAAAAGUGUCUAAAGCAAUCAGUCACUUUUUCAAAUUUCACCCAAGCAGAAUGCAUUUUUCCUAUUGCCAAGUGAUCAAGGGACCAAGGUUGUACUUUGAUUACUACUCCAGUUCCUAACAAGUUGAAGUCAUUGAAUUUUGCAAGCUCCACCAGUUUUGCUUUAUUGAGAAACCCCAUCAUAUAGCAGUUUUUUCUGUAUUCUUUGACUCUUCAUUGCCAUCCCCAAUCAAACAUUUCACUAAAAGCUUGGAUUAACCCAGUCUCAUUGAUCUGACCAUCUCUUAUGACCACCACUCCUAAUGGAUUCAUGUGUUCAGCAAUUAGCACAUCUUUAUAGCUUUGCACCAGUAACACUCCCAAGCCCUUGGCAGCAUAACCAACAUAUUUAGGUACAAGUUUCAUUUGUUUCAGCAAGUUGAAUUCCCCAGUGAUAUGAUUAUCUCUUCCACAUAUCAAGCAGUGUCCAAGUUUACAGUCUCUAGUUGAGUAUCUAGGGUCUUUGCAUUUCCCACAAACCUGCCUGUUAAACCCGUCACUUAUGUUUCUGUCAUCCCCCAUAUUUUGUUGCCAAGAGCCUCUAUUUAUCUGAUUUCUGAAACCAUUGCCCAUGCCACUUUCAUAUCCCUUAUCCCUCCUAUGCAUAUUAUCUCCAUUAGCAGACAUCUCUUUUCCUGCUUCUUUUUCACUAACCAUCACUCCCUUGCCCAGAUCACUCUCUCCUGCAGACUGCCCACCUUUAUUCAUUCCCUAAACAAGUUGUGAUAAUAAGGAACUCUGCAAUUGCUGUUGCUGACUUGAGUCCAUGUUGACUCCCUCUUCCCUCUCUUUGCUAUCAUUUUUGGUCAUUAUUUCAUCUGUCUCUUUUCCAGCUUCUUCACUUUUGCUUCCACUACCUUUCUUCCCUCCUUUAGCUUGCCAAAUCUUUCCUCCUCCUGAAGUCUCACCAGUAGGAAUAGCAGAAUUUCCAUUACCUCUUCCCACACCAAAUCCAAAUCCACCACGACCUCCUCCUCUACCAUGGAAAUUAAAGGAUCUCUCAGAGUAGGUGGACAUGUUCCUAUCACCUCCCAUGAUCUGUCCUGUAUUCUUGGGAUCUCUGUUGGUUGGUGGCAGCAUAGGGGUAAACCCUAAACUCAGGUUCUGCCCACCAGCCUCCCCUGUCCCUGUCUUUUUAUACUCCCUUCAUCCAUAUCCUGGGAGUGGGCCUGAUCCGCUUCUGCGCUUUUAGCCCACUAGGCCAGGUCCACAUCUAUAUCCACCUGAAAAUCUCUCCCCACUGCCCCCCCAAAAUAAUUGGUGAUCCCUUAUUUUCUUUUCCUUUUUCAUUUUUUCUGCAUUCUCCAUUUAUCACCACAUUGGGUUCAAUUGGAGUUGUAUUUAUAAUAAUUUCUCCAAAAUCUAUCUCCUUCUCCUCAUACCAUAUAGUAAUGGGCUGGAAAUUACUAUGCCUCAUGCGCUCUUGAAUGAUUUUAGCUCCAACACCUUUCACUCUGUUCCUAUCACUAUCCAUAUCAAACCUCAUUUUCCUAUACAAAGUCUCCUUUUCUCCUUUUUUUUCACCCCCAGCUUCAUUAUUUUGAAGCUUUAUUUUCUUCCUGGAUCGUUUCUCUAUUUUUUGCUAAUGGCGAGCCUCCUCUGUCUUUCACAAUCAUCCUCAUCUACAUCAAUCGAUGUAGUAGAGUAAUUUUUUUGCCAUUAACAUACAUGUAGAAGUUGAAGGAGUCCCCCUCCCCCUCCUCGUCGGAGCCCUCCCCUGCCAACAGCCAAAAAUGGCCGCUGACCGGUGAGGCCCCUACUGCAGGUGGGAAAGGGUUUGGAGGCGCGGAGAGUGCCGGGGCAGCGUCUUGAUCACCCACUUCUUCUUCCUCCUUGGCGCCACCGUCUCCUCAUCUUCUUCCUCUAUCAUGAUCGGCGCCAUCCGCGAGCCCAGAGCAGGGAGCCCCAUCACCACCUCCCUCGACAGCAGCGCCUGCGGCUGGAUCUGGCGGUAGCGGAGGGAUCUGAAUACCCUCCACUUGUGCCUCUGCUCCUGGAUCGGGGAUUCUGCCUUGAGCAUCGCCCAAAGAAGAACCCCCAUUGCCGACUGCCUGUCGUAAUUGGGGAAGCAGCGCAUGGUCUCCUCCUCGUUUAGCCGCUCCUAAACCAUAUCCGUUGCAUCGUUGAGCGCCUUCGCCUUAGGGAACCACCUGUCAAUCUCCCUCAACCUCCCCAACAUCAUCUCGUCGUCCCUGGUGAGAGCCGCCAUCUGCUGCUCCUGGGUCGUCAUGGAACCCUAGCUCUCGAUGCAGCGCCAUGCGAGGGGUCAAUGUGAGUGGAAGACGGAAGGGGGAAAUGCGAGGGGUCGGAGCAACGCCGAGACUAAAAUACUCCCUCCCCUCCCCCCGAUCGCCAUUACUCUCCUCGGGGCUCGAGACAUGACCGGCCCACCCCACCAUUGUCGCAACCCGUGCAAGGUGACAAGGGAAUUGCACGAACUGGCCUGUGACGAACCCCUCGUCACCGCGCCACCCGCGCGCGUCCACUGUCACCUUGUUGGCAUUGAUGAGGGUCAGCCGGCUCCCUCGCCGGAGGAGGAAUCUCGGCUGGACCCCGAGAUCUGGGACGAAAUCGCACCGGAGCCCUAUCGCGGUCGUGGAAUGCAUGCCAUCCCUUUCUCGGGCGACUGCUUUGGGUCCCGUGGCCACGCACGCCUCUGCUCGGCGGUUUAGGCUAGCGAAAUGGCUGAAAUGAAUCUUGCUGUUCUCUCUUAAUCAGUCUGCCUCUUGGAAUGUAUGAAAGAUACCGGGAUGGGUGGGUCAGCUGAAACUUGCCGAUCUUGCUUAUGCCGCCCACACACCUUUCGACCUCUAGAACCAAGACAACCUUUGAAUGCAUUAAUACAUGUCUAUCACUUGUUAUUCUUAUUCCACAACAAGCAACAGUCACAUAUCACAACAAGCAAGGAACUAAUAUAACUUGACGAUGACCGAUGCAUGAUUGUCUCUCUACUAGGUUAACUAGGUGUCGCAGGGUGUGAUGAUUCGAGUGGAUCGACAUCAUAGGCGAGGCGAGACAGAGAUGUGACGAGGGUGCCGAUGGGCGAUCUCAUGGUCGGCUGUUGGUGGACGCACAUGGAAGCAACUGUCAGGGCCUCCUCCAAAUCCAUGGACGGGUACCAACCCUGCAGCGCCGGGUCUGCCAUCCUUCGGAAUUGGCUCCUGUCCUUCAUUAGUCGCGUGGCCUGAUCCAACAGCAAACAUGACAUCAUUCACUCUAUAGAUUACAAAUAUGUGAAUGGUAAUGAACUUACCCAUGCGACAAGGUUCUGAUCCUCGGCAGUGGGUUGGGCGGGGUCAAUGGGCCUCCACCCCGUGAUCAUCUCCAGCAGCAGUCCGCCGAAGUUGUACACAUUCGACUCCAUGGUCACCUUCCCGGUAAUGCAUGUCUCGGGGGCAAUGGUAGUGCUUCCCCAGAAAUUAGUACACCAGCCUUUGUUAUCCUCUUCAAGCAACCGUCCAAGGUCUGCCAGUCCAUGCUGGGACAACUUUGGGUGGUAGCCAUCUCCGAGCUACCCAUGGAUUUACGGUACACCACACCUUUGUGGUGCAGAUACUCUAAACCUUUGGCCACACGGGCAGCUAUGUUCAUCCUUGUGUUCCAGUCCAACGAUGCUUUGCCUGCCGGAGACCGAUCUGGUGAGGGGAGCACAAGAUCGAUCCGGUGGUUAAUUAACACAAACUCAAGCGACCGAAUCAUGAGCGAAAUUUAUAGGGUUUGGCAUGACCCGAACACAAAUUUAUCAUGAAGAUGGAGGUGAUCUUCGAGAGAACCCAAUGACAUGUGCUCAUGAACCAAGAUUCUAUAUUGGCCGUCCGCGCAGAAGCCAAUUAUGACGACAUUCGGGUGGCGCAGCGCUCAGCGUCAGGACAUGGGCGAGGAACUCCCUGUUGAGUUGCUCCGAUGGUCCACUAGUACGAACGGCAUGCUGCAGCCUAAUACUCCCUCCGUCCCGUAAUUCAUGUCGCAGGCGUAGUUCAUUAUCAAUUUUAUAAAAAAGCCCUCAUAGUUUCAAAACAAUCACAAACAAGUCUCUCCACCCCCGUCUUCUUCGUCUGCUGUCGCCCGUGUGUCUCCAGGGGCCGGCGCCGCCAAGCUACGCGAUUUGCCACCCACCAGGAAGUGUUCCGCCUCCGUCGCCACGUACCUUCAAUGCCGCCGUCGUCGCCAAGUACUUGCUCUACCACCGCUGCCCAGACCUGCGCCGGCGUGAUCCCCUCCCGCGGCCGAAGAUGACACGGGAGGGGUGGGGUGGGGCUGCGGCGGGAAGAGAGUGAGGACUCCGGAUACUGGUCUACAAAAAAUCGAACCUUCACGGCCGGCAAGCAGAGGGGAAUGAGGCGGCGGGCGGAAAGGAUGGGAACCACCGCGUGGGGCGGCGGGGGUGGGAGGAGAGCAGCGUAAGGCGACGGGAGGGGGAGCAAGGCGGCGGGGGUGAGGGCAAGGGAGGCGCGACCAAAUCGGCCGACGUCAAAGAAGAGUGAGGAAGGAGAUAGAGGACCGCCGGUUUGGUCAGGAAAACAUCGAGGGCUAAAUUGCAAAAACACCGCCGCAACAUGAAUUACCGGAUGGAGGGAGUACUAACGAUCUACAAACGAAUACGUAUGAUGAUCCACUCUCAUCGAUCAUGACAUGCCGGUACAUAUGGAACUGAGUAAAGAAAGGAUUAGUGUGCCACCCAAGACUGUCACCACCUGGUUGUUGCUCUUGAGGUAGGCUUUGUAGAGAUUCGCCUCCUGACCAACGAUGCGGGAGUCGUCUUUGAAGUUCCUGGUCGCCCCCGCGAGCUCGUCGAAGGCGAAGGUUCGUGCCGCAACGGCUCGGCACGGUUCGGCCCGAGGAGGCGGUGGGAGACCCAGGCAGAGGAAGCAACUCGCUCGGCUGAAACCACCCAUUAUUCAGCCCUUCGCCAGAGGCAAGGAUGGUACCGGCCGCACGCUUGUCGACUUCUGCUUGUACUGAGGAGUUUGAAGCGUGGGAGUGCCUCUCUCUCAGCUGACACACCGUGCACUCCGGAUGCAUUACUGGUUGGUUGCGGCCUUAAGAGCAUCUCCAAGAUGCCAGGCAACAGCGGAAUCAUCAUGGUCCCCUGUGAAGAGAGAGAUGCGGUGUGCUCCCUCGAGCGUGCCUUCCAAGCUGCAGCAACCGAGGACCCGAACAACAAGGGCGAGAACCCUCCUGAGGCCAUCCCCAAGAAGAAGAAGCAACCGCUCCACACAAGACCUCAGGAGGUUGGCAUCCCGGAUGGUGUCGCGUCAGGAUCAGUGCCCGUGCCUAGGAUGCCUUCUUCCAUUGCAUAGGAAGGCGCGCCUGGCACCCUCCUCGGGCAGGGCUCAGGGGCUCUCUUCUGGAGGGCCUCAAACCUCGCCAACAUCACGAGGGAGGCGCUCAGGCACCACUUGGAGGAGUGCUUCACGGCACGUUUCCCUCAGGAAGGCAUGGGACAGGGAAAGCCCAACAUUCAGGAGUUCAUCACCAAGACCACCCAGGAGCUUCAGGAAGCGAGGCCCAUGCGCGACUACCGUAGCUUGCCUAGUGUGGACCCCCAUCCAGGCAAGGAUGGUGGGCUGCACGUCUGCACUGAUGUCCCAGGGCUCAACCGAGCCACAUCUCAGGAGCACUUCUGGCCUUCGCGCAUGGGACGCUGCGAGGGUCUGCCGCACAGUUACGUUUGCAUGCCUUUCGGCAUGCCGAACGCGGCUGCCACCUACCAUCGUCACCUGCAGAGCAUUCUGGCGGCUCAGGGGGCCAGGCAUCACGCGGUCCUAGCGGAGAUGGAGACGGUCCUCAAGGAACCACCUGGACCCCCAGAGCCUCCCGAGGCUCGGGGCCCUGGUGGCUCGUGAAGGUCGGCCCCUUCACCGCGCGUCUUCAGCCGCUCCAACCCCCCCUUCUACAACGGAACCAGGUGACAUCUUCCAAGUUCGUUUCAGCUGGGAGCGCCCUCAGGCUGCAUCAUUCCCAGGCCGCAUGGGUCCAUCCCUGCGGCAUGUAUCUUUUUCUUAUGCCUUUAACUUACAUUGCUGGGGGCGCCCCUCGGGCUACAUCAUCCCCAAGCUGCUUGGGUCCGACCCAAUGGCAUGUAUCCAUCCUACAUUUACCUAAGCUGAUUUGCCUUUCAUGCCUAACCUACCUAUGAUUAUCACCUGCUCGAUGGCCACCUACCACGAUAGCCGCUCGCGCUGGCACGAUGCUUGCACACGGGUCCGUCCCUACAACGCCGACAAAUCUGAGUGGUCGAGCUCUGGCCCGCGGCAGCCCCGCGCGUGUCACCUCACCAGGCCCUCAGUCCCCUCACCUCUCUCUCGGAGCACCCUAUGGCCGGCCGGCAAUCAUAAUGGCAACCCGUGCUUUUCUCGUGCUAGUUUACAGGAACCUCCUGAGGAUUUUAGCGGGCGGCACCGCGAGCUCCCUCUCUUUUCCAUGCGAUCCACUUGCGCAUUAAAAGGGGGGCUCCUCAGCAUCGCGACUCAGGACCUCUUACUGGCUCUCCAGCCCUCACCCCCUGGCCUUGACCACGGCAUUACGACCUGGCAUACUAGCGGCGGCUGAGCUCGCUUGAGGGCUGGGACCUGAGGACGUAGAGCACGAAGGAGAGUGUGGGGAAGAAAGGGGAAGCUUGCACGGGCCUGACCUAGCUGCGCCACAGCUGCCGACACACAAGUCUGGCGCAACGCAAGGGAACGACUCCAGAUUGCCGAGAUAAGUUUCACGCCUGGAACAACUAAUCGUUACAGCGCAGAAUCUCUCACUUGAGGCGGCCCUGUGGCGGCAACAUUGCCUUCCUUUCUCACCUCUCGGCGGCUGCUUGUGUGCUAAAGGGGACCUCCUGAGCAUUGCACCUCAGGGGCUCUUACUGGACCUCGAGCCUCUCACCUCCUGGCCUUGACCACGACAUCGCGACCUGGCAUACCAGAGACGGCUACAGCUUGCCUGGGGACCGGGACCUGUCAACGUAGAGCGCCAAGUCGUCACGAGUUUAGAAAGGGGGAACCAAGCCAGGACAUGACAAGCACUAGCACGAUUUCAUAAUGAGGAUAACAUCAACAGAAGACAUCGCAGACCCUUUACAUGCCCCCAUGGGGUGUUUUCUCGAUUCCACGCAGGGAACAAAAGAUGAGAACUCUGAGGAGCCCUAACUACACGCGCCUCCAUGGCCGACUCCAUUGUCAACAGUGGGCCACGGGAGACCAGUGCCGACCCCAUCCAGAUCAGCGGCGGCGACGUCUCGAUGUUGCCGCCUUGCGUUGGGCCCGGCGAGAGCUCGGGGGUGCGUAGCUGUCGUCGCUCGUCUCCGGAGUCUCGAAGAGUUCAGGAGAGUCGCUGGACUCCCCAGCGUCGUUGCUGCCGCUGGAGGAGCCAUUAGGGGAGCGGACGACAGGCCCAACCCUUGCCGCGUCGAUCUCCCGACUACCCCCUCCGGGGCAACACUCUAGGCGGCGGCCUUUUGCGUCGAAAACCUUGAAGAACAACACAGAGGCGCCAUUGUACUCAAAAUGGAUCAUGAGGGCACCCCCCGUUCGGCAGACCCGGGCGACUUCGCCCCAGCCUCGGGUCAUGAAGAUCUUGCCCGAGGAAACGACUUCAACUUCCGCUCCGGUCGCCGGGGCGCUAUAGUCGGCGUGCUGCACCCAAAGCUCGAGAGGCCCCCUCGGCGGCAUCUCGAUGGAGAAGAACAAAGGAAGGCAGAUCCAGGUGCUUGGAGGCAUCGCCGCAUGCAGCACGAGCUCGUGAGAGGAAUCCGCGGCGUGGACUCCAGGGGCGACAGCGCGCGCCACCACAGCAUGCCGACCUCGGUUGCGGUACGGGCGGCGUCGCUCGCCGCCCUUUUCUUUGGAGCCCUCAACUGGGGCGCAUUGGAGUAGAGGGUACCCAGCAGGUGGCCGCUCGCACCAAGGCCUCGUCAUCUCCAGCCUCACUACCUCGCCGCGGUGGCGGUGGACUGGCCUCUUCGUCGGCAGGAGUGGAUUGAGUCCGUCCCGGGGAGCCUUCCCCUUCUCUGCGGCCGAGAAUCUAUGGAUUGGCGCCAUCGAUGCCAAGACUGGAGGUGGAGCAGGGAAGAAGAAGCAAGCAGGGCAGGAAGAGAUGGGCUACGGAGGCUCUCGCCCCUCCUCAUUUAUAGCCCAAGGGAGGCCAACCGUCGACCUCCACGAUCGGAGGUAAUGAUAACCCUUUUUGCAUGCAGUAGGGACUCAUCAAGUGGGGUAGUUGUCGAGGCAGCAUGGGAAAGCGGAGACGCCCACGUCCAAUUAGUUGCCACGUGUCGACCAAGGCCGCAGGCUGUUGGGGGCCGUGGCGCUCCGCACUUGCCCUCUGGCUUUGCUGCUAAGCCAAGUCCAAGUGCUCCUUGGGCCCGGGGGCUACUGUCGACGUUCUGGGAAUGGGGGUCCCCAGACUUGCCUGCAUGCGGCCCAUGGCGUGGCUCCACUAGUGGCCCAGCGCGGCCCAUCUUCAUCAACCAACGCUCAAGACCCUCGCGAGGGGCCAAGCCUCGCGGGGCGGACGACACAAGGCCUCCUCAGGAGCGGCCUCAACAGACAGGCUCGCGAGGGGGCGGGGAGAUCAAGGCCAAGGGGUACCUCACGAGGUUCCCGUGACGCAAGCCAUGACGAUCAAGGCCAGGCGGGCGCUGAUGUCUACUACACGACCUUCUUCUUGUAGACGUUGUUGGGCCUGCAAGUGCACAGGUUUGUAGGACAGUAGCAAAUUUCCCUCAAGUGGAUGACCUAAGGUUUAUCAAUCCAUAGGAGGCGUAGGAUGAAGAUGGUCUCUCUCAAACAACCCUGCAACCAAAUAGCAUAGAGUCUCUUGUGUCCCCAACACACCCAAUACAAUAAUAAAUUGUAUAGGUGCACUAGUUCGGCGAAGAGAUGGUGAUACAAGUGCAAUAUGGAUAGUAGAUAAAGGUAUUUGUAAUCUGAAAUUAUAAAAACAGCAAGGUAACAAGUGGUAAAAGUGAGCGUAAACGGUAUUGCAAUGAUAGGAAACAAGGCCUAGGGUUCAUACUUUCACUAGCGCAAGUUCUCUCAACAAUAAUAACAUAGAUAGAUCAUAUAACAAUCCCUCAACAUGCAACAAAGAGUCACUCCAAAUCCACUAAUAGCAGAGAACAAACAUAGAGAUAAUGGUAGGGUACGAAACCACCUCAAAGUUAUUCUUUCGGAUCGAUCUAUUAAAGAGUUCGUACUAGAAUAACACCUUAAGACACAAAUCAACUAAAACCCUAAUGUAGCCUAGAUACUCCAUUGUCACCUCAAGUAUCCGUGGGCAUGAUUAUAUGAUAUGCAUCACACAAUCUCAGAUCCAUCCAACCAACACAAAGUACUUCAAAGAGUGCCCCAAAGUUUCUACCGGAGAGUCAAGAAAACGUGUGCCAACCCCUAUGCAUAGGUUCAUGGGCGGAACCCGCAAGUUGGUCACCAAAACAUACAUCAAGUGGCACGUGAAAUCCCAUUGUCACCACAGAUAAACACGGCAAGACUGAAAGCACAAGUGCUCCCUAGGUGGUUUUGGUAAUUAAUGUCAACAUAUCUCUUGUUGGACUAACACUUUUAUCUAGUAUGUUUCAGAUAAGUUCAACAAUGGAGUGGCAUGGACUAAAAGAUGUGGUAAUUCCUUCAAGAUGCUAAGGACAAAGGAUUGGCUCAAGCUUCAAGCUCAAGACUCUUCAUUUUAUAUUUUAGUGAUCCAAGAUCACAUUGAGUCUAUAGGAAAAGCCAAUACUAUAAGAAGGGAUGAGGUGUUGCUUAAUGAGUUUCUUGCUCCACAAUGCUUAGUGAUAUGCUCCAAAACCCUCAACUACUUUCCCACUUCCACACAUAUGUACUAAACCUAAAGUCAAACUCGGCCACACUGAUUCUUUCUAUCCGGCGCCACCGAGUUCAUAUGACAUAGCCACUGCCACAAACCCUAGGCAAAUCGGUCUCACCGAUAGGGAUCUCGGUCUCACCGAGAUGAGAUUGUAAUCUCUCUGUGUAUGUCCAUUACCAAAAUCGGUCUCACCGAGUUUGAGCAAUCGGUACUACCGAGAUUACAAUGCAAACUCUCUGGUUAACUUAUUACCAAAAUCGGUCCCAUCGAGUUUGUGUAAUCGGUCUCAUCGAGUUUGCCUGACCAACUCUCUGGUUAGCUUAUUACCAAAAUCGGUCUCACCGAGUUUGUGUAAUCAGUCUCACCGAGAUUACGUUAUGCCCUAACCCUAACCAUAUCGGUCCCACCGAGUCGCAAUUUAGUCCCACCGAAAAUCCUAACGGUUACUAGAUUUGCUGAAUCGGUCCGACCGAGUUUAUCAAUUCGGUCCCACUAAGUUUGGCAAGUUGUGUGUAACGGUUAGAUUUUGUGUGGAGGCUAUAUAUACCCCUCCACCUCCUCUUCAUUCGUGGAUAGAGCCAUCAGAAAGAACCUACACUUCCAGCAUCCUAUUUCUGAGAGAGAACUACCUACUCAUGUGUUGAGGCCAAGAUAUUCCAUUCCUACCAUAUGAAUCUUGAUCUCUAGCCUUCCCCAAGUUGCUUUCCACUCAAAUCUUCUUUCCACCAGAUCCAAAUCCUAUGAGAGAGAGUUGAGUGUUGGGGAGACUAUCAUUUGAAACACAAGAGCAAGGAGUUCAUUAUCAACGCACCAUUUGUUACUUCUUGGAGAGUGGUGUCUCCUAGAUUGACUAGGUGUCACUUGGGAGCCUCCGACAAGAUUGUGGAGUUGAACCAAGGAGUUUGUAAGGGCAACGAGAUCUCCUACUUCGUGAAGAUCUACCGCUAGUGAGGCAAGUCCUUCAUGGGCGACGGCCAUGGUGGGAUAGACAAGGUUGCUUCUUUGUGGACCCUUCGUGGGUGGAGCCCUCCGUGGACUCGCGCAACCAUUACCCUUCGUGGGUUGAAGUCUCCAUCAACAUGGAUGUAUGAUAGCACCACCUAUCAGAACCACGACAAAAACAUCCGUGUUCCAAUUGCGUUUGAAUCCUCCAAAACCCUUCCCUUUACAUUCUUGCAAGUUGCAUGCUUUACUUUCCGCUGCUCAUAUACUCUUUGCAUGCUUGCUUGUUAUGUAUUGUGAUUGUUAAACCUGUGCCUAAACUCCACUUAAACUUAAAGAAGUUAAAAACUGCAACUUUGGUACUUAGUGUCUAAUCACCCCCGCUCUAGACACCUCUUCUCAAGGUCCUACGAGUGGUAUCAGAGCAUUGGUCUCCAUUGCCUUGGUUUAAUCACCAUUGGAGGAAGAUGGAUGAGUCUAUUUUGGGGAGUCUUAGACAUAGAGUGCCUAUUCUUGAUGGAGAGUAUUUUCAUGAGUGGAAAAAUGAGAUGCUUGUAAUUUUCAAUCAAUAUCAUUUGAACAAGUACAUUGCUAGCCCUUGUGCACCUCAUGUUGAUCGUAUGCAUCCUACCCUUGAUGAAGCAAUUGACAUGAUUAGGAAUCUUAGAACUGUUAAUCUUAUCACUAGAGGCUUUCCCAGAAAUUUGAUUAGAAACUUGCCUACUCUUGAGUGUGCCUACACUAUAUGGAAAUUUCUUGAGGAACGCUUUCCAAAUUAUUCCUUGAAAAAUCUAGAUGAAAUUCUCCAUAAGUCUAUUGCCUUGAGUAAGAUGAAUACUAGUGAUCCUAUGUUUGGUGAUCGUCUAUUUGAACUUACAAAUCUUAUGCGUGCCAAAGGAGAUGUUGGAAUUAUUGGUGAUAUUAUUUCCGAAGCUAUAAGAAUUCAUAAGCAAGAUCAUUGUCAAGCUCACUCUAACGAAUUACCCUCUCUAGGACUUGAUCUACCACAUGACGAUGUUGAACAUGGAUACUAUGAUGAGGAUGAUGAUAGUGACUUCGAUCUUGACGAUGCAAUGAGACACUUUGGUCUUAUGGCAAAUCUUCAGGGAUAUAUGUCAGGAGGAAAGGAAUGGGUUCUUGAUAGUGGAUGUACCAAUCACAUGACCGGAGAUAAAGACAUGUUUCGUGAGCUUGUUGAAAAUGAUAGUCCUCGAAAGUAUGUCACUUUCGGUGAAAACUCAAAGGGUAAGGUGGUUGGCCUCAGUAAGGUGGCCAUAUCACAUGAUAGCUCCAUUCAGAAUGUUAUGCUCGUUGAAUCUCUUGGCUACAACUUACUUUUAGUAUCUAGACUUGCUGAUUUCAGUUUCAAUGUCCUAUUUAUUGAAGUAGAUUGCCAAGUGUUUCGUUGAGACAAUCAUAAAAUGGUCUUUACCGGUAUACGUAGAGGUGAUCUAUACAUUGUUGAUUUCACUAAAAAGGCUCAACCUAAAACUUGCUUCAUUGCUAAAUCCUCAAAAGGUUGGUUAUGGCAUAGACGACUAGGUCACGUUGGCAUGAGAAACCUUGACAAGCUUAUUAAAGGGAAUCAUAUCCUUGGUGUUAACGAUGUCAUAUUUGAUAAGGAUAGACUUUGUAGUGCUUGUCAAGCAGGUAAAAAGGUUGGAGGAAGGCAUCCCGUGAAGAACAUCAUGAACACAAGGAGGCCACUUGAGCUACUUCACAUGGAUCUUUUUGGUCCCAACUCUUACAAGAGUCUCGGUGGAAAUUCUUUUGGUCUAGUUAUAGUUGAUGAUUUUUCAAGAUUUACGUGGGUGUUCUUUCUCGAUGAUAAAUCGCAGGUCCAAAAGAUCUUCAAAAACUUCGCUAGGAAGGCCCAAAAUCAAUUUGAAGUGAAGAUCAAGAAGGUUCGCAGCGACAACGGAACGGAGUUCAAGAACGCAAAUGUGGACACCUUUCUUGACGAAGAAGGGAUUUCACACGAGUUCUCGGCUACGUACACACCUCAACAAAAUGGAGUUGUUGAGAGGAAGAACCGUACGCUCAUCGAAAUGGCGAGAAUGAUGCUUGAUGAGUACAAGACACCGAAGCACUUUUGGGCAGAAGCGGUUGAGACAGCUUGUCAUGCAACAAAUCGCUUGUAUCUUCACAAGCUACUCGGCAAGACGGCAUACGAGCUCCUCACUGGUAACAAACCCCAAGUUGGAUACUUUCGAGUAUUCGGCUCAAAGUGCUACAUUCUUGAUAAGCAUCGUCGUUCUAAAGUUGCUCCUAAGUCUCAUGAAGGUUUCCUACUAGGUUAUGGCUCAAACUCUCACACUUACUGUGUCUACAACAAUUUCACCCGAAAGGUUGAAGAGACGGUAGAUGUGAAGUUUGAUGAAUCUAACGGCUCGCAAGUAGAGCAAUUGCCAAUUGAUGUAGGAGACAAAGAUCCUUCGGAAGCAACCCAAGACUUGUCUAUUGGCAAGGUCCGUCCAACGGAGGUGAAGGAGAGUACCUCGUCCGUCCAAGUGGAAGCUUCUACCUCACGACAAGGCGAACCAAGAGUUGAUACGGAAGCAUCCACAAGUGGGACACACCAAGAUGAAGAAAACGAGGAAGUGCAUCAAGAUGAAUGUCAACAACCUCCUUCUCCACCACGACAAGAGAACGACAACGCCAACAAUGAAGAAGGCCAAGAAGAAGAACAAGAUGAAGAAGAAGUUCAACCAAGAACCAAGCAAAAGCGUUCACGAGUUCGAGCAAGAAUUGCUAAAGAUCAUCCCGUCGAGCAAAUCUACAAUGAUAUUCAAACCGGGAGAAUCACUCGCUCUAAAACUCGUUUAGCUAACUUUUGUGAAAACUAUUAUUUCAUCUCUAGCAUUGAACCUAUGAAGGUCAAAGAAGCAUUGGAAGAUCCGAAUUGGAUAAAUGCUAUGCAUGAAGAGCUACACAACUUUGAGAGAAACCAAGUUUGGACAUUUGUUGAGAAGCCCGACAACAACCACAACAUCAUCAGUACCAAAUGGGUGUUUCACAACAAGCAAGAUGAAGAUGGACAAGUAGUUCGCAACAAAGCACGUCUCGUCGCCCAAGGCUACACACAAGUCGAAGGUAUGGACUAUGGUGAGACUUACGCUCCUGUUGCUAGACUUGAAUCCAUUCGCAUCUUACUUGCCUAUGCUAAUCACCAUGAUAUCACCUUAUACCAAAUGGACAUUAAAAUUGCCUUUUUAAAUGGUGAAAUAGAGGAGGAAGUUUAUGUUAAACAACCUCCUGGCUUUGUUAAUCCUAAGAAACCCAAUCAUGUUUACAAACUUCACAAAGCCCUUUAUGGUCUUAAACAAGCUCCUAGAGCGUGGUAUAAAUGCUUGACCAAGUUCCUUAUUGAAAAAGGCUUUGAAAUUGGGAAAAUUGAUUCCACACUUUUUACUAAAAGGGUUAAUGGAGAAUUAUUUGUAUGCCAAAUUUAUGUUGAUGAUAUCAUAUUUGGAUCAACUAACCCUCAUUUUAGUGAAAAGUUUGGGAAGCUAAUGUCAGAGAAGUUUGAGAUGUCUAUGAUGAGUGAACUCAAAUUCUUUCUUGGUUUGCAAAUCAAGCAAACUAAGGAAGGUACCUUUGUCUCUCAAAUGAAGUACACCAAGGACCUAUUCAAGAAGUUCAAUAUGCAAGAAUGCAAAGGUAUGACUACACCCAUACCUACUAGUGGACAUCUUGACUUGACCAAAGAUGGUGAACCCGUUGAUCAAAAGGUUUAUCGCUCUAUGAUUGGUUCAUUGUUAUAUCUAUGUGCUUCACGUCCCGAUAUCAUGCUAAGUGUGUGCAUGUGUGCACGAUAUCAAGCUGCUCCUAAAGAAUGUCAUCUUAAGGCCGUGAAAAGGAUAGUGAGAUACUUAAUCCAUACACCAAAUUUUGGCAUUUGGUAUCCUAAGAGGGCCUCUUUCGAUCUUGUUGGCUACUCCGACUCGGACUAUGCCGGUGACAAGGUUGAUAGAAAGUCCACUUCAGGUACUUGUCAAUUUCUUGGUAGAUCUCUUGUGUCUUGGUCCUCCAAGAAACAAAACUCGGUAUCCUUAUCCACCACCGAAGCGGAAUACAUUGCCGCUGGUUCAUGUUGUGCUUAAUUACUUUGGAUGACCCAAACUCUUAAAGAUUAUUAUGUGAAACAUGUUCCAUUGCUUUGUGACAAUGAAAGUUCUAUCAAAAUUGGUCACAAUCCCAUACAACAUUCUCGAACUAAGCAUAUUGAAGUUCGUCAUCAUUUCAUUCGAGAUCAUGUUGCUAAGGGUGACAUUAAUCUUAAGCAUGUUCGCACCGAAAAGCAAUUAGCGGAUAUAUUCACUAAACCUCUUGAUGAGAAAGUUUUUUGCAGGUUGAGAGGAGAAUUGAACAUCAUAGAUGCUUCAAACUUGGAGUAGAAACUCCAUUGGAUACAUGCUAGACAUGAGCUUAUGACUAAUCCUUGAUUUUUUCUCUUAUGAUGAAAAUCUUAUGUCUUGGAUAUAUUUGCAUCUUGCAUGUUAUAUGACCCAUGUAGGUACUUGAUUGGAUCAAAUUCCAUGAGAUUGUAAUCUACUCACAUCUUGAGCAAUCUCUACAUCACCAAGUCUCUACACUAUGGUGGUUGAAGACAAGGAAGCACGGAACCAUUCAAACAUAUCCUUUGACAAUUUCUAUGUUGAGCUUCAUGAUUGUCAUUUUUGGAUACACAAGUGCUCUUCCUUGCAAGAACUAACCCAUGUAGGUAGAUGGACUCAAAUUCCAAGUGGUGCUCCCAACUCUUGAUGAGCUACAUCAACCUUUGAGCAACCCACACAAGUUCAACUACAUGUUCAACACCACCAACCAACGUAUGUUAUUCCAUCUUAGAGGAGCUUUACUCCAAGUCAUGAGCUAAAGCAACUCGACAAGAUGUGAAUACAUCAAGAUGUGAAUACAUCAAGAUGCUUAAAUGAAAAAUGGCAACCCCAUUUUGAGCUUAAACGAUGAGUAUGACCUAUGAUCAAGUGAUCUCACUUGACUCCUAAGUCAAUAUACUCUAACAUAGGUGACUUUGUCGCCGACCAUCUCUAGAUGAAGUUCUCUUGUGUUCUUUUCUGUGUUUUUGCAUUAGUCUCAUGCAUAUUCGUUUCCCCUUUCAAAAAAAACUUCAUCUAGAUUUCUUUCUGUUUGCUCUGCAUUUUCUGCAUCCAAUUCAUUGCAUAUCAUUCAGUAAAUUCCUUGCAAAUCUUUGUGAGAUCCUACUAGUCUAGUGAGGUGAGGUGACAAGUGUUUUCUCUGUGAUGAACUCGGUUUCACCGCCGAAUCCUUUUGGUACAACCGAAGCAUACCACUCGGUGCCACCGAUUUCACAACAGGAAAAACAGUUUGCCACUUAUUCUGUGUUUCUUCUGAUCCAGCUCCACUCAAUGAAUCUUGUCCUCUACAAGCAUCACAUUUAUAUAAAUGCUUUGUGCUGUGACUCAAGGAUCAAACCCUUCUUGGAAAUUGAUGUCAAAGGGGGAGAGAGAGAUCACAUCAAAGCUUAUCACUUAGAGAGAUCACAUCAAAGAGGGAUAGUAUCACCUCCUCAGGGGGAGAAAGAGAUCUCCAGGGGGAGAGAAUACUCAAGUAGAAAGUAUUUCUCAAGGAUCCCAGAUGCUUGGUGUUCAAGAGGAGAGAUGCCACAUGUCUUCUUGAGGGGAAAGACAUGUUCAUAUGUGCUUAUUUGCAUUAGUUUGCAUUAGCUCUGUUCAUUUAUAUCUUUCAGCUCUGAUUUUCUGUUCCCUAUCUUCUCCCAGUAUCCCCUGCUAGAUUCAGGGGGAGCAAGACAUCUAAGGGAAAGAAAUCAUUUAAAUUCAUUGCAUAUCUUUACUCUUCGGGACAUGUCUAAUCCAAUGUGGUACUUAGUACUCACUCUUUACAUGUCAUCCCAGUCUUGGUAUUCUUGUGGUUUAUUCUGUUCGCUCUGGCUAGUAGAUGUACCUGUGUUAUCUAACCUUGUUUAUGCAGGUUCAUUCCAUCCUAAGCCAACUCAAGACUACAAGGUAAGUAUACGCAUCACAAUAAUGUGUAUGAGGGAUUCUUGCUGAUGUACAUACUUUUUGCAAGAAGGACUCAUGGGCAUGAAGGUAUUUCCUUUAAUAUUCUUUGCUCUGAUGCAUAUGGCCAAGAUACAUGUAACACAUUGCCUACUCUAUCAUGGUUAUGCUCUCACAUGCUUCUAUAUUCCAUAUUCACAUGAUUGCAUACAUGUAGGGGGAGACUAUGCUUGUUACAUGUCUUUCCAAAGCUUUACUUGCUAUUCUUUAUAUCUUUAUCUAAAGCUUUGAUGUAUGUUGUCAUCAUUUACCAAAAAGGGGGAGAUUGAAAGCACAAGUGCUCCCUAGGUGGUUUUGGUAAUUAAUGUCAACAUAUCUCUUGUUGGACUAACACUUUUAUCUAGUAUGUUUCAGAUAAGUUCAACAAUGGAGUGGCAUGGACUAAAAGAUGUGGGAAUUCCUUCAAGAUGCUAAGGACAAAGGAUUGGCUCAAGAUUCAAGCUCAAGACUCUUAAUUUUAUAUUUUAGUGAUCCAAGAUCACAUUGAGUCUAUAGGAAAAGCCAAUACUAUCAAGAAGGGAUGAGGUGUUGCUUAAUGAGUUUCUUGCUCCAUAGUGCUUAGUGAUAUGCUCCAAAACCCUCAACUACUUUCCCACUUCCACACAUAUGUCCUAAACCUAAAGUCAAACUCGGCCACACCGAUUCUUUCUAUCCGGCGCCACCGAGUUCAGAUGACAUAGCCACUGCCACAAACCCUAGGCAAAUCGGUCUCACCGAUAGGGAUCUCGGUCUCACCGAGAUGGCAUUGUAAUCUCUCUGUGUAUGUCCAUUACCAAAAUCGGUCUCACCGAGUUUGAGCAAUCGGUACUACCGAGAUUACAAUGCAAACUCUCUGGUUAACUUAUUACCAAAAUCGGUCCGACCGAGUUUGUGUAAUCGGUCUCACCGAGUUUGCCUGACCAACUCUCUGGUUAGCUUAUUACCAAAAUCGGUCUCACCGAGUUUGUGUAAUCAGUCUCACCGAGAUUACGUUAUGCCCUAACCCUAACCAUAUCGGUCCCACCGAGUUGUAAUUUAGUCCCACCGAAAAUCCUAACGGUCACUAGAUUUGCUGAAUCGGUCCGACCGAGUUUAUCAAUUCGGUCCCACUGAGUUUGGCAAGUUUUGUGUAACGGUUAGAUUUUGUGUGGAGGCUAUAUAUACCCCUCCACCUCCUCUUCAUUCAUGGAGAGAGCCAUCAGAAAGAACCUACACUUCCAGCAUCCUAUUUCUGAGAGAGAACUACCUACUCAUGUGUUGAGGCCAAGAUAUUCCAUUCCUACCAUAUGAAUCUUGAUCUCUAGCCUUCCCCAAGUUGCUUUCCACUCAAAUCUUCUUUCCACCAGAUCCAAAUCCUAUGAGAGAGAGUUGAGUGUUGGGGAGACUAUCAUUUGAAACACAAGAGCAAGGAGUUCAUUAUCAACGCACCAUUUGUUACUUCUUGGAGAGUGGUGUCUCCUAGAUUGGCUAGGUGUCACUUGGGAGCCUCCUACAAGAUUGUGGAGUUGAACCAAGGAGUUUGUAAGGGAAAGGAGAUCGCCUACUUCGUGAAGAUCUACCGCUAGUGAGGCAAGUCCUUCAUGGGCGACGGCCAUGGUGGGAUAGACAAGGUUGCUUCUUCGUGGACCCUUCGUGGGUGGAGCCCUCCGUGGACUCGCGCAACCGUUACCCUUCGUGGGUUGAAGUCUCCAUCAACGUGGAUGUACGAUAGCACCACCUAUCAGAACCACGACAAAAACAUCCGUGUCUCCAAUUGCGUUUGAAUCCUCCAAAACCCUUCCCUUUACAUUCUUGCAAGUUGCGUGCUUUACUUUCCGCUGCUCAUAUACUCUUUGCAUGCUUGCUUGUUAUGUAUUGUGAAUGUUAAACUUGUGCGUAAACUCCACUUAAACUUAAAGAAGUUAAAAACUGCAACUUUGGUACUUAGUGUCUAAUCACCCCCCUCUAGACACCUCUUCUCAAGGUCCUACAAAGACAUACAUCAAGUGUUCUCAUUAUAAAGACUCAGUCUGAUAAGAUAACUUCAAGAGGGAAACUCAAUUCAUCACAAGAGAGUAGAGGGGGAGAAACAUCAUAAGAUCCAACUAUAAUAGCAAAGCUCGCGAUACAUCAAGAUCGUGUGAAGUCGAGAACACAAGAGAGAGAGAGAGAUCAAACACAUAGCUACUGGUACAUACCCUCAACCCCGAGGGUGAACUACUCCCUCCUCAUCAUGGAGAGCACUGGGAUGAUGAAGAUGGCCACCGGUGAUGGGACCCCCCUCCGGCAGGGUGCCGGAACAGGCUCCCGAGAGGUUUUUGGUGGCUACAGAGGCUUGCGGCGGUGGAACUCCCAAUCUAUCUUGAUUUUUGAUGUUUUUAGGGUACAUAGGUAUAUAUAGGUGAAAGAAGUCGGUCGGGGGGUGCUCGAGGGGUCCACGAGACAGGGGGCCGCACCCUGUAGGGGGGGCGCGCCCCUAUCUCCUGGGCUCCUCGAGGGUCUUCUGACUUGAUCUCCAAGCCUCCAGGAUGAUAUUCUUCCAAAAAAUCACGAUGCUGAAAGUUUCAUUCCGUUUGGUCUCCGUUAGAUAUUCCUUUUCUUCGAAAUACUGAAAGAGGCAAUAAAACAGCAAUAUGGGCUGGGCCUCCGAUUAGUAGGUUAGUCCCAAAAGUAAUAUAAAAGUGUAUAAUAAAGCCCAUAAUCAUUCAAAACAAGUAAUAUAAUAGCAUGGAACAAUCAAAAAUUAUAGAUACGUUGGAGGCGUAUCAAGCAUCCCCAAGCUUAAUUCCUGCUCGUCCUCGAGUAGGUAAAUGAUCAAAACAUAAUUUUUUGAUGUGGAAUGCUACCUAGCAUGAUUCUCAAAGUAAUUUCUCUUUAUUGUGGCAUGAAUGUUCAGAUCCAAAUGAUUCAAAUAAAAGUUCAUAUUGAUAAAAGAAAUAGUAACACUUCAAGCAUACUAAUCAAAGCAAUCAUGUCUUCUCAAAAUAACAUGGCAAAAGAAAGUUCAUCCCUACAAAUUCAUAUAGUUAGGCUAUGCUUCAUUUUCGUCACACAAAGAUGUUCCCAACUUCUAUACCCCCGAUGACAAGCCAAGCAAUUGUUUCGUACUCAAAUAAUCUCAAACUUUUUCAACCUUCACGCAAUACAUGAGCGUGAGCCAUGGAUAUAGCACUAUGGGUGGAAUAGAAUAAUGAUUGGGGAUUGUGUGGAGAAGCCAAAAAAGGAGAAAGUCUCACAUUGACGAGGAUAAUCAACGGGCUAUGGAGAUGCCCAUCAGUUGAUGUCAACAUGAGGAGUAGGGAUUGCCAUGCAACGGAUGCACUAGAGCUACAAAUGAAUGCUCAACAAAAGAAAACUAGUGAGUGUGCAUCCAACUUGCUUGCUCACGAAGACCUAGGGUAUUUGAGGAAGCCCAUCGUAGGAAUAUACAAGCCAAGUUCUAUAAUGAAAAAUUCCCACUAGUAUAUGAAAGUGACAACAUAUGAGACUCACUAUAUGAAAAACAUGGUGCUACUUUGAAGCACAAGUGUGGAAAAAGAGAUAGUAGCAUUGCCCUUUUUAUAUAUUUUCCUUUUUUUCUUUUUUUCUUUUUUUUCUUUGGGCCUUCUUUUUUUUCUUUUGGCCUUUCUUUUUUUGGGCAAUGCUCUAAUAAUGAUGAUCAUCACACUUUUAUUGGUUACAACAUAUGAACUACAACUCGAAACUAGAACAAGGUAUGACUCUAUAUGAAUGCCUCCGGCGGUGUACCGGGAUGGUGCAACAAAUCAAGAGUGACAUGUAUGAAAUUAUGCAUGGUAGCUUUGCCACAAAUACGAUGUCAACUACAUGAUCAUGCAAUGGCAAUAUGACAAAAGUAAAGUAUGUCAUGAUGAUGAUGAACGGAACGGUGGAAAGUUGCAUGGCAAUAUAUCUCGGAAUGGCUAUGGAAAUGCCAUAAUAGGUAGGUAUGGUGGCUGUUUUGAGGAAGAUAUAAGGAGGUUUAUGUGUGAUAGAGCGUAUCAUAUCACGGGGUUUGGAUGCACCGGCGAAGUUUGCACCAACUCUCAAGGUGAGAAAGGGCAAUGCACGGUACCGAAGAGGCUAGCAAUGGUGGAAAGGUAAAAGUGCGUAUAAUCUAUGGACUCAACAUUAGUCAAAAAAACUCAUAUAAUUAUUGCAAAAAUUUAGAAGUCAUCAAAAAUCAAGCACUAAGCGCAUGCUCCUAGGGGGAUAGAUUGGUAGGAAAAGACCAUCGCUCGUCCCCGACCGCCACUCAUAAGGAUGCACAAGCCAGGUACACUUCAUGUUUCAAAUUUGUUACACAACUUUAACCAUACGUGCAUGCUAUGGGACUUGCUAACUUCAACACAAGCAUUCUUUAAAUUCAUAAUCACCCAACUAGCAUGACUUUAAUAUCACUACCUCCAUAUCUCAAAACAAUUAUCAAGUAUCAAAUUGAUCAUAGCAUCCAAUUCACCUCCUAUGGUAGUUUUCAUUCAAAUUACCAUGCUGUUUAAGACUCUCAAAAUAAUAUAAGUGAAGCAUGAGAGUUCAUUAAUUUCUAGAAAAUAAAACCACCGCCUUGCUCUAUAAAUGAUGUACUAAAGAAAAAGACAAACUACUCCGAAAGAUAUAAGUAAAGAUCAAUGAGUAGCUAAAUAUUUAUGUAACUAUGCGAAGACUCUCUCUCAUUAAAGAAUUCAGAUCUUGGUAUCUUAUUCAAACAGCAAGCAAAGCAAAAUAAAAUUACAUUGCAAGGAUAGCACAACUCAUGUGAAGAAGCAAAAACUUAGGCUCAACCGAUACUAACCGAUAGUUGUUGAAGAAGAAAGGUGGGAUGCCUACCGGGGCAUCCCCAAGCUUAGAUGCUUGAGACUUCUUGAAAUAUUAUCUUGGGGUGCCUUGGUCAUCCCCAAGCUUGAACUUUUGUGUCUCCUUAAUUCCUUUCAUAUCAUGGUUUCUCUUUUUAUCAAAAGCUUUAUUCACAACAAACUCAACAAGAACUCGUGAGAUAGGUUAGUAUAAACCAAUGCAAAACCUUGUCAUUUUCUACUAUAAAAAAUCACUAAAAUUAUUAUUCAACAUUGCAUAAUAAAUGCCUCUGCAUAUUUAACACUUCUAUCCUCAAAUAGAAUCAUUAAACAAGCAAACAUACGCAAACAAUGCAAACAAAACAGCAAUCUGCCAAAACAGUACAGUCUGUAAAGAAAGCAAGAUUCAUCAAACUUCCCUAACUCCAAAAAUUAUGAAAUAAAAUUCCCACUGUAAUAAAUUUAUCAGAUCUCACUAUGCAAAAAGAUUCAACAUUAUAACGUUCUCUGACUUUUCUAGGGAAUUUUUGCAACAGCGGUAAACUUUCUGUUUUCAAACAGCAACAUGUAUACUAGCAAAUAAGCAUGGUAAAGUCUAUCCUUGACAUUUUUAUUGAAACUAAAGACGCAAAACAUUAUUCUAACUAACAACAAGCUAAUACUAACAAAAGAAAAUGACGCUCCAAGCAAAACACAUAUCAUGUGGUGAAUAAAAAUAUAGCUCCAACUAAAGUUACUGAUGAACGAAGACGAAAGAGGGGAUGCCUUCCCGGGGCAUCCCCAAGCUUAGGCUUUUGGCUAUUCUUGAAUAUCUUGGGGUGCCUUGGGCAUCCCCAAGCUUAGGCUCUUUCCACUCCUUAUUCCAUAGUCCAUCGAAUCCUUACCCAAAACUUGAAAACUCCACAACACAAAACUCAACAGAAAACUCGUAAGCUCCGUUAGUAUAAGAAAAUAAAACCACCACUUAGGUACUGUAAUGAAUUCAUUCUAAAUUCAUAUUUGUGUAAUAUCUACUGUACUUCAACUUAUCUAUGGUUCAUACCCUCCGAUACUACUCAUAGAUUCAUCAAAAUAAGCAAACAACACAUAGAAAACAGAAUCUGUCAAAAACAGAACAGUCUGUAGUAAUCUGUAUCAAACGUAUACUUCUGGUACUACAAAAAUCCUACCAAAUUAGGAAGUCCUAAGAAAUUUGUGUACCAAUCUGUAGAAUAAAGAAUCAUAUCAGAAGCAAGUUUAUGUGAAUUAAAAAAACUAAUUUACUGGGUGCAAAAGUUUCUGAUUUUCAGCAGGAUCAACACAACUAUCACCGUAAGCUAUCCUAAAGGUCUUACUUGGCACUUUAUUGAAACAAAAGAUAUAAAAUAUGAUUACUACAGUAGCAUAAUCAUGUGAACACACAAAAACAGUAAGGAUAAAUAUUGGGUUGUCUCCCAACAAGAGCUUUUCUUUAAUGCCUUUUUAGCUAGGCAUGAUGAUGACAAUGAUGCUCACAUAAAAGAUAAGAGUUGAAACAUAACGGGAGCAUCAUGAAGCAUAUGACUAUCACAUUUAAGCCUAACCCACUUACUAUGCAUAGGGAUUUUGUGAGCAAACAACUUAUGGGAACAAUAAUCAACAAGCAUAGGAAGGCAAAACAAGCAUAACUUCAAAAAUUUAAGCACAUAGAGAGGAAACUUGACAUUAUUGCAAUUCCUACAAGCAUAUAUUGCUCCCUCAUAAUAAUUUUCAGUAGCAUCAUGAAUGAAAUCAACAAUAUAACCAGCACCUAAAUCAUUAUUUUCAUAAUCUACAAGCAUAGAAAAUUUACUACUCUCCACAUAAGCAAAAUUCUUCUCAUUAAUAGUAGUGGGAGCAAACUCAACAAAAUAAUUAUCAUGUGAGGCAUAAUCCAAUUGAAAACUAAAAUCAUGAUGACAAGUUUCAUGGUUAUCAUUAUUCUUAAUAGCAUACAAGUCAUCACAAUAAUCAUCAUAGAUAGCAACUUUGUUCUCAUAAUCAAUUGGAACCUCUUCCGAAAUAGUGGAAUCAUCACUAAAUAAAGUUGACACUCUUCCAAAUCCACUUUCAUAUUCAUCACAUUAAGAUUCAACAUCCUCCAAAAUGGUGGGAUCACUACUUCCAAAACUUGACACUCUUCCAAACCCACUUUCAUCAAUAUAAUCAUCAUAAAUAGGAGGCAUGCAUUCAUCAUAAUAAAUAUUCUCAUCAAAACUUGGGGGACUAAAAAUAUCAUAUUCAUCAAACAUAGCUUCCCCAAGCUUGUGGCUUUGCAUAUCAUUAGCAUCAUGGAUAUUCAAGGAAUUCAUAAUAACAACAUUGCAAUCAUGCUCAUCAUUCAAAGAUUUAGUAUCAAACAUUCUAUAGAUUUCGUCUUCUAUCACUUGAGCACAAUUUUCCUUUCCAUCAAACUCACGAAAGAUAUUAAAAAGACGAAGCGUAUGAGACAAGCUUAACUCCAUUUUUUGUAGUUUUCUUUUAUAAACUAAACUAGUGAUAAAACAAGAAACAAAAAGAUUUGAUUGCAGGAUCUAAAGAUAUACCUUCAAGCACUCACCUCCCCGGCAACGGUGCCAGAAAAGAGCUUGAUGUCUACUACACAACCUUCUUCUUGUAGACGUUGUUGGGCCUGCAAGUGCACAGGUUUGUAGGACAGUAGCAAAUUUCCCUCAAGUGGAUGACCUAAGGUUUAUCAAUCCAUAGGAGGCGUAGGAUGAAGAUGGUCUCUCUCAAACAACCCUGCAACCAAAUAGCAAAGAGUCUCUUGUGUCCCCAACACACCCAAUACAAUAAUAAAUUGUAUAGGUGCACUAGUUCGGCGAAGAGAUGGUGAUACAAGUGCAAUACGGAUAGUAGAUAAAGGUAUUUGUAAUCUGAAAUUAUAAAAACAGCAAGGUAACAAGUGGUAAAAGUGAGCGUAAACAGUAUUGCAAUGAUAGGAAACAAGGCCUAGGGUUCAUACUUUCACUAGCGCAAGUUCUCUCAACAAUAAUAACAUAGAUAGAUCAUAUAACAAUCCCUCAACAUGCAACAAAGAGUCACUCCAAAGCCACUAAUAGCGGAUAACAAACAUAGAGAUUAUGGUAGGGUACGAAACCACCUCAAAGUUAUUCUUUCGGAUCGAUCUAUUAAAGAGUUCGUACUAGAAUAACACCUUAAGACACAAAUCAACCAAAACCCUAAUGUCACCUAGAUACUCCAUUGUCACCUCAAGUAUCCGUGGGCAUGAUUAUACGAUAUGCAUCACACAAUCUCAGAUUCAUCCAACCAACACAAAGUACUUCAAAGAGUGCCCCAAAGAUUCUACCGGAGAGUCAAGAAAACGUGUGCCAACCCCUAUGCAUAGGUUCAUGGGCGGAACCCGCAAGUUGGUCACCAAAGCAUACAUCAAGUGGCACGUGAAAUCCCAUUGUCACCACAGAUAAACACGGCAAGACAUACAUCAAGUGUUCUCAUCAUAAAGACUCAAUCCGAUAAGAUAACUUCAAGAGGGAAACUCAAUUCAUCAUAAGAGAGUAGAGGGGGAGAAACAUCAUAACAUCCAACUAUAAUAGCAAAGCUCGCGAUACAUCAAGAUCGUGUGAAGUCGAGAACACGAGUGAGAGAUCAAACACAUUGCUACUGGUACAUACCCUCAGCCCCGAGGGUGAACUACUCCCUCCUCAUCAUGGAGAGCGCCGGGAUGAUGAAGAUGGCCACCAGUGAUGGGACCCCCCUCCGGCAGGGUGCCGGAACGGGCUCCCGAGAGGUUUUUGGUGGCUAUAGAGGCUUGCAGCGGCGGAACUCCCGAUCUAUCUUGAUUUUUGAUGUUUUUAGGGUACGUAGGUAUAUAUAGGCGAAAGAAGUCGAUCGGGGGGUGCUCGAGGGGUCCACAAGAUAGGGGGCCGCGCCCUGUAGGGGGGCAUGCCCUCCUAUCUCCGGGGCUCCUCAAGGGUCUUCUGACUUGAUCUCCAAGCCUCCAGGAUGAUAUUCUUCCAAAAAAUCAUGAUGCCGAAAGUUUCAUUCCGUUUGGACUCCGUUUGAUAUUCCUUUUCUUCGAAAUACUGAAACAGGCAAUAAAACAACAAUAUGGGUUGGGCCUCCGGAUAAUAGGUUAGUCCCAAAAGUAAUAUAAAAGUGUAUAAUAAAGCCCAUAAUCAUUCAAAACAAGUAAUAUAAUAGCAUGGAACAAUCAAAAAUUAUAGAUACGUUGGAGAUGUAUCAGGCGCCAGGUGGGCGCCUGCGCGCGCAGCGUCCUCGUUUCCCCUUUGGUGCUAAGGGGGCAAGCGCAGGCGCGGAGUACCAAGGCAUUAGGCAAAGGUUUCCAUAUCGAUGCAACAAGACCAAGACCAGCAGGACGUCAGGACGGAGGUCAUCGUGGAGCCCAAGACGGCGUGACCACCAGCGCCUUUGAUAGGCGAAGACCACCUUUAGUCAGGAUAGCUUGUACUAGUUGUCCCCUUUCAAAUUGGUCGUUGUGGAAUCCCUUCCCGCUCAAUUUUUGGGAAGAGGACCAGGGCCUCUAUAAAUAGGGCUAGCCACCACAGUAGAAAGGGAAACUGAUCAGAUCAUCGAUCCCCCCUCAAGCAGAACACCACACCAGCUCAAGAACACCUCUCCUCAGGAGGCUGUUCUUCCCUUGUACUGUUCAUCAUCAGCCCAAGAGGCAAUCCACCAUCACCACACAGGAGUAGGGUAUUACACCACAACGGUGGCUCAAACCUGUAUAAAUCUUGUGUCUCUUGUGUUGUGAGUUCAUCGAGCUAGCUUAUAGAUCGCGGCGAGGCUGAGAGCAUGAUUCAGUAGGGGGAAAUCUUCGUGCACACCCCAGUGUUCGAACCUCAAGGGUUUUUCCGGAACCUAAUAUCCCACAGAUAUCCAAGCCCUUUUGGAUGUGAAUGAGAAGAGGGCCCAAAUGGAAAGUAAGCCUGAUGAGAGCAAGCUCCAGGAGAAGUAUGACAUGGUUAAGAACCUGACAGUAGCUCAAGCCAUUGUCAUUAGGAACAUGAAGUUGAAGCUUGUUGAAGAGAAGAGUAAGUUGCGGGCCCAUAUUGAUGAGCUUGAAAAGGUUGUGGAGCAGACCAAGGUCAAGCUAAAUGGGAUCAAGGCAAUCUUAGAUGAAUGAGACACACUGGGCAGUAAUGGUCAUGGAGUUCAUGGUCAUGUAUGGAUCUCCUUAUUAGUUAUGUAAUGGUUAUGUAUAGAUCUCCCAAUUAUGCUACUUAUUAGUUACGUAAUGGUUAUGUAUGGAUCUCCCAAUUAUGCUACUUAUUAGUUAUGUACUGGUUAUGUAUGGAUCUCCCAGUUAUGCUACUAUUAGUUAUGUAAUGGUCAUGUAUGGAUCUCCCAAUUAUGCUACUUAUUAGUUAUGUAAUGGUUAUGUCUGGAUCUCCCAAUAUGCUAAAUAUGAUCAAUGUGGAUGUGGAUUUGUAUAUCUGAAAUAGCCCUAUACUCAUUUUUGUGGUUUUUCCGACAUGGGGGGAGCCUAGACUCAUUUAGAUGGUUUUUCCGACGUCGAUGGAGCCUAGACUCAUUUAGGUGUUUUUUUCGACGUCGAGGAAGCCUAGCCUCACUUUGGUGGGGUUUUCGACGUCGAGGGAGCCUAGUCUCAUUUUAAUAGUUUUUUCUAUGUCAAGGGAGCCUAGCCUCACUUUGGUGGGUUUUUCAACGUCGAGGGAGCCUAGACUCAUUUUGGUGGGUUUUUCGAUGUUGGGGGAGCCUAGACUCAUUUAGGUGGUUUUUCGACGUCGAGGGAGCCUAGACUCAUUUUGGUGGUUUUUCCGACGUCGGGGGAGCCUAAACUCAUUUAGGUGGGUUUUUCGACGUCGGGGGAGCCUAGACUCAUUUAGGUGGUUUUUUCGACGCCAAGGGACCCUAGACUCAUUUAGGUGUUUUUUUACGUCAAGGGACCAUAGCCUCACUUUGGUGGGUUUUUUGACGUCGAGGGCCCCUAGCAGUAGGUUCAAUAGCCAUCAAAAGGCAACAAAAGGCAUCAAGUAAUACUCAUUUUGGUGCAACUACCAUCGACAUCUAGCAUCAAGUUCAACAGCCAUCAAAAGACAACAAAAAGGCAUCAGCUAUUACUCAUUUUGGUGCAACUACCAUCAACAUCCAACAUCAAGUUCAACAACCAUCAGAAGGUAACAAGUUCAACAUCUGGUUCAAAGCAACCAACAAAGGCAUCAAGUUCAACAACCAUCAAAAGGCAAAAAGUUCAAUAUCUAGUUAAGCAGCAACAUAGGGCAUCUAGUUUAAUAGCCAACAAAGGCAUUUAGUUCAAGCAGCUAACAAAGGCAUCUAGUUCAACAGCCAACAAAGGCAUCAAAUUCAAGCAGCCAAACAAAGGCAACACCAUCUAGUUACCAGAAGCAUAUAGGUACUAUUUCAUCUUGUAGGAAAUAGUCCUCUUCCUUCCAGUCUGUCUAGGAGCAUGAAAUAUUCUCCUAUGGCCUGCAACAGAUGCAGAUGAUGUACCAGUUGUGGUAGCUUUCUUCCUGGGAGACCUCCUUGGAGGAGCAGUAGGCGCUGGGGUAGCAUUCUUCCUGGGAGACCUCCUUGGAGGAGCAGUAGGUCCUCACACUGGUGUGCCACCCAUUUUCCUGUGACCUCGGUGUUCUCUACUACCGCUGGGCAUGUGUGCAGGAAAUUAGCCUUUCUUAUGCAAAAAGUACUUUCAUUUGCAACAACAGAAGCUACAAUGUAGAAAAGGGCAUUUUCAUUAGUGUGCACAACUAUGAUGUUGUCAUUGCAGUUUUUGUGGAACUCAUAGUUCCUAUUCUGACUUAUGUGAAAUGUCUGAAGUGCUCUCCUAAAUUGGUACACAUUAAGGAAACAAAGCUUUCUACAAAACUGCUCCUCUGGGUUCUCUCUGUCAUCACUGUACCACUUCCUUGGUUGUGAUUUAUAUGCUCUGCUCUUCCUUCCAUUGGGCAGAAUAUAAGGUGCUUUCUCAGCUCCAUCAUCAUAUUCCUGCUUCAAAUCACCUACAUCUAUCUCCUCAUCUGAUGAUGGUAUCCACACAUCCUCAAAUCAUUGCCCCAAGCCAGAAUGUGACCUCUUGGUUGGCCCUUUUCUAGAUUUCUUCUUCUUUGGUGGCUCCUCUUGUUGCUCCACCUGCUCCUCUUCCUCAUGCUCCACAUGCUCCUCUUCCUCAUCUUCCCCAUACACUUCAUCCACAUCAAUGUCUCCUUCAAAAUGAAGGAGUGGGACCUCUCUCUGCCUCCUCAACUGAUUAAGCCUGUUAAGAAAGUCCUCAUAUGCAUCCAGACCUGAAUCAUCUUCAGUUAAAAGAAUUGGUAGUUUUUGCUUAACCAUUUGAACAUGCCUAGCUGCCUCCUUAUGUUUCCUAAAUUUCUCAAUCUUGGUUCUCCUCUUUAGCUCCAUUAGUGUCUCCAGCUCAUCUUGAUCCAUAGCAAGAUCUAAGUUUGUGCUCUGCUGUGUGGAAAAGAACAAAAGUGGCUCCGACUGCUUCUAUUUAUUGAAUUUCUUAGAUGAUCUGAAUAGAACUCCAGAAGGAUUGACUUCAUAGACAUGUUUUUCUCUUAAUUGACUCAGAGGAACCUGCUCCUCAUACACAUAGCUUGAAUUCAAAUCUCUAGGUCUUGGAUCAGUGGCCCUAAUCACUGUCAAAUUCACUACAUUCGAUCUUUAUUAGCAAUAUAGUCGAGCAUUUCAUCCACCUUGUCAUCAUCAGAAUUUUCUUCCAAUCAAGCAAUACCCACACAGGGCUCCCUCACAAAGUAAAUGUAAUCAUUCAGCCCAUAUCCCUCUGUCUCUAUUAAUGCUACCAAAUUGUGAUAUGUGAUGUCUGAAAUGCAGAUUGAUCUCUCCAAGUUUUCUCCGUCAUGGAAGUGCAUUCUAACUUCCCGAACAACAUCAUCCAAACUAGACAACAAGAUAAUACAACAAUUUUAAUUAACAGUGCAUAAUUACUAUAAAAAAGUUAACAGUAAUCUGCUCUAAUUAACACUACAUAUUAACAGAAAGUAUCAUAUUUUGCUCUUAUUGGCACUGCUCUAAUUAACAAUGCAUAAUUACUACAAAAGAAGCUACUCUAUUUUGCUCUUUAUUGACACUGCUCUAAUUAACAGUUCACAUUGCUACAUUACAAAUUAAUAUGAGUCUAUGACAGUGGGCUAUUCCCCUCCCCCUCCCUGAAAAUCCAAUUGAGUGUUUCAGUACCCAAGCUACGUUUAACAGUGCCAACAAAUCAAAAUAACCACACAUACAUACAAUCCCAACUUGAAGAACCCUAACCCUAGAAUAUGUACAAAUGAUAAGAAACUAGGUUUUUGAAGAGGGAAACUUACUAGAUGCCGCCGAAUGACGAGCGCCAGUGGUGGCUUUUCGUCAGAUGGGCCUUCAUGGCCCUGGCCCAAGAUCUAGUCGUCGCGAAUUCAAGCGAGUGCUGGUGUUAGAACAUUUCCCGUGUUUUGGGUGAUGAUGACAACCCUCCUUGUAUUAUAAUCUUCUGGUUAGUUCUUCAGGUUCGCAUCGACAAGGUAUUCUCUCUGGAAGGAAAAGAUCGAAGACGGAGUUGUCUGCGCGUUUUAUUUCUUUGGUCGUAGGAAACCCGUACUAUCAAGAGGGAAUCCACAUCAGAAGGCAUUGGGUGAAUCAUUGCACGUACACUCUCUUUGUCACCCACCAUCUCAUUCCGUUCUGUGUAGAGAGAGGCCCCUAUGUUUCUUGCUGGUGUAGUGGCUUCUCCUCAGCGGUUGUACCGCCUUCUAGGGCGGUUGUACCAUUGGCCCUGUUGUACCGUUGCAAGCACCGCCCUAGGGGUGAUACCCUGGGGUUGCCCCUCCCAGGUUCUUGCCAAGCGGUUGUACCGCUGCCCCAGGUCGGUGGUAUCGCUUGUCCAAUGGUAAACCUUGGGGUUGCACUUGGGCGGUUGUAUCGGCCGGGUACCGCUCAACCACCGGAUGAGGUUUUGUGAUGGAGCGGUACUUGGGUGGUGGUAGCCCGGUUGUUUCGGUUGUGCUCCGCAUACCAGUACUACCGGUUGUCCUGAGCGGUUCUACCACUUGGGACUUAGCCACCCCGUGCACCAGGUGCGAGCGGUUGUUCCGGACACUCUACCACUCAACCACUACCCAUGGGGGUGACUCCCUUCGGUUUCAAGGCGGUUGUGGAGCGGUAAUGAAGUGGUUGGUCCAGUUGUUCUUAAUAACCGAUAUUACCGCUCUAGCGACUGGUUGUACCACCUGCUAGGGUUUCAGCAACUUCACAUGAUCCCAGUUGUACUGGGGAGAGGAGCGGUUGUAUCGCUGCAGUGUAAAAACUGCUGUAACGGUUGGAUCUUAGGGUUUCCUAUAUAAAGGAGGUUCUUCCACCUACCCCCCCUUACCUCUAGCCUCUCUCUCUCCACCAUUGAUGCCCUUCAAGCUUUUCUGCCCAAUCUCUCUCUCUAGCCACUCAAACUUGAUGAUUUGCUAGGGAUUGAAGGAGGAGACCUAGAUCUACACUUCCACCAAAGGAUAUUUGAUUCCCCCAUACUUUCUUGUGUGGAGUUUGUUACUCUUGGGUGUUUGAGCACCCUAGACGGUUGAGGUCACCUCGGAGCCAUAUUCCAUUGUGGUGAAGCUUCAUGGUUUCGUUGGGAGCCUCCAAUUCGGUUGUGGAAAGAGCCCCAACCUUGUUUGUGAAGGUUCGGUUGCCGCCUUCAAGGGCACCACUAGUGGAAUCAUGACAUAUCGCAUUGUGUGAUGGUGUGAGGAGAAUACGGUGGCCCUAGUGUCUUCUUGGGGAGCAUUGUGCCUCCACACCGCUCCAACGGAGACGUACUUCCCCCAAAGGGAAGGAACUUCGGUAACACAUCCUCGUCUCCAUCGGUUCCACUUGUGGUUAUCUCUUCCCUUUACUUUGUGCAAGUCAUUAUUGUGUUGCAUCCUUUGCUUGCAUUUGUUGUUGUUGUUUUGUUACUAGCAUCAUAUAGGUUGCUCACCUAGUUGCACAUCUAGACAACCUAUUUGUUGCUAAACCUAAUUUGUUAAGCAAAGCUAAAAAUUAGUAGUUUCCUAUUCACUAUUGGAGAUAUGCCCUAGAGGCAAUCAUGUAUGAUGAUAUUUCCUAUUUGUUUAUGAAUAAAUAUUGUCCUUGGACAUUAUCAAUGAUGUGUAUUAGCAAGUACGUGACUUGUUUGUGGGACUAUGUAUAAUGACUGUCCUAAAAGGUCCCUAGUCGAAAGGGCUGUGUGGACGUGCAACCGACUAGACUAGCAUAUGACAUGGUAGAUGGCUUGGUCUCACUAGCCAUGUAGCAUUGGAUGCUAACCGGAUAAUGUGGACUCAGAAGGAUCUGGUCGGAUUUGACAUAGUCGGAUCCGAGUCGAGAUAAGGUUCGAGUCGGACAAACCCAACUAUGAGACACAAUGAUAUGUCAUAUGUGAGUCUCUAGUACAACAUACGUUCUAUGUCCUAAGACAUGAGCUGGUGCAUGUACUUAGGAUGGUGAUAGACCUGCUUUGGGCCGACCAAAUGCUACUCCGUGACUGGGUAGUUACAAAGGUAGGUUUCGGGCUUGUCCAGACCCAUGCUGUGAGACAUGGUCGAGCAAGAUGGGAUUUGCUCCUCCAAUCAUGAGAGAUAUACUCUGGGCCCCUCGUGUGAACCGAUCAGGAUAAGCAUGGCCAUGCGACAAGGAUUAUGAGAUAAUCUGGUUUGUGGUCGGCAUCACUGGAAUGAGAAAGAGGUCGGGCUAGCACCAGGAUGACAGACUCGCCUUGAGCCCGACUACAUAUAUUGUGUGGCAAAAGGAAUGAAAGUGUGAUGUACAGGUUCGCCUAACCAGCUUCAUUGUCUACUUGGUGGUUGGCACGCCUUGAUAGAGGUCGGUAACAGCAGAGCAGGUCGGAGGUGAUCCGACCUGCGACCAAGCCGACUUGAACCUAAGGGGUCGCGCGCUUAAGAGAAGGAACCUGUGAGGCCGGAUCGGACUCCACGAGUCAGAUGUGAUCCUACUUGGACUCAGAUCCCGGCCGAAUAGAUUUUGGGCUUUAGGGUCCGUGCGAAGCCUAAGUGUUGAGCCCGAGAUGGAUGCCUAUAUAAAGUGGGUGUGCUGCACUCAUGUAGUUGAUCGCGUCGGCACUGUCACUAGGGUUGGCAUGUGUUGCGAAUAGCCAUCUCCACUCGCCGCUGACUAUGUGAUCGGACCUAGCAGUCCGCCGCACGGUGUUCCUUCUGCAUGCUCGGAUACCGUUAGAGGCAAUGCACAUGCGCCGCUCCAGCGAACCUGUACGUGGGAUCCGACGAUCGGCUGUUCGAGGGAGAUCGGACAAGUAGGAGACGAACCACGCGGACGCGCUGCCCCAACUCUUCUUCCACUGCACGACACUGCGCGUCUAGUGGUAAUGAUCUGUGAUCCAUCUCCCGUAGCAUGUUCCUGGUUGUUCUGCGCAUAGGAAAAUUUUAAUUUGCAGUCAACGCACCCUAUCAUAGUAGAACUCUUCAUUCACCCCCCCGGCGUCUAGUCAACCAUAUCGAUCCUUUCAGUUGGUAUCAGAGCCUCGUCUCUUUAUUAAGGGUUUCACCACCCAAAGAGUAUGGUUGACACCGUGGAGGAAGUGCCUGAGGCCGUGGAGUUGACUUUGAUCACUCGAGAUGACCUAAAUGAAGCUAUGGCUUCACUUAAUACGUCUAUGACGGCCGAAGUAAAGUCCAUUCUUAAAGAAUUGCUUGAGGGGAUGAAAUCCACUCCCGACCCUGUUCUUAUGGUUAAACCCACAGCAUCAGAGUCGGAGGCCAAUUCCGCCAAGGAAACGACCAAAGAUACUCAUGUUCCUUACCCUCAUGACAAGAAUGGGACGGGAACCUUUGCCUUGGUUCCCCCUCCCCGGUCUAUGGAGGACCGGUCCCUAUCGCUUGCAUUAAUAUUCAUGGACCUCCUCCCAAGCUUGUUAAGGGUGAUUUUGCUAAUUGGAUCUUUUGCAUUAAGUCUCAUUUGAAUCAUUGUUCAACUAACCUUUGGAGAAUUAUUGAGCAAGGUUUCUACCCUCACGAUCCAAACAACUUCACCCCAAGAGAAGAAGUGGACAAUCAAUAAAAUCACUCCACUUUGUUUAUCCUUCAAGAAGCGGUCCCUCCUGAAGACCUAGCACACCUAAGCCCAUUCACUCAUGCAAAGUAUUAUUGGGAGCACAUUGUUUCAAUGUACAAGGGGACCUCAAGCAUUCAACGGUCCAACUUUGAAGUAGUCCUUGAUGAGGCCGAUGAAUUUGUGAUGCUGGAAGAUGAGGAUCCGCGUGAUCUUUACCCAAGGGUGACUACACUUGCGGUUGCCCUCCAAGACCAUGGAAGCAAGGAUACGGAUGACACUUGGAUCAAGCGCAAGUUCCUCAAGGCCAUCAUGCCCUUCAACAAGGCCAUGUCUUCUAUGAUUCAUCAAAGGCCGGACUUUCACUCCUUAACCUCAAGUGAAGUGUUGGAUUAGUUUAAUGCCAUGAACAUCAUGAAUAAGACCGCCGACAAUGCUCUUGCUCGGGUCCGGUCAAAGAAAAGCACUCUGUCACUUGCUUUGAAGGCCAAGACAAUCUCAGAAGAAGAAGAAGAGGAGGAAGAAGAAGAGGGUGGCCCCAAGGACACCAAGUAUGCUUACCAUGAGCAUAUAGCUCUUGUGUCAAGGCAAUUUUAGAGCAAUAGGAGUAACUCAAGACCCAACUUCACCAAAAACAACUCAAGUGGGUCAAAGAGCAAGCAACAUGUAAGAACUUGUUACAAUUGUGGCAAUGUGAGUCACUUUGUGGUGGAUUGCCCCUACGAGAAGAGGGAAGACAAUGGUGGCAAACUCAUUCGGAAAUAUAAAGCCAAGUCUUUUCCUAGCAAGAACAACUUCACUAAGAAGCCUCCUCCAAAGGGCUUGGUGGCACAAGAAGAGUAUGCCUCCGAUGAUGAUGAGGAAGAUACAAGUGGAGAAGGAAUGGCAACGACAAACAUUGCUAAUUUGCUAUUGCUACAUCUUCCCACUCCAAGGUGUCUCUCUUCGGCGCCCCCAAUGAAAACACCAUUGCCAAGUGUCUCAUGGCCAAAGGUAUCAACAAGGUAACUCCCAACAUCAAAACCACCAUCAUUACUACUCCUUCAUUGUUAGAUUGUGUUGAUGAUAGUGAGGUGGAGAAAGUUGAUGAGAAUGAGUUCACCAAGUUUGUGAACAAGCUCAAGGGUGAGACCAAGAAGCACUUUGUUGCUAUCUUGGAACAACUUGGUCAGGCCAAUGAUAUCAUUGAGUCUCAUGAGGAUACUAUCUCUAAGUUGGAGGAGCAUAGUCGUGACUAUGCCGAUGAAAUUGUGAAUCUUUCCAUUACUCUAAAGGAAGAGCAAGAUCUUCGUUUGACUCUUGAGGAGUCACACAACGUUGAUCAUGCUAAAUUGCAAAAAGAUCUUGAUCAUCCUAUUGUUCUUACUCGUGUGCUUAAAUCCGAGAAAGCCGAACUUGGGGUUGGCCAUGCUAGACUCAAGGAAGAGUUUGAUAUACUUGACAAGGCUCACAAGGCCUUGAAGGGUGUUCAUGCCUCUCUCAAAGAGUCUCAUGAUCAACUCCAAGUGAAGCUAACAAAAGAGAUUUCCACGUGUCCUCCUUUCAUUCUAAUUGAUAAUGCCCAUGCUACUAACCCGUGUUGUGAGCAUGUGCAUUGCCGGGGAAAUUGAUCCACGAACACCUAUGGGACCGGCGGACCGAGCCCCUUUCGGUUCGGUGGGGGGCGGAGAUCGCACGAAGAGCGGAUCGAGGCGAAGCACACGAGCAGUUUACCCAGCUUCGGAGCUCUCCGGAGAGAUAACACUCCUACUGCUGCAUAUCUGAGUGUAUUGAGUUCUUGCUCGGGAGCGCCGAGUGCUACAAUACACACUAGCUGCUAACGAGACCGAGCGUGAGUGUUUUUCUGCCUUCGAACCCCCUUCUAUGUUGCGCAUGGGCCUCCUUUUAUAUGCUAAAGGGGUCACCGACAGGUGGCAACGUAGACAAGGGUAAAAAUGGAAAAGGAAUUACGGUUGGUGCAACAACCUGUACAGUGUAUCAUACCUAACCCUAACGGCAGGGGACAAAGGCAUUAAAUGCCCGUCUGUGUCGCCCAAAUAGUGCAAAAAAGGACCGUCAGGGACGCCAAGGCUCGCCAUGAUGGCAAUCUUGUCAGCAUCGCUUGCCACCGCGCACCGUUGGCUGCACAGCCUCUUGCCACGCGCGCCUGGAAAGGCCCCAGGGCGACACGUUGGUGGAUGGCGGGUACAGAGUGGUAGCUUGCCGCGGUCGUUGUCUUGUCGCGUUCGGAAGCUUGUCACUCACCAGGCCUUGCCGGGACGCAUGGCGCGUCGCGACAAGUUCCUUGAGAUGCCUUGGUUGGCCUUCCCGGCAAGCUCCUCUUGCCGGGGCCUUGUCUCCUUGGCUUGAAUACUUUGUUCUUGAAUGGCUCCGAAGGAACCACGGCGGACCUUGGCGGUCACCCGGCAAGCCUUGCCGCAGGGUGCUGCAACUGCCCGUGCACAAGUUCGGGAUACUAGGGUACCCCUACUCUUGUACACCGACAGGAGCCCCCGGGCCUGGGCCACACACGGUGCCGAGCGCUGUUGGGCCAGGCCCAAAACAGGGCACGGGCACGCGCGGCCUGGGUUACGCCGUAUCUCACUCCGUAUCCACCGCGCCCUCCUCGAACGGCACGCGUCGAAUGCGGCGUCGUGGGAGAGAUCAUGGGUGGUUUCUUUAUUCGGAAGGACGGAACGUCCGCCCCUCCCUCUUUAUAAGCAGAGGAAAUAGGGGCAGUUCGCCCAUCUCACCGGUUGCUACUCCAAUCUCAGAAAUCUCCGCCGCUCCCCCUUCUUCCCAAAGCUGAAAGAGAGUAGCGCUCCGCCCCCUAUCACCACCAGCAUCACCUACGCCGUCGAUCUCCCCCACCACCUCCGCCAUGGCUCCGAAAGCCGACAAGGGGAAGGUCAUGAAGUCGGCCGAGGCGCAGCGGCUCGCGGCGCUACGAAAGGAGCGGGCAAUCUCCCCCCCCCAGCUCGCCGCGAAGGAGCUGAGGGAGUACUACUACCUCUUCUGGUCGACGGAGACGCGAGCGCAUCCGCGUACGAAGGUACUCCCAGCUGCCGCUUCGGAACUGGUUCCGAAUGGAUACCCUUUCUUCGCGCUGUUCUUCUACUGUGGGCUCUGCCCGCCUUUCUCUGAAUUUUUCUGCGACAUCAUGAACACCUACGGGUUCCGCCUCCUUGACUUCACCCCCAAUGCUGUUCUGACCAUGGCAGUUUUCGCACAUCUCUGCGAAAACUUUGUCGGAGUCCAUCCAAAUGUAGCUCUUUUUCGCCACUUCUUUAUGCCCCGAGUUGAGAGAGGGGAGCCUUUAUCCGGCGGAAUCACCUGGAUCUCGAGAGCUGGCAAGAAGGAAGCUUAUCUGGAGGGAGAGCUCCGCAGCAAGUGGGAGGAAUGGAGAGCAGAGUGGUGCUGGAUUGUCGAGGAGAACCCGCAGCCAUUUACCGCCCAGCGCCAAGCCCCAAUAGUGCGCGACAACGAUUGGAGCAACGUGGCCCCGGAAGACGAUAGGCUGAAGAUUGCCGUCACCCGGAUCCUACGCCUCAGGCUUGCCGGGCUCACCGUAGGCGCCGUUGGCGCAGAUUUUCUUCGCCGCCGCAUCGCCCCCCUGCAGGAGAGGAGGAGACCCGCCUGGGAGUUCCAGAACGCGACGGAUAUCAUGAGGCUGCGCCCGGGCCUCAACUUCAACUUCACUGUCCUGGAGCUGGAGGCGAUGAUCCGGGAACUGUUCAAGCGCGAUCAUCAGCAUCCCGAAGCGUUCAUGUUGCCGAGGGGUGUCGUUCCGCUGUGCAACAACUCCUUGCUCGACCGCAUCCGUGCAAUGAUGCCCCUGUGCGAUUCGCAUGGAAUUGUCCCAACUUGGCAAGAGCCUGCAGAUGACGUCGUGCGGGAUUUCUUAUACGGCUUGGUAGAAGUGCCGGUCCGCUCCGAUGAACAGAAGAGCCUUACUCGCGACACCACCGAUGCGGAGAUGUAGCGCAUCGCCACUAGGCUAGAAGAUGCGGCGGCAGCAGCUGCUGCGGGCGAGUUUGGAUUCACCCUGGAGGAGGCAGAGGCAGCAGAGGCGGCAAGCCUUGCCGAGCGAGAGGAGCUUGCCGGUGAGGGAGAGCUUGUCGGGCCUGAAGCCGAGUCGAGCGAGCCCGGCGAGGGAGAGCUUGUCGGGCCCGAACCUUCAGACAGCUCGCCGCAAGCGGAGCCCCCAGCUCCGCCAAGAAGGCGUCUCCGCAAGGCCGUGGACAUAGCGGGGCGGCAGACGAGUCAACAGUCGCCGUGCCGCGCGACACGCUCUACCGUGGCAAGCACUGUUGCCGCGGGAGCGCCUCACGCCGCUGCGGCCACUGGAGCGGGGUCUUCCCGGUCAACCGCUACUGCUCCUGCCAAGCGGACAAGGGAACCUACUCCUCCGCCUCGUCGCACCGGAGGCGAGCCGGACUUCGAUCUCUCCGCGCUCAGCUCCGACAAGGAAGAAGAAGAGUAAGAUUCUUUGCUGUACUUGUAGUUCUUCAAUUCUUGCUAUUUUGUCUUGUAUCUGAUUUGCUUUACUCUGAACCCAUUCCUUUUCAGGACUCUGGCCCAGAGAGCGGCAAAGAGAGCCAAGGUCCCAGUGAUUGUCAUCAAGGACGAACCCACCCGACAGCAGGGGGCGCGUCCGAGACCACCUUGCCGGACCCGGCAGCUUUUCCCCAAAGCAGCCCCCAGCGCAGCCCCCAGCAUAAGUAUAUGGUUUACUUCCUGCUGCCAGGCGCGCAUGGGUGCUCUUUCUUUGCUGAUAUUUGUCUGUUGGUUUGUGUAGGAGCAGAGCAGCCUCACCAGGAGUGCCCGGAAGGCGCUCCCGAAAUGCCAUCUGCUUCGACUACACCGCCAAGGGAGGAUUCCCCGGCAAGGGAGCAUUCUCCGGCAAGGGAGAAUUCUCCGGCAAGGGGCAGUUCUCCGGCAAGGGACAGUUCUCCGGCAAGGGACAGCACUGGCGACCCUCCGGUGGUUGAGACCAUGACUGCAGAUCCUAGUAUAGGUAAUCCUCUUGCCUGAAAACUUCCCUUGGGUUUUUCUUCUUCUGAUUUUCUUUUUGGAUAUUUGCUUGACUUUUCUCCUCUUUCCGUUCGUCAGAUCCAUCUGCCAUGGAGCCGAUGGAAACCGAGGUCGCCGGCGAGGAGAACGCGCGCAGCAAUACCGACGACGCUGUUGCCACCGAAGGAGAAGCCGGCGCUGAUGAUCCCGCCGGCGAAGAGGCCGCCAAAGCUGCCGCCGCAGAAGCUGGCAAGGGAUCCGGCGAUCGCAAUGACGGCCCUGAGGUCGCAGGAGCGUCAGGCGCCACGCCGACCGCCGAUCCCUCCGCCGCUGCUGCAGCGCCAGGCUCCAAAGAGCCCCAGCCCGGCGCCUAUUUGAAGGCCGGCGACGGCAUAUUCAUCAAGCUCCCCUGGGCGUCAAGCUCCAGGGAGCCGGUCGAAGGAGAGAUCUUGGAUGGAGAGGUGCUUGCCUCCGCUGGGCUGAUGCUGGUUGACGCGCCAAGCAGCAGCAGCGACGAGCCUGAGGAGGAGCGGCUGCUGCGGAAGCUGUUGUCGCUUUACCGCGCCCGACAAGCCAAGCUGGAAUCCCGAGAAGCGCUUGUCACAAAGGCGGGAGUGGACAUCGAGAAGCACGCGGAGGAGCUCCGGGGUCUCAGGCAGGAAGCUCUCCGAUCCCUGGCAGAGGAGCGGGAGCAAGUCGCUGAGGAGCGGAAAGCCUUCCUCCUCGACAAGGCUGAAGUUGAAGAGCAACAGUGGCUUGUUGCCGAAAAGCUAUCUGCGCAGGAAGGCGAGUUGGCGCAGCGCAAGGUCAACCUUGACAGCCAUGAGGAGGAGCUUGCCACGCGCGAGCAAGCAAUUGGCGGGGCUCUCAAGGAAGCAGAGGAUGCUGCCGCAGCUGCCGAGGCCGCCAAGAAGGAGCUGGAGAUGAAGAUGGCGCAGCUGGAGGCCGAUCUCAAGGCGAGCGGUGAGGAGCUUGCUGCGCUCAAGCGUGAGCGCGAGAAGGACGCCGCCGCUCAUGGUGAGCUACAGGGUCGUCUCGCUGAGAGGAGCAAAGAGCUUAGCGCUGCCAAGGACUCCAACGCAGAUCUUGAGUUGAAGCUGGUUACUUUAACUCAGACGCUGGACAGCGCCAGGGAGCGGGAGGUGGCCUUGACGGAGAAGAUCAAGGCUGACGAGGCGCUGCUGGCGAGUGCCACUGCCGCCCAUGACGCUUUUAGGGAGAAUGUGGAGCACUGGACCGAGGGUCUCGUGGAUGCUGCCGCAGCCAUCGACGGGGAGCUGGCGCAGCUGGGGAUGGAGGAUCUCGGGUACUCCUCCGAUGAGCACCUCCAACCCAGCACCAAGCUCAGCUUGUUCUUCAAAGGCGUGGCGACGGCCCUCCAGCGACUCCGGGAGAAGAUCCCAAACCAGCUGGCCGACGAGUCACGCAAGAUCUGCGCGGGAGCUCUUCAAAAGGUGCUGGUGAAAGUGGCCUUCCGCAACCCAGGCCUUAACCUCACCAACAUCCUCAGGACCUUGCCGCCGGAUGCUGAUCUGGAAGCGCUCAAGACCCUUGUCGCACCCAUUGUGGACAAGGUGAGCGGGAUCAAGAGGGUUGAGGGCGAUCACGUAGAUUAGGCCGCCCGUUUUCUCUUUUUCUUGUCGCAGUUGGUCAUGUUAUGAGAACAAUCUGUUAGAGCUGCGACAAGCUAUCUUGUAAUAUGACUCUAUUUUGGGUAGCGAUUGCUAUGUUAUUUCCUCUACUUGAUUCCUUCCUUUGUAUGUUUUUCCCUACGCUUUUAGGGAACUUGUCGGCGCAGGCACCUUAGCCGCGAGCGCUGAGUGCGGGACGUCAGCAGCCUACUGGCGGUGCCGCUACCGACAAGAAACCUUGUCGCAACUAGUUGUAGCUAACUUAAGUUGUUGAGCGGACUCGAAACAAAGUAAGGGCGCAACUAGCUACGAGUUGGUUCCUCCGCGCACAGGUUUUCCAUACAAAGCACGGUCGUUCGAGGAAGAUAACUUAAAAUUUUUAAAACUGAUUGCUCAAACUUUAGCAACUUAGCUUUUCUGUCGUUUGCUUCCCGGUAAGGCGAAAUUUCCUCGAACGACGCUUGGCCCACACCAUUAUCUUAUCCUUUCCCCCCGGCAAACUAGGCGAGGGAACCUUCCUUUCUUUGAGAAAGAGAAAGAAGAGAAAAUAAAGAUAUGGAGCCUUACGGCUCGUUAUUGCUUACCGGGGGUAGGUGCUGCACAAAGUGUCAGAUAAUGCAUGCAAAGGAAAAGUAGAAAGCAUGAAAUUGACAAGAUGUGCGGAGCACAUGAGCUUUACUUAUGCACGGGGUCUGCGCCCGGCUUCGUACAAAGGAUUACAUGCAACAUCGGCAAGACUUGUACAAAAGGUGGUUGCCGGAACAGGUUCUGGCAACCGCGCCUUACGGGUAAAACUUACGAAGAUGCUCAAUGUUCCAGGAGUUGCUCACCGGAAUGCCAUCUUCGGUCUCAAGGCGGACAGCGCCAGGCCUAGUGACUCGUUUCACCCGGUAAGGGCCUUCCCACUUUGGCGUCAACUUGUUGGAAUUCUUGGCGGACUGAACGCGCCGAAGAACAAGGUCGCCUUCCUCGAGACUUGUGGCAUUAACUUUGCGGCUAUGGUAGCGGCGCAAAGCUUGCUGGUAUCGAGCAGCUCAUACAGCGGCCUGAAGACGGUCCUCCUCAAGGAGCAGCGCGUCAUCUUGUCGCAGCUGCUCUUGCUCAAGCUCAUCAUAAGCGAGCACUCGAGGUGACCCGUAUACGAGUUCUGUGGGGAGAACUGCCUCUGCUCCAUAGACUAGAGCGAAAGGUGUCUGGCCAGUGGCUCGAUUUGGCGUCGUCCCGAUCGACCAAAGAACCAUCGGCAGCUCCUCAAUCCAGUUCUUUCCGCACUUGCGCAGCCUGUCGAAAGUCCUGGUCUUGAGCCCGCGCAGCACUUCAGCAUUCGCCCUCUCUGCUUGACCGUUGCUUCUCGGAUGAGCAACAGAAGCGAAGCAGACCUUGGCGCCAAGAUCUUGGACGUACUGCAUGAAGGUGCGGCUCGUGAAUUGUGUGCCGUUGUCGGUGAUGAUCCUGUUAGGGAUCCCGAAGCGGCAAACAAUCGACUUAAAGAACUUGACUGCUGACUAUGCUGUCACCUUCCUCACUGCUUCCACUUCCGGCCACUUUGUGAACUUGUCGAUUGCAACGUACAAGUACUCAAAGCCCCCGACAGCUCGGGGAAAGGGGCCGAGGAUGUCGAGCCCCCAGACCAAAAAUGGCCAGGAUAAAGGGAUCGUCUGGAGAGCUUGAGUUGGCUGGUGUAUCUGCUUGGAAUGGAACUGGCACGCUUCACACUUGGUUACUUGUGCAGUUGCAUCCUGGAGGGCUGUCGGCCAAAAGAAACCUUGCCGAAACGCUUUGCCGGCAAGUGCUCUUGCACCAAUGUGGUGACCACAUAUGCCUCCAUGUAUCUCUGCCAACACCUUUUGUCUGUCCUCCCGGUGAAUACACUUUAAUUUCACGCCGUUGAGUCUUCUUCUGUACAGUGUGUUGUCGACAAACUGGUACAUACUUGACUACCGGGCUACUCUUUCCGCUUCUUCUUGCUCUUCGGGAAGUUCUCCUGUCUGAAGGAAACGGAUAAUCUGCUGUGCCCACGCUGGAGCUUGCGGCUCGACAACAAGGACUAAAGGCACAUCUGCUGCUGCGGGAACAUCCGCUUCUACGGCGAGAACCUGCGGCUCAGCCGGAGCUUGACAUUCCCCGGCAAGCUUGCCGGAGCAAAACUUGUCGGGAGCGUCUGCUUCAACGGAACAAACCCUAGGGCUUGCCGGAGCAGACUGCUCCUCAGCACCCUUGGUGUUGAUUUUGAGGACCUUCUUGGCGGCGGCUUCGGGGAGCUCUGCCGGAAAGUAGUCACCAGAAAUCAACUUCCUCUUCUUGCUUUGUCCAGUUGAUGGCGCCACAGACGGUUGAGUCAGUUUGAGCACAAAGAUCCCUGGUUCCACAGGUAACUUAAGUGCGGCGCACUUCGACAGGCCAUUGGCAAUGUCGUUCUGAGCUCUUGGAACAUGUUCCAUCUGUAGGCCAUCAAAGUGCUCUUCUGGCUUUCUCAAUUCAUCAACGUAAGCUUCCAUCAACGGACUCUGAUAAUUCUUGUUCACUUGGCGGACGACAAGCUGUGAGUCACCCCUGACAAUGAGCUUCUUGAUCCCAAGGUCUGCUGCGAUCCUGAGACCGGCAAGCAAACCUUCAUACUCUGCGGUAUUGUUCGUUGCUUGCUCCUUGGGAAAGUGCAUCUGGACUACGUACUUGAGGUGCUCUCCGGUGGGUGCGACAAGUAGCACGCCCGCACCGGCGCCUUGCAGCGAGAAGGCACCAUCAAAGUACAUCAACCACUCUUUGCUUGCUUCCUUGACGGGGAUGCUCGUUUCUGGAAUUUCUUCAUCUUGUGUUGGCGUCCACUCUGCUAUGAACUCUGCCAAUGCUCUGCUUUGGAUAGUUGAAGUGCUCUCAAACUUGAGGCCAAAGCUUGACAGUUCCAGUGCCCACUCGACAAUCCUGCCUGUUGCUUCUGGAUUUUGCAGUAUCCUCUUCAGCGGAAAACGAGUGACGACUGUGAUCUCAUGUGCUUGGAAGUAAUGGCGCAGCUUUCUUGAGGCCAUGAGAAGUCCGAAAAGCAAUUUUUGCACACCAGAGUACCUUGACCUAGCCCCCUGCAGAAGGGAACUGACAAAGUAAACUGGGCGCUGCACCAUUCUUUUCUGCAUCUUCUCACGCGCCUGCGCAGAUCCAUCUUUGUCGGGACCAGAGCUUGCCGGUGAAGUCGCCUGCUUGCCGCUGGAUGCAUCUGCCGUGGUUGAUAGUUCAUCAUCUGCCUCCCUCUCCGCUACUAACGCAACACUAACCACUUGAUUGGUUGCCGCUAUAUAUAGCAGCAACUUCUCUUGUGGCUUAGGUGCGACAAGUGUUGGAGUGGAGGACAGGUAUCUCUUUAAGUCCUGUAGCGCAGCCUCCGCUUCCGGAGUCCAUUUCAUUGGACCUGCCUUUUUCAAUAUUUUGAAAAAUGGCAGGGCACGCUCAGCAGACCUAGAGAUAAACCUGCUGAGAGCAGCUACACAACCGACUAGUCUUCGUACAUCCUUGACGCGCUUUGGUGCUUCAAUCUGCUCAAUGGCCUUGAUCUUGUCGGGAUUGGCCUCAAUUCCUCGCUGAGACACGAAGAACCCGAGAAGCUUGCCGGAAGGGACUCCAAACACACACUUCUCGGGGUUAAGCUUGAGGUUGAUCUUGCGCAGAUUUGCAAAGGUUUCGUCUAAAUCUUGAAUCAGAGUUGCCUUGUCCUUGCUUUUGACCACUAUAUCAUCCAUGUAGGCUUCCACAUUUCUGUGUAUCUGCGGCUCAAAAGCAUCAUGGACUACUCUUGCAAAUGUUGAACCAGCAUUCUUUAAACCGAAAGGCAUCCGUACGAAACAGUAUGUGCCACAUGGGGUGAUGAAUGCGGUCUUCUCUUCAUCCUCUUCUGCCAUGAAGAUCUGAUGGUAUCCUGAGUAUGCAUCAAGAAAUGAAAGCAAGUCACAUCCGGCCGUGGAGUCAACAAUCUGGUCGAUGCGCGGCAAGGGAAAUGGGUCUUUGGGACAAGCUUUAUUGACAUCGGUAAAGUCGAUACAAAGCCUCCAUUUCCCGUUUGCCUUGUGUACGACUACAGGGUUGGCCAACCACGUAGGAUGGAGCACUCCUCUAACAAGGCCUGCUGCUUCCAAUUUCUUGAUUUCUUCUGCAAUGAAUUCUUGGCGCUCCACUACCUGUUUCCUGACUUUCUGCUUGACGGGCCGCGCAUGAGGACAGACGGCAAGAUGGUGCUCGAUUACUUUCCUGGGAACACCGGGGAUGUCAGACGGUUGCCACGCAAAUACGUCGACGUUCGCCCGUAGGAAAGCAACGAGCGCACUUUCCUAUUUAGGGUCGAGAGUUGCACUGAUGGUGAAGGUUCCACCAGUGCCAUCCGCCUUGGCGGACACCUUCUUGGUCUCUGGUGGAGCUGCCAUUGUCUUCUUACACUUGCCGGUGGAGCUCGAUGGUGCGUCCUCGACGGUAGCGCAGCACUCCGAAGAGGUGCGCUUGCCGGAGUGGGCAUCAGAACUCUUGCCGGACUUGGUCUUCUUCUUUGCCCUGGGAGCUUCAACGGCAAGUGACUUGCGAUCUGUUGCGGCUGCUGCCUCCCGGUAGAUCUUGUCGGCACAGAUAAGAGCAUCCUUCUUGUCGCCAGGGACAGAGAUGACACUUAUCGGGCCUGGCAUCUUCAGCAUGUUGUAUGCAUAGUGAGAGGCCGCCAUGAAUUUGGCGAGUGCUGGACGGUCGAGUAUCCCAUUGUAAGGCAAUGGAAAGUCAGCAACGUCAAAAGUGACCCUCUCAGUCCUGAAGUUCAACUCGCUGCCAAAUGUCACCGGCAACGUGAUCUUUCCCUUCGGCUUGCUCCUUCCUGGAUUGAUUCCUUGGAACGUGCCGGUCUCUUCGAGCUCGCCAUCAGGGAUCUGGAGUUUCUGGAGUACCGCGGAGGAGAUCAGGUUCAAGCCGGCCCCGCCGUCAACUAGCAUCUUAGUGACCUUGAGGUUGCGGAUAGUUGGUGAAACCAACAUCGGCAAGCACCCGACUGCAGUUAUGCGAUCAGGGUGGUCCUCAAUAUCAAAGAUGAUAGGCGUGCUGGACCAUUUCAGAGGCCUGCGUGACUCGACGGGUGGUUCUGCCGCAUUGACUUCCCGCACCCACUGCUUGAGCUGGCGGCGUGAAGUAUGCAGAGAAGCACCGCCGUCAACGCACAGGACCUCUGUGGCUUUCUGGAACUCCUGCUCAUCGGUCUCGUCAUCAUCCAUAUCUUCAUCGUCGUCGUCAUCUUCAUCCUUGUCGCGGCCGCGGGGAGGUCUGUCUCCUUGCCGCUGCUUGGCCUUGCCGCGGCGUCCUCCUCGGCCGGGACGUUUCUUGCCGGAUCCUCCAGCACCUUCCUGGGCUUUCUCCUUGUCGCGUUGCUCGUAUUCAGCCUUUUGCUGCUCGACAAGCUGCUCGACCUUCUUGCAGCUCUGGAGGUCAUGGCCCUUGGUGCGGUGGAUCUUGCAGUACUGCUUGUUGGUGCCGUCCUGCUUGUCGGCGACCGCCACAGCCUGGUAGUUGGUGUCCGCGACAAUCUCCUUGCCGGAGCUACCAGCUUUGGCUUUCUUGGCGCCACCUCCGUUGCCGGACUGCUCAACGACUAGCACAUCUUUGCCUUUCUUCUUCUUGUUGCUCCGCCGUCGGUUUUUCUUUGUCGGGGCAGCCUCCUCACUAUCAGAUCCUCCUGCUUCUGUAUUCUCUCUGGGGAGUUUCCUCCCUUCCUCAGCACGUGCACACUUGUCGGCCAGGGCAUAUAGCUCACUUACGUCUCUGAUCUUGCACAUCACCAUCUCCUCCCGCAUCCUGCGGUUCCGCACGUUCUGAUGGAACGCGCUGAUUACCGCGGCAGGGUGGACAUCUGGGAUGUUGUGCUGUACACGGCUGAAUCUCUGAAUGUACUUGCGCAGGGGCUCUCCUUCCUUCUGGGCGAGCAGAUGAAGGUCGCUCUCUUGGCCAUGAGGCUUGUGGCCGCCUGUAAAGGUGUCGACAAACUGAUGGCAUAGGUCUGCCCAGGAGGAUAUGGAAUUGUCCGGCAAGUGCAUGAGCCAGGAUCUGACAUUGGGCUUGAGCACCAGCGGGAAGUAGUUGGCCAAGAUCUUGUCGUCCCGCUCCCCGGCAGCUUGCACCGCAAUGGUGUAGAUGCUGAGGAACUCCGACGGAUGUGACUUGCCAUCGUACUUCUCUGGUACAUCUGGCUUGAAAUUCUUCGUGCUGGGCCACUGGACUUGCCGUAGCUCACGAGUAAACUCAGGGCAUCCUACCGCGUACGGCAAGUCGCCUGGUUCCCCUGGUGCAUGCAUGUCGACAGAGGGCCCAGCGCGCUGGUCUGAUUGAUGCCACGCUUCUCUUCGGUGCUCGAUGCGAGUACGAGCGUCUUCUUGCUAUCGUUCGUGAAGAACUUGGCGCUGAUCGCGACGAGCUCGUGGAUCUGAUGACGCGGUGGAGUCGCUGUCGAGGUGGAUCCGGCGAGUCGGCGAUCUUGGCCUUCGGGGUGGAGAGUGCAUGGUGGUUGCACCCCCAUCGGUUUCGUCGCCAUCGGCUCGUGCCUGGCAGCCCUGCCGCAGCAGCGAUGUACUCGGCUGCCGCAGAGUGUCGCCAUUGGCGAAGCCGAUGAGACUCUGAAUGGUGGCCCUCCAUCCAUCGAUCUUGUCUGCCGUUGGAGGGUAAUCCAGGAGCAGUUGAGCUCGCGCCAAAUCUUCUGCUGGAGUGGUGGGUGGCAGUGGCGAACGGUGCGAGGAGAGGGAUAAGCUCAGACUUCUAACUAUGUUAGAAGGAGCAGUAUCCCGUCCAGGCGACCGCGUCUCGCUCGUGCCAGCAUGUUGGCGUGCAUGCUGGUCUUGAGCACCCCGAGAUCCACCAGCUCGAUCUUGGUCCAGCAAACGUAUGGCACUGCGAAUACCUUGACGCUGUCGGUCCUGCGCCUCCUGAGAUGGGCGCGGUGCAUGUACGGAUGCCGAGGUCUGCGCAGCCUUGUCCUUGGACCUGGCAGCACCGUGAGCUCCCUCGUCGAUACCCGUUCUUCCGCCGGCGUCUACCCCACCACCCGUUUUCUCCGGUGGUGGUGAGAUCGGGAACAGCUGCCGCCGAAGCCUUCUUCUUCAGUGGCAUGUCGAUGAAGAAGAUGAAGAUCUAGCUCAUGUGAAUGCCUGAUCAGGUUCACACAACCUCGACGCCCCCUACCUGGCGCGCCAAAGAUGUCGGGGAAACUGAUCCACAAACACCUAUGGGACCGGUGGACCGAGCCCCUUUCGGUUCGGCGGGGGGCGGAGAUCGCACGAAGAGCAGAUCGAGGCGAAGCACACGAGCAGUUUACCCAGCUUCGAAGCUCUUCGGAGAGAUAACACUCCUACUGCUACAUGUCUGAGUGUAUUGAGUUCUUGCUCGGGAGCGCCGAGUGCUACAGUACACACUAGCUGCUAACGAGACCCAGCGUGAGUGUUUUUCUGCCUUCGAACCCCCUUCUACGUUGCGCAUGGGCCUCCUUUUAUAUGCUAAAGGGGCCACCGACAGGUGGCAACGUAGACAAGGGUAAAAAUGGAAAAGGAAUUGCGGUUGGUGCAACAACCUGUACAGUGUAUCAUACUUAACCCUGACGACAGGGGACAAAGGCAUUAAAUGCCCGUCUGUGUCGCCCAAAUAGUGCAAAAAAGGACCGUCAGGGACGCCAACGCUCGCCACGAUGGCAAUCUUGUCAGUGUCGCUUGCCACCGCGCAUCGCUGGCUGCACAGCCUCUUGCCACGCGCGCCUGGAAAGGCCCCAGGGCGACACGUUGGUGGAUGUGCUGGAGCGCGGGUACAGAGUGGUAGCUUGCCGCGGCAAGCGCCUUGCCGCGGUCGUUGUCUUGUCGCGUCCGGAAGCUUGUCGCUCACCAGGCCUUGCCGGGACGCAUGGCGCGUCGCGGCAAGUUCCUUGAGAUGCCUUGGUUGGCCUUCCCAGCAAGCUCCUCUUGCCGGGGCCUUGUCUCCUUGGCUUGAAUACUUUGUUCUUGAAUGGCUCCGACGGAACCACGGAGGACCUUGGCGGUCACCCGGCAAGCCUUGCCGCGGGGUGCUGCAACUGCCCGUGCACAAGUUCGGGAUACUAGGGUACCCCUACUCUUGUACACCGACAUGCAUCUUGUGGAGGAAAAUGCUAAGUUGAAAGAGCAACUUGAGAAGGGUCUUGUGACUUGCAUACAAGGAGAGAAGAACCUCAAUGACCUUUUGAGCAAUCGAAAGGAAGUUGUAGCAAAGGAAGGACUUGGAUUUACAUCCAAGUCAAAGAAGAAGAACAAGAACAAGACAAAGCAAUCUCUCCCUCUUAAGGAAACUUUUGUCAAGGCGGGUGAGGGUACCCAUGAGAAGAAGAAGAACAAAGAAGUGGGUGGUAAUGCGAGGAGGGGCAAAACUGCCCCUAACAACAAAGUCGGGGACUUUAACCCUUCUUAUGUUUUGUGUCAUGCUAGUGAUGGGCAUGUUUAUGCUAAAUUUGUUGGUUCUUACUAUGAGUACAUUUAAUGGUCUAUUUGGAUUGCUAAGACCCUUGUUGCUUACAUCAAAGGACUCAUUCAAGAAUGGGUACCUAAAUCCAAGCAUUGAUCUCUUGUAGGAGUUUGCUUCCUGUGGGGUGUCAUGGUUGUUCGAUAGUGGAUCAACAAAUCAUAUGACCGAGAGCAAGGACUUGGUGGUGUAUGUGCAUCCAAUUCCAUCUAUGUCCACCCAUGUCCAAUUUGGUGAUGCCUCAACUUCUAAGGUAUUGGGACUUGGCAAGGUGGUCAUCUCUCAAGAUUUAACAAUUGAGAAAGUCAUGCUUGUUGAGUCCCUUGCAUACAAUUUAACUUGCACUUAUGGUCUUUGCAACAUUCUCUGAUCUUGAUAUUGUAGCCCUUUUGUGGGGCAAGACUCUUAAAGUAGCAUUUGUUGGGCAUGUCGAGAACAGUCUCUAUGUGGUGAACUUUUCGGAGUGUCCCACUAAGAUCGCGACUUGCCUAAUGGCUAAAGUUGAUGUGGGUUGGCUUUGGCAUCGCCGACUAGCCCAUGUCAAUAUGAGAUCUUUGCAAAGUCUCCUCAAAGGGGAUCACGUCCGUGGACUAACGAAUGUGAGUUUUGCCAAAGACUGUGCUUGCAGUGCUUGUAUCGAAGGAAAGCUUCAUGAAACGGCUCACCGUCCCUCAACUAUCAUAUAUUCAAAGAAGCCCUUGGAGCUCCUUCACAUGGAUCUCUUUGGACCUCCAUCCUUUGAUAGUCUUGGUGGAAGAAAGUAUCGCUUGGUGAUUGUGGAUGACUAUUCAAGAUAUAGUUGGGUAUAGUUCUUCCAGAGGAAGAGUGAGACUCAACAAACCAUCAUCAACUUUGCAAAUGAAGCUCAAUGUCAACAUAAUGCAAAGAUCUUGAUGGUUAGAAGUGACAACGGCACCGAGGUCAAGAACUACACCUUGGAUGAGUUUCUUAGUGAUGAGGGGAUCAAGCACCAAUAUGCCGCACCUUAUACCCCUGAACAAAAUGGUGUAGCGGAAAGGAAGAACCAGACGUUGAUGGAUGCGGCAAGGACCGUGAUGGCGGCUUCGUACAACUUUUGGGCCGAAGCCAUCAACACAGCAUGUCAUGCAUCCAAUAGGAUCUACCUCCACAAAGGCUUGAACAAGACUCCAUACGAGAUACUUACCGGCAACAAUCCCAACCUCAAGUACUUCCGGUUGUUUGGUUGUAAGUGUUUCAUUCUCAAGAAAGGUGUCUGUUUGUCUAAAUUUGAACCUAGAGCUCAAGUGGGCAUAUUUGUUGGUUAUGCUACAAACUCUCAUGCUUACCGUGUUCUCAACAAGUCCACAAGACUCAUUGAGGAGACGUGUAACAUGGAGUUUGAUGAAAAUAAUGGCUCCCAAGUGGAGCAAAGUGGUCUUUGUGAUAUAGGUGAUGAAAUUCCUCCCCAAGCCAUAAGAAUAAUGGGGAUCGGUCAAAUACUCAGGGAGAGCCAUCACCUACACCGGACCCACACGCUUAUGAAGAACAAAAUGAAGGCCCUCAACCCCAUGAACAAGAUCAAGGGCAAUAUCAACCUCAUGGAGAUGGAUAUGCACCAAAUGAUGCCCAAGAUCAGGUUCAUGCCUUCGAGCUCACUCAAGAUCAAGAGUAAACUCAAGAUCAAGAGCAAUCUCAAGACGGUGCUCAAUAUCAAGAGCAAGAUCAAGACGGUGCUCAAGAUGUACAAGAUGAUCCUCAAAUGACCAUCGAGGAACUUUUGGAGCGUCGUGCCACUAAGGUGGCUUCCAAACUGGAGCGUCAAAAACAUGUCAUGGAGAAUGUGCUUGGAAGCUUGAGAAAAGGGGUAACUACUUGUAAAAAAUUGUCAAACUUUUGUGAGCAUCACGCGUUUGUUUCGUGCGUUGAACCCUAAAAAGGUACAUGAGGCGCUUGAUGACGAGGAUUGGCUUGAAACUAUGCGUGAUGAACUCAACAACUUCGAGCGCAAUCAAGUUUGGGAAUUGGUGCCAAGGCCAAUGGAGGAACAUAAUGUCAUCGGAACCAAAAGGAUCUUCAAGAACAAGAAAGAUGUGAACGGUGUGGUAGUUCGAAACAAGGCAAGAUUGCUGGCACAAGGCUACUCCCAUGUCGAGGGUAUCGACUAUAGUGAAACUUUUGCCCCCAUUGCUCGUCUUGAAUCUAUUUGCAUGUUGCUUGCAUAUGCUGCUCAUCAUGAUUUGAAAUUGCAACAAAUGGAUGUGAAGAGUGCAUUUCUUAAUGGUCUUUUGAAUGAGUUGGUGUAUGUCAAACAACCUCCGAGAUUCGAGGAUCCCAAGUUCCCCACUCAUGUAUAAAAACUCAAAAAGGCGCUCUAUGGCCUUAAACAAGCCCCACGUGAGUGGUAUGAGCACCUUACCGAGUUGUUGCAAGAUCGUGGGUUUGAAAUUGGGAAAAUUGAUCCCACUCUUUUUACUAAGAGGGUCAAAGGGGUUUUGUUCAUAUUCCAACUAUAUGUUGAUGAUAUUAUUUUUGGUUCUCCUAACAAAUCUUUCAAUGAUGAGUUUGCCGCACUAAUGACCAAGAAGUUUGAGAUGUCUAUGAUGGGGGAGUUGAAGUUCUUUCUUUGGUUUGAAGUCAAGAAAAAAAUAGAAGGAACGUUCAUCAACCAAGCCAAGUAUACCCAAGACAUGCUUAAGAGAUUCAAGUUAGAAGAUGUCAAGCCGGUCAAGUUUCUGAUGCCCACCAAAUGCAAGCUUGAUAGUGAUCCCAAUGGUAAAGCGGUGGAUCAAAAGGUAUAUCAUUCCAUGAUUGGAUCCUUGCUUUACCUUUAUGCAUCUAGACAGGAUAUCAUGUUAAGUGUAGGAAUUUGUGCACGGUUUCAAUCCGCACCUAAGGAAAUCCACUAUGCGGCAGUCAAGCGAAUCUUUCAAUAUUUGGCUCAUACCCCAAACUUUGGCUUAUGGUGCCCCAAAGGAGCAAGCUUCAAUCUCAUGGGUUACUCGGAUUCUUAUUGGACGGCAGAUUGUGUGGGGAGGAAGUCAACGUCCGGAGGGUGUAAAUUCCUUAGUCUCUCUUUGGUGAGUUGGUUCAAAGAAAUAGAAUUGUGUCUCUCUCUUGUCCACCGAAGCAGAAUAUGUAGCCACCGCAAAUUGUUGUGCACAAUUGCUAUGGAUGAGGCAAACUUUAAAGGAUUACGGGUCACUUGUGACAAAGUGCCUCUUCUAUGUGACAAUGAAAGUGCAAUCAUGAUUUCUCGCAAUCCGGUGCAACAUAGCAAAACGAAGCAUAUUGAGAUUCGCCAUCAUUUGAUUCGAGAUCACAUCAAGCGGGGAGAUAUUGGUAUCAUCUACAUCAACACUCAAGUGCAACUAGAGGAUAUUUUCACCAACCCUCUAGAUGAAGCAAGAUUUCACGAGUUAAGGCAUGAGCUAAAUAUCAUUGAUUCAAGCAAUGUGGCUUGAAUCUAGGCACACCCCACUGCACUCAUCAUUAUAUCCUGUUUUAGAUGUAGGCAUGGACAUAGGGGGAGUGUUGUUCUCUCAAUGAACUCUCCCUCCCCCCAUUAUGCAUAAAUCAAUCACGUCUUUCACAUUAGCCAUUUUUGAUGGUACGUGUGCUUCAAAGAUAAGUUCUAGUCAUGAGCCUGAUACGUCUCCAACGUAUCUAUAAUUUUUUAUUGUUCCAUGCUAUUAUAUUAUCUGUUUUGGAUGUUUAAUAGGAAUUUAUAUGCUAUUUUAUAUUAUUUUUAGGACUAACCUAUUAGCCGAGGGGCCAGUGUCAGUUCUUGUUUUUUUUGCCUAUUUUAGAGUUUCGCAGAAAAGGAAUACCAAACGGAGUCCAAAUGGAAUGAAACCUUCACGAUGAUCUUUCUUGGACCGAAAGUAAACCAGAAGACUUGGAGAUGAAGUCGGAGAUGCAACAAGGCGGCCACAAGGCAGGAGGGCGCGCCCCCUACCUUGUGGGGUGCCCCUCGUAGCUCCCCUGACCUUGUUCCUUCGCCUAUAUAUACUCUUAUACCCUAAAAACAUCUAGGAGAGCCACGAAACCACUUUUCCACCGCCACAACCUUCUAUACCCGUGAGAUCCCAUCUAGGGGCCUUUUCCGGCGUCCUGCCGGAGGGGGAUUCGAUCAUGGAGGGCUUCUAUAUCAACACCAUUACCUCUUCGAUGAAGCGUGAAUAGUUUACCACAGACCUUCGGGUCCAUAGUUAUUAGCUAGAUGGCUUCUUGUCUCUCUUUGAUUUCUCAAUAGCAUGUUCUCCUCGAUGUUCUUGGAGAUCUAUUCGAUGUAAUAUUCUUUUGCGGUGUGUUUUCCGAGAUCUGAAGAAUUAUGGAUUUAUCAUCAGAUUAUCUAUGAAUAUUAUUUGGUUCUUCUCUGAAUUCUUAUAUGCAUGAUUUGAUAUCUUUGCAAGUCUCUUUGAAUUAUCGGUUUAGUUUGGCCUACUAGAUUGAUCUUUCUUGUAAUGAAAGAAGUGCUUAGCUUUGGGUUCAAUCUUAUGGUGUCCUUUCCCGGUGACAGUAGGGGUAGCAAGGCAUGUAUUGUAUUGUUGCCAUCGAGGAUAAAAAGAUGGGGGUUUCAUCAUAUUGCUUGAGUUAAUUCCUCUACAUCAUGUCAUCUUACUUAACGCGGUACUCCGUUCUUUAUGAACAUAAUACUCUAGAUGCAUGCUGGAUAGCAGUCGAUGUGUGGAGUAAUAGUAGUAGAUGCAGAAUCGUUUCGGUCUACUUGACACAUACGUGAUGCCUAUGUUCAUGAUCAUUGCCUUAGAUAUCAUCAUAACUUUGCCCUUUUCUAUCAAUUGCUCGACAUAAUUUGUUCACCCACCGUAAUAUUUGCUGUCUUGAGAGAAGUCGCUAGUGAAACCUAUGGCCCUGGGUCUCUUUUCCAUAAUAUUGAAUCUCUUUUGCAUCUUACUAGUUUCCGAUCUACUAUUUUGCAAUCUUUUACUUUCCGAUCUAUAAACCAAAAGUACCAAAAAUAUUUACUUUAUCGUUUAUCUAUCUCUAUCAGAUCUCACUUUUGCAAGUGACCGUGAAGGGAUUGACAACCGCUUUAUCGUGUUGGGUGCAAGUUAUUGAUUGUUUCUGCAGGUAUUCGGUGACUUUUGUGUUGUCUCCUACUGGAUUGAUACCUUGGUUCUCAAAACUGAGGAAAAUACUUACGCUACUUUGCUGCAUCACCCUUUCCUCUUCAAGGGAAAACCAAAGUAAGCUCAAGAGGUAGCAAGAAGGAUUUAUGGCGCCGUUUCUAGGGGAUCUAUGUCAAGUCAAGCCAUACCAAGUACCCAUCAUAAACUCUUCUCUCUUGCAUUACAUUAUUCGCCAUUCGCCUCUCGUUUUCCUCUUCCCCACCUCUAAAAUAGUUUUUGAAAAUAUUUGACAUUCUUAUUCGCUUUCUUUCCAUAUGUCUUUGUGUUUCCAUGUGCCUUCUAUUUGCUUGCAUAUUUGCUUGCUAAAAAUCUAUUGAUAUGGAUUCACUUAAAGUGUUCUACUUGGAUCAUCUUCGACCUAUUUGUACUCGUGCUGAAACCCCAUCUAGUUUUGUUGAGGGAAAAUCUUUAGACGAGCAUGCUCAUUUUGUGCAUCACUGUUUGUCUGAAAAAGGGAGACUCUUAUGGAAUCAAAUAAAUAGUUUGUUGUGUUAUGCUUGGAAUCUUUGUGAAAUUUAUGAUUUUACUUGUUGCUCUAAGAACUCUAAAAAACACCUUCCCUACCUAUGUGAGUUUAAUGAUAAUGAAAUCUUACCUUCUUAUGCAAAGGGUGUUUAUAGUUACUAUGAUAUCGAACAAAUUGAAUAAUCUUUUGAUUUUUAGGGUGCUUAUGAAGUUGCUUCUUUGAUUGAAAAGUAUGAUAUUACUCUCUACAAAUCUGAAAAUUUUGACAUACUCAAAUAUUGCUAUGAAAACUAUGCUCAUAAUGUCUAUGUCAAAGAAUUUAUUGAGAGAAUGACCGUUGCUUUGGAAGAAAAUAAUGAUAUGCAUGAAUCUAUAGAUAAUUUUGAUUUUGAUGAUUUGAUUGAAAUAUCCCUUGAUGAACAUGAUGCUUGCUAUUCUUAUGGCCAUGAUGCCAAUAUUUAUGGAGAUGAAUUUGCUAUAGUCCCUUACGUUAAACAUGAGAUUGUUGCUAUUGCACCCAUACUUGAUAGUUCGAUGAAAAUCAUGAUUGCAAUGAUGUUAAUAUAAAUUCUAUUAAUGUCAAUUGUGCUAGUAAUAUGCAAAACCCUAAGCUUGGGGAUGCUAGUUUUGCUAUGUCUACUAUUUGUUGCAAUGAUCAUGAUUGGGGUGAUUCUUUUUAUGAUCUUGAAAAUUUAUUUAAUCCCCACGAUGAAUAUGAGAUUGAUAAUAAUGUUUGAAAUAAUAUUGAAAGUGGGUAUGUAAGAGUGUCAACUUAACAUCCCACAUAUUUGGAGAGUGUUCAAUCUUAUGAAAUUUUGGAUAAAAGUGGGUUUGGAGAGGUCAUGACUUUAGUUAAUGUUAAUCCCACUAUUUUGGAAGAGUGUCAACUUCGCAUGCAUGUGGAUCAUGUUGAGAAUAUGUUAUGUGAUAGCUAUAUUGUUCAAUUUUCUUAUGAUCCUACAUGAAAUUAUUAUGAGAGGAGAAAAUAUGGUUGUAGAAAUUUUCAUGUUAUUAAAUUACCUAUCUUCAUGUUGAGAUUGCUAUCAUCUCUUUCGUCUUCCUUGCAUAUGCUAGUUUUUGCUUGCCUUGACAAUUUAUUUUCUUAUAAAAUGCCUAUGCAUAGGAAGUAUGUUGGAAUUAGAUGUGUUUUUCACAUGAUACAUGAUGCUCUCCUUGUGUUUCUCUUUCAUGUGAGCAUCACUAAAAUUAUCAAUGCCUUGCUAAGGGCGUUAAAUGAUAGCGCUUGUUGGAGGCAACCCAAUUUUAUUUUUGUUCUUUGCUAUUUGCUCCUGCUUAGUAAUAAAUAAUUCAUCUAGCCUCUGGUUAGAUGUGGUUUUAUGUUUUAAUUAGUGUUUGUUCCAAGUAGAACCUUUAGGAUAGCUUACAGUGAUAGUUGUGUUGAUCCUGCUGAAAAUCAGAAUUUGGCGCUUAGUAAAUUAGUUUUGAAAAUUCACAGAAACAUGAUUUUGAUCUGAUUAUUUUUUCUCUGGAUUGGUACACACAUUUCUCAGGUUUUCCUAAUUUUUAUGGAUUUUUGGAGUUACAUAAGUAUUCGAGAGUUACAGAUUACUACAGACUGUUCUGUUUUUGACAGAUUCUGUUUUUCGCGUGUUGUUUGCUUAUUUUGAUGAAUCUAUGGGCAGUAUCGGGGGGUAUGAACCAUGGAGAAGUUGGAAUACGGUAGAUAUUACCCAAUAUAAAUAAAUAACGAGUUUGCAACAGUACCUUAAAGUGGUGAUUUAUUUUCUUAUACUAACGGAGCUCAUGAGAUUUUGUGUUGAGUUUUGUGUUGUGAAGUUUUCAAGUUUUGGGUGAGGAUUUGAUGGACUAUGGAAUAAGGAGUGGCAAGAGCCUAAGCUUGCAGAUGCCCAAGGCACCCCAAGGUAAUAUUCAAGGACAACCAAAAACCUAAGCUUGGGGAUGCCCCGGAGGGCAUCCCCUCUUUCGUCUUCGUCUAUCGGUAACUUUACUUGAGGCUAUAUUUUUAUUCACCACAUGAUAUGUGUUUUGCUUGGAGCGUCUUGUAUGAUUUGAAUCUUCUGUACACACCUUUUGGGAGAGACACACAUGAAUCGUGAUUUAUUGGAAUACACUAUGUGCUUCACUUAUAUUUUUUGAGCAAGGCAAUAUUGCUCUAGUACUUCACUUAUAUCUUUUUAGAGAACGGCGGUGGCUUUAUUUUAUAGAAAUUGUUGAACUCUCAUGCUUCACUUAUAUCAUUUUGAGAGUCUUUUAGAAUAGCAUGGUAAUUUGCUUGGGUUAUAAAACUAGUCCUAAUAUGAUGGGCAUCCAAGAUCGAUAUAAUAAAAACUUUCAUAUGAAGUGCAUUGAAUACUAUGAGAAGUUUGAUUCUUUAUGAUUGUUUUGAGAUAUGAAGAUGGUGAUAUUAGAGUCAUGCUAGUGGAGUAAUUUUGAAUUUGAGAGAUACUUGUGUUAAAGUUUGUGAUUCAUGUAGCAUGCACGUAUGGUGAACCAUUAUGUGAUGAAGUUGGAGCAUGAUUUAUUUAUUUAUUGUCUUCCUUAUGAGUGGAGGUCGGGAUCGCGCGAUGGUUAACUCCUAACAACCCUUCCCCUAGGAGCAUGCACGUAGUGCUUGGUUUUGAUGACUUAUAGAUUUUUUGCAAUAAGUAUGUGAGUUCUUUAUGACUAAUGUUGAGUCCAUGGAUUAUACGCACUCUCACCCUUCCACCAUUGCUAGCCUCUCUUGUGUCGCGCAACUUUCGCCGGUACCAUACACCCACCAUUACCUUCCUCAAAAUAGCCACCAUACCUACCUAUUAUGGCAUUUCCAUAGCCAUUCCGAGAUAUAUUGCCAUGCAACUUUCCACCGUUCUGUUUAUUAUGAAACACUCCAUCAUUGUCAUAUUGCUUUGCAUGAUCAUGUAGUUGACAUCGUAUUUGUGGCAAAGCCGCCGUUCAUACUUUUUCAUACAUGUCACUCUUGAAUCAUUGCACAUCCCGGUACACCGCCAGAGGCAUUCACAUAGAGUCAUAUUUUGUUCUAAGCAUUGAGUUGUAAUUCUUGAGUUGUAAGUAAAUAAAAGUGUGACGAUCUUCAUUAUUAGAGCAUUGUCCCAUGUGAGAAAGGAUGAUGGAGACUAUGAUUCCCCCACAAGUCGAGAUGAGACUCUGGACGAAAAAAAGGCCAUAAAAAAGAGAGAAGGCCCAAAUAAAAAAAUGAGAGAAAAAGAGAGAAGGGACAAUGUUACUAUCCUUUUUCCACACUUGUGUUUCAAAGUAGCACCAUGAUCUCCAUGAUAGAGAGUCUCCUAUGUUGUCACUUUCAUAUGCUAGUGGGAAUUUUUCAUUAUAGAACUUGGCUUGUAUAUUCCAAUGAUGGGCUUCCUCAAAGUGCCCUAGGUCUUUGUGAGCAAGCAAGUUGGAUGCACAACCACUUAGUUUCUUUUUGAGCUUUCAUACACUUAUAGCUCUAGUGCAUCCGUUGCAUGGCAAUCCCUACUCACUCACAUUGAUAUCUAUUGAUUGGCAUCUCCAUAGCCUGUUGAUACGCCUAGUUGAUGUGAGAUUAUCUUCUCCUUUUUGUCUUCUCCACAACCACUAUUCUAUUCCACCUAUAGUGCUAUGUCCAUGGAUCACGCUCAUGUAUUGCGUGAAAGUUGAAAAAGUUUGAAAAUACUAAAGUAUGAAACAAUUGCUUGGCUGAAACCGGGGUUGUGCAUGAUUUAAUAUUUUGUGUGAUGAAGAUAGAGGAUAGCCAGACUAUAUGAUUUUGUAGGGAUAGCUUUCUUUGUCCAUGUUAUUUUGAGAAGACAUGAUUGCUUUGCUAGUAUACUUGAAGUAUUAUUGUCUUUAUGUCAAUAUUAAACUUUUGUUUUGAAUCUUUUGGAUUUGAAUAUUCAUGCCACAAUAAAGAAAAUUACAUGGAUAAAUAUGUCAGGUAGCAUUCCACAUCCAAAAUUUUGUUUUUAUCAUUUACCUACUCGAGGACGAGCAGGAAUUAAGCUUGGGGAUGCUUGAUACGUCUCCAACGUAUCUAUAAUUUUUGAUUGUUCCAUGCUAUUAUAUUAUCUGUUUUGGAUUUUUUAAUAGGCAUUUAUAUGCUAUUUUAUUAUUUUUUGGACUAACCUAUUAACCGAGGGCCCAGUGCCAGUUUCUGUUUUUUUGUGUGCCUAUUUUAGAGUUUUGCAGAAAAGGAAUACCAAACGGGGUCCAAACGGAAUGAAACUUCGCAAUGAUCUUUCUUAGACCGAAAGGAAACCAGAAGACUUGGAGAUGACGUCGGAGACGCAACAAGGCGGCCAUGAGGCAGGAGGGUGUGCCCGGGGGGUAGGGUGUGUCCCCUACCUCGUGCCCCCCUCGUAGCUCCCCUAACCUAGUUCCUUCGCCUAUAUAUACUCUUAUACCCUGAAAACAUCCAGGAGAGCCACGAAACCACUUUUCCACCACCGCAACCUUCUGUAUCCAUGAGAUCCCAUCUAGGGGCCUUUUCCGGCGUCUUGCCAGAGGGGGGUUCGAUCAUGGAAGGCUUCUACAUCAACACCAUUACCUGUCCGUUGAAGCGUGAGUAGUUUACCACAGACCUUCGAGUCCAUAGUUAUUAGCUAGAUAGCUUCUUCUCUCUCUUUGAUUCUCAAUACCAUGUUCUCCUCGAUGUUCUUGGAGAUCUAUUCAAUGUAAUAUUCUUUUGCGGUGUGUUUGCCAAGAUUCAAUGAAUUGUGGAUUUAUGAUCAGAUUAUCUAUGAAUAUUAUUUGGUUCUUCUCUGAAUUCUUAUAUGCAUGAUUUGAUAUCUUUGCAAGUCUCUUCGAAUUAUCGGUUUAGUUUGGCCUACUAGAUUGAUCUUUCUUGCAAUGGGAGAAGUGCUUAGCUUUGGGUUCAAUCUUGCGGUGUCCUUUCCCAGUGAUAGUAGGGGCAACAAGGCACGUAUUGUAUUGUUGCCAUCGAGGAUAAAAAGAUGGGGUUUUCAUCAUAUUGCUUGAGUUAAUUCCUCUACAUCAUGUCAUCUUACUUAAUGCGUUACUCCGUACUUUAUGAACUUAAUACUCUAGAUGCAUGCUGGAUAGCGGUCGAUGUGUGGAGUAAUAGUAGUAGAUGCAGAAUCGUUUCGGUCUACUUGACACGGAUGUGAUGCCUAUGUUCAUGAUCAUUUCCUUAGAUAUCAUCAUAACUUUGCGCUUUUCUAUCAAUUGCUCGACAGUAAUUUGUUCACCCACCGUAAUAUUUGCUAUCUUGAGAGAAAUCACUAGUGAAACCUAUGGCCCCAGGGUCUCUUUUCCAUAAUGUUGAAUCUCUUUUACAUCCUACUAGUUCCUGAGCUACUAUUUUGCAAUCUUUUACUUUCAGAUCUAUAAACCAAAAAUACCAAAAAUAUUCACUUUACUAUUUAUCUAUCUCUAUCAUAUCUCACUUUUGUAAGUGACCGUGAAGGGAUUGACAACCCCUUUAUCGUGUUGGGUGCAAGUUAUUGAUUGUUUGUGCAGGUAUUCGGUGACUUGUGCAUUGUCUCCUACUGGAUUGAUACCUUGGUUCUCAAAACUACGGGAAAUACUUACGCUACUUUGCUGCAUCACCCUUUACUCUUCAAGGGAAAACCAACGCAAGCUCAAGAGGUAGCAGGGCCCAAGGUUAAAACUUCACGGUGCCAUACUCUUACACUCAAACAUAGGUGGCCACGGCCACUGCCCCUUUUUAUCCUUAAAAGGGUUGGUUUAUUUGGUUCUUAUUCGCUCUUGUUAGAUCUUUUAGGACCUAGGUGUUGUGAUCUCCAAGUAGUGGCUUUCUUGGUUGCUUCUUGCACUUGUGGAGAUCACCACACCUUGUUCCAGUGUCGUUUUUUCAUCCCAAUCCUUUCUCUGUCUAUUAACCAUCUAUUACAAUUGUACACAAACUUGUUCUUUGUGUGGGUGAUGGUGUCUAGGUAGUACAACCGGUGUACCCGGCGGUUCAACCGCUGGAGCACUCGUUUGUGCCGUCCCAGGGGUUUCACCUGGCCUGUUUGCACGGUUCCACCACUGGGCCUCCAAUUGAACCCCUGGCCGAUACUACCACUCGAUUUCUGGCGGUACUACCGCUGCCUCCCAGGCGAUGCAAGUACCGCCCGCAACUGUUGGUAUGUCCUAGGGAGCGGUACAACCGUUCUUAGGAGCGGUACAACUGCUCUGCGGUCUACGGGUAUAUAUAGGGGUCGAGGCCGAAAGGGUAUCUUCUCCCUUCGCCCCCGUUCCCCUCGCCUGCCCUAGACACCAGACGCCAUUGUCCGUGUCCCGGAGUGCUUGUCGGCGCUACGGAUCCGUCGGCCCUCCUUGGAUCUGAUCCGUGGAGGCCCUCCUCCCUCUCGAUCUCUUCCCAUGGAUGUCGGUAAUGCCCCAUUCCCUCUUUCUAGGGUCUCAAUUCUUGAUCCCCUUUCUUAGGGAUUGCUUGAUAUCCCGCGUUUUUGUUUAAGCUAUUGGGAGGAAGAGAUCUAUAUGCCUCCUACUAUUGUUUGGGUGUCUUAGAACUUAGAAUAUUGCUAGGUUGAUUUGAAUCCCGUAGGUAGUUGUUCUCGAUUUGGUAACACUACUCACUUCCAGCGGUUCUAUCGCCCCUGCUGGUGGUACAACCACUCGAGCGGUUCUACCGGUUGUAGAACUGGUACAGCCGGGGUUUCUGAACCACAUAGCACUGUUUUACUUUCUUUGAUUCACACACAAUAUAUUUCCCUGCUCUUGUGUGCAAUCCUCUAAUCUUUGUUGGGCAUCUUAUGUUUCUCUCGUGUGUGUUUGCAGGUGGCUCUAGUUCUCGUUCUACCCCUCGCACCAAGACCAAGAAACGAGUUCAAAGAUGCAAGCGCCCUUCUUAGUCAGAUGGGGAAGAGGUUGUGAUUCCCACCAAGCCAACCCUUCAUGAGAAGUCUGCCACUGCCAAGCAACGUGUGAUCAUGCCUUUGCAUAAAUGGAAAGCCAAGGAGUGGGAUGCCUUCCGGAAAAAUAAUCCGUACACCGUUCCUAUUGCUCCUCAUUGUACUAAUGUUCACUUCCGGAAUGAGAUGCAAGAGAGGAUUGUUUAUGAACUCUUCGAGCAUAACAAGAAUUGGAUUACCAAGCAAUGAACCAUUGACCUUGACCAUUGGAGGAAUAACAUGGAGUACUUUGAGGAGGCCUUGGCUCUAUGUGAGGAGUUUGAUUUGGUCAAAAUCAUGACUCUCAACUAUGACUUUGAUGGUCAGCUUAUUCAUCAGUUUUAUGCAACCGUUCACUUUGGUGAAGAUGAUGCUCGCACUCUCUCCUUCAUGUGCCGUGAUGAGUUCUUCCAUGUACCCUGGAGGGCCUUCUGCAAUGCUAUUGGCUAUGAGGAUACCGGUCUUCAAGGAAAUGGAGGCAUUUGUCCUCACGACCAUCCCCAUUCCAUGCCUAAGGAGAAGCUUGCACCUUUGUACAUUCGUGGUCGAGGUACUAUUGGAGAGUCUAAGGAUGUUCAUAAGGUUUAUGACAUUAUGCAUCGUGUGUUUUGCAAUGUGCUUCUACCCAAGGUUGGGAAUAAGGAUGAGAUCUAUGGGUAUCUUGUUGACCUACUUGUUGCUAUGAAGACCAAAAUGGGAUCGGGUGCUACCUUUGAUGUGUCCAACUGGCUUUGGCAGGAGAUGUACAACAUGGUCAUCUACAGAAAGGUUCCCAUCUAUGCACCAUUUUUCAUGUGCUUUCUGAACUCUGUUUGGGCUAUUCGUCGUCCUGGAGAGCUCCUCACCUCGCUAGAUAACCUCACUGUGCAUGAGGUCAAGCAGCUCAAGAAGAAGACAGUUUUCCUGUGGAUCAUCCCGAGGAUGUGUAUGCCACCUCUGAUGAUGAGGACUUUGAGAUGGAGCCGGGUGCCAAGCCCUCCUGGGUGGCCAAGCUCACUGCUAAAGUGAAGAAGACCUUCUGCCUUCAGACAGAUAUCCAUCAGAAUAUGUAUGAGGCACAUUUCAAUGAGAAGCUUGCUCGGCGCCAUCAGAUUUACAUGAUGAAGCAUCUCAAUAUGGUUGUGAAGAGUGGGUCGGAUAAGAGCAUCACUCCAGAGGACCGGUGGAUCUCUAGGCAGAACACCUGGAUUGAUGAUGAGGCUGAGGCAUCUGGCCCUCCUGCCACCUCCAUGUCUGCUGCUGUUGCUGAUGAUGAUGAUAUGGAAGAAGAUGAUGAGCCCGAAGAGAGUGAUUCAAAUGCGAUCAAGGGGUCGGACGAGAUCUACUGAGCUCUAGGGCGUUAGCAUCACUCUUUUCCUUUUUGGUGUCUUGAUGCCAAAGGGGAGAGAGUUCUAUUAGGUCUUGGGAUUUGCAUGGGAGUUGCUUGGGUUGUGUUUUGUGUUUCGUCGAGUUAUGUGUUGAACUUGAGUUCUUUUUAAGUUUGUGGAUCUUAUGGUGUGAGACAUGCUUACUCUAUCUAUCUACUGUUUAUCCUUAGCUUGUCUUUCCUUCUUGUAUGCUUAUUGCUUAUCUAUCUCAGUUAGUAGUUGUGGUGGGUCUAUAAAAUCUAGGGGGAGCUUUGAUCCUAAUGUGUGACUUUGCAUUCCAAAAGCAAAUUCAAAAUAGCACACACAUCCAGGGGAGCCUGUCUAUAUUUUACAGACCUUUUUGUGCAAAUCUCAUUGUUUUCAUCAUCCACCAAAAAGGGGGAGAUUGUUAAAACAUUUCCCGUGUUUUGGGUGAUGAUGACAACCCUCCUUGUAUUCUAAUCUUGUGAUUAGUUCUUCAGGUUCGCAUCGACUAGGUAUUCUCUCUGGAAGGAAAAGAUCGAAGACGGAGUUGCCUGUGCGUUUUAUUUCUUUGGUCAUAGGAAACCCGUACUAUCAAGAGAGAAUCCACAUCGGAAGGCAUUGGGUGAAUCAUUGCACGUACACUCUCUUUGUCACCCACCUUCUCAUUCCGUUCUGUGUAGAGAGAGGUCCCCUAUGUUUCUUGCUGGUGCAGUGGCUUCUCCUCAUCAGUUGUAGCGCAUUCUAGGGCAGUUGUACCGCUGGCCCUGUUGUACCAUUGCAACCACCUCCCCAGGGGUCAUACCCUGGGGUUGCACCUCCCAGGUUCUUGCCAAUCGGUUGUAAUGCUGCCCCAGGGCGGUGGUACUGCCCGUCCAAUGGUAGAAUCCUGGGGUUGUACUUGGGCGGUUGUACCGGCCGGGUACCGCUCAACCACCAGACAAGGUUCUGUGAUGGGGCGGUACUUGGGUGGUGGUGGCCCAGUCGUUCUGGUUGUGCUCCGCAUACCGAUACUACCGGUUGUCCUGAGCGGUUCUACCGCUUGGGACUUAGCCACCCCGUGCACCAGGUGCGAGCAGUUGUUCCGAAUGCUCUACCACUCGACCACCACCCAUGGAGGUGACUCCCUUCGGUUUCAAGGCGGUUGUGGAACGGUAAUGAAGCGGUUGGUCCGGUUGUUCUUAAUAACCGAUACUACCACUCUGGCGACCGGUUGUAGCGCCUGCUAGGGUUUCAACAGCUUCGCAUGGGGAGAGGAGCGGUUGUACCGCUGCAAUGUAAAAACUGCUGUAACGGCUCGAUCUUAGGGUUUCCUAUAUAAAGGGGGGUCUUCCACGUACACCCCUUACCUCUAGCCUCUCUCUCUCUCUCUCCACCAUUGAUGCCCUUCAAGCUUUGUUGCCUGAUCUCUCUCUCUAGCCACUCAAACUUGCUGAUUUGCUAGGGAUUGAAGGAGGAGACCUAGAUCUACACUUCCACCCAAGGAUAUUUGAUUCCCCCAUACUUUCUUCUAUGGAUUUUGUUACUCUUGGGUGUUUGAGCACCCUAGAUGCGUGAGGUCACCUUGGAUCCAUAUUCCAUUGUGGUGAAGCUCCGCAAUUUCGUUGCGAGCCUCCAAUUCGGUUGUGGAGAGAGCCCCAACCUUAUUUGUAAAGGUUCGGUUGCCGCCUUCAAGGGCACCACUAGUGGAAUCACGACAUCUCGCAUUGUGUGAGGACGUGAGGAGAAUACGGUGGCCCUAGUGGCUUCUUGGGGAGCAUUGCGCCUCCACACCGCUCCAAUGGAGACGUACUUCCCCCAAAGGGAAGGAACUUUCGUAACACCUCCUCGUCUCCAUCGAUUCCACUCAUGGUUAUCUCUUCCCUUUACUUUGUGGAAGUCCUUAUUGUGUUGCAUCCUUUGCUUGCACUUGUUGUUGUUUUGGUGCUAGCAUCAUAUAGGUUGCUCACCUAGUUGCACAUCUAGACAACCUAUUUAUUGUUAAACCUAAUUUGUUAAGAAAAGCUAAAAAUUGCUAGUUGCCUAUUCACCCCCCUCUAGUCAACCAUAUCGAUCCUUUCAUCUAGGGGCUCGGGUUGGGGCUGCUAUUCGAACAGGCACCGGGGUUUGAGCUCCCAUAGAGAUCCACCUCCGGUGGCCCGUCGUCUCCACCGCCAGCAGGCCUGCCGCAGUCGCCGCCGCCACUCGACGUCGCUGUCUGAGAGGAGAGGGUGCGGGGGAGGGAAAGAGAUGGAGAGGACUGAGCGGGGAGGAACUGGUAGAAGAGGGUUCCAGCUCAAACCGGCCCGCACACGGCGUCUGACGCCGUCUAACGGCUUAGACAAAUGAACAGUGCCUCCACAUUAACAAAAGCGGGUCCCACCUGUCAUAAUCCCACUUAAUAUGACCAAACCGAGCACCUAGUGUUUUCUGCAAAAAAAUAGCCUGGGAAUUAGUGUUUUGGGGCACAAAACUAUAGACUUGUGGUUUCUACAAACCUAGCCUUCAAUGUCGAUGUUUUCUGCAAUUCACUCGCUUUGUUGUCUUCUCUUUUUCUUUCACCUCUAUCGCUCGUUUUGUGGGUGCAUUUGUAGUCGAUCUUUUUUUGCCUUGUGGUCGUAGACGAAGCUCAAUUCAGAUCGAUCAUAUUCUGCUCCUCUCUCCUUUUUCUCCAAAUAAAGCAAGUACAAAAGCUUGGUCAUAUUGAAAAAACUACCUGUGUGGGUGGGCGAGAUUUUCAGAUCGGCGAUUGAGGCGAUCGUGAUGAGUUAGUCGUUCUGGCAGUCAGCGGCGGCGGGGCCAUCGUGUCGGACCCUCUCUCCCUGGUAAGUCUCUCCUCUUUCGGCGCCUUGCAGCGUCUAGGUUUCCCUAAUUUCCCUAUGCUUUGCGGCGCCAUGUCCAAGGCCGAUCGUGCCGCGACGCGUUGAUACGUCUCCAACGUAUCUAUAAUUUUCGAUUGUUCCAUGCUAUUAUAUUAUCAUUCUUGGAUGUUUUACAAUCAUUUUAUAGUCAUUUUAUAUCAUUUUUUGGUACUAACCUGACAUAGUGCCCAGUGCCAGUUGCUGUUUUCUGCAUGUUUUUUACAUCGCAGGAAUCAAUACCAACGGAGUCCAAACGCAGCGAAACUUUUUGAGAAUUUUUUUGGGCCAGAAGACAUCCAGUGGGCCAAGCCUGCACCUCGGGGGGUGCCUCGAGGAGCACAACACCCACCAGGACAUGCCAGGAGUCCCAGGCGCGCCCUGGUGGGUUCUGCCCACCUCGGGUGCCCCCUGAACCGCCUCUUUGCUCUAUAAAUACCCCAAUAUUCCAGAAACCCUAGGGGAGUCGACGAAAAUCGAUUCCAGCCGGCGCAGAGUCCAGAACCACCAGAUCCAAUCUAGACACCAUCACAGAGGGGUUCAUGAUACGUCUCCAAUGUAUCUAUAAUUUUUUAUUGUUCCAGGCUGUUAUAUUAUCAUUCUUAGAUGUUUUACAAUCAUUUCAUAAUCAUUUUAUAUCAUUUUGGUACUAACCUAUUGACAUAGUGCCAAAUGCCACUUGUUAUUUUCUGCAUGUUUUUUACAUCGCAGGAAAUCAAUAUCAGACGAGUCCAAAUGCCACGUGAUACGUCUCCAACGUAUCUAUAAUUUUUGAUUGUUCCAUGCUAUUAUAUUACCCAUUUUGGAUGUUUAUGGGCUUUAUUUUACACAUUUAUAUCAUUUUUGGGACUAACCUACUAGCCGGAGGCCCAGCCCGUAUUGCUGUUUUUUUGCCUAUUUCAGUGUUUCGAAGAAAAGGAAUAUCAAACGGAGUCCAAACGGAAUGAAACCUUCGGGAGCGUGAUUUUUGGAACGAACAAGAUCCAGAGGACUUGGAGUGCAAGUCAAGAAGCAGUCGAGGCGGCCACGAGGGUGGAGGGCGCGCCCACCCCUACUAGGCACGUUUCCCUAUCUUGUGGGCCCCUCGGGCAUCCACCGACCUACUUCUUCCUCCUAUAUAUACCCAUGUACCCCGAAAACAUCAGGGGAGCCCAUGAAAAACUAUUUCCACCACCGUAACCUUCUGUAUCCGCGAGAUCCCAUCUUGGAUCCUUUGCCGGUGCUCCGUCGGAGGGGGAAUCAACCACGUAGGGCUUCUACAUCAACACCAUAGCCCCUCCGAUGAGUUGUGAGUAGUUUACCACAGACCUUCGGGUCCAUAGUUAUUAGCUAGUUGGCUUCCUCUCUCUUUUUGGAUCUCUGCUACGUCUCGAGCUUGCGUUGGUUUUCCCCGAAGAGGAGAGGAUGAUGCAGCACAGUAGCGUAAGUAUUUCCUCAGUUUUUGAGAACCAAGGUAUCAAUCCAGUAGGAGGUCACGCGCAAGUCCCUCGUACCUGCACAACACGAUAGCAACUCGCAACCAACGCUUAGGGGUUGUCAAUCCCUUCACGGUCACUUACGAGAGUGAGAUCUGAUAGAGAUAAUAUUUUUGGUAUUUUUGAUAGAUAGAUGCAAAGUAAAAAGUAAAGGUAAAGUAAAAACAAAGCAAGUAAAUAAAGUGAUAUAGAUUGAUAUGAUGAGAAUAGACCCGGGGGGCAUAGGUUUCACUAGUGGCUUCUCUCGAGAGCAUAAGUAUUCUACGGUGGGUGAACAAAUUACUGUUGAGCAAUUGACAGAAUUGAGCAUAGUUAUGAGUAUAUCUAGGCAAUGAUCAUGUAUAUAGGCAUCACGUCCGAGACAAGUAGAUCGAAAUGAUUCUGCAUCUACUACUAUUACUCCACUCAUCGACCGCUAUCAAGCAUGCAUCUAGAGUAUUAAGUAAAAACAGAGUAACGCCUUAAGCAAGAUGACAUGAUGUAGAGGGAUAAAUUCAUGCAAUAUGAUAAAAAAAACAUCUUGUUAUCCUCGAUGGCAAUAAUACAAUAUGUGCCUUGCAACUCUUUCUGUCACUGAGUAAGGACACCGCAAGAUUGAACCCAAAGCCAUGCACUUCUCCCAUUGCAAGAACUACCAAUCUAGUUGGCCAAACCAAAUGGAUAAUUCGAAGAGACUUGCAAAGAUAACUCAAUCAUACAUAAAAGAAUUCAGAGAAGAAUCAAAUAUUUUCCAUAGAUAAUACUGGAUCAUAAACCCACAAUUCAUCGAUCUCAACAAACACACCGCAAAAAGAAGAUUACAUCGAAUAGAUCUCCACAAGAGAGGGGGAGAACAUUGUAUUGAGAUCCAAAAAGAGAGAAGAAGCCAUCUAGCUACUAGCUAUGGACCCGAAGGUCUGAAGUAAACUACUCACACUUCAUCGGAGGGGCCAUGGUGAUGAUGUAGAAGCCCUCCGUGGUGGAUGCCCCCUCCGGCGGAGCUCCGGAACAGGCCCCAAGAUGGGAUCUCGUGGAUACAGAAGGUUGCGGCAGUGGAAUUAGGUUUUUAGCUCCCCCUCUGAUCAUACGGGGAUGCGUAGGUAUAUAUAGGAGGAAGGGGUACGUUGGUGGAGCUCCGAGGGGCCCACGAGGUAGGGGGCGUGCCCAGGGGGGAGGGGCGCGCCCUCCACCCUCGUGACCGCCUCGUGGCUUUCUUGACGGAGGGUCCAAGUCUCCUGGAUCUUAUCUGAUGAGAAAAUCACGUUCCCGAAGGUUUCAUUCCGUUUGGACUUCGUUUGAUAUUCUGUUUCUUCGAAACACUCGAAAAGGCAAAAAAACAGCAAUUCUGGGCUGGGCCUCCGGUUAAUAGGUUAGCCCCAAGAAUAAUAUAUAAGUGGAAAAUAAAGCCCAAUAUAGUCCAAAACAGUAGAUAAAGUAGCAUGGAGCAAUCAAAAAUUAUAGAUACGUUGGCGACGUAUCAAGCAUCCCCAAGCUUAAUUCCUACUCGUCCUCAAGUAGGUAAAUGAUAAAAAAGAAUUUUUGAUGCGGAGUGAUACUUUGGCAUAAUUUCAAUGUAAAUCUUCUUAAUUGUGAUAUGAAUAUUCAGAUCCGAAAGAUUCAAGACAAAAGUUCAUAUUGACAAAGAAAUAAUAAUACUUUAAGCAUACUAAUCAAAGCAAUCAUGUCUUCUCAAAAUAAUAUGGCAAAAGAAAGUUCAUCCCUACAAAAUCAUAUAGUUAGGCUAUGCUUCAUUUUCGUCACACAAAGAUGUUCCCAACUUCUAUACCCCCGAUGACAAGCCAAGCAAUUGUUUCAUACUUAAAUAAUCUCAAACUUUUUCAACCUUCACGCAAUACAUGAGCGUGAGCCAUGGAUAUAGCACUAUGGGUGGAAUAGAAUAUGAUGAUGGGGAUUGUGUGGAGAAGACAAAAAGGAGAAAGUCUCACGUUGACGAGGCUAAUCAACGGGCUAUGGAGAUGCCCAUCAAUUGAUGUCAACAUGAGGAGUAGGGAUUGCCAUGCAACGGAUGCACUAGAGCUAUGAAUGCUCAACAAGAGAAAACUAGUGGGUGUGCAUCCAACUUGCUUGCUCACGAAGACCUAGGGCAUUUGAGGAAGCCCAUCGUAGGAAUAUACAAGCCAAGUUCUAUAAUGAAAAAUUCCCACUAGGAUGAAAAGACAACUUAUGAGACUCACUACAUGAGGAACAAGGUGCUACUUUGAAGCACAAUAUAUGAGACUCACUACAUGAAGAACAAGGUGCUAAGUGUGGAAAAAGAGAUAGUAGCAUUGCCCUUUUUUAUUUUCUUUUUUUUGGGCCUUUCCUUUUUUUGGCCUUUCUCUUUUUUUGGGCAAUGCUCUAAUAAUGAUGAUCAUCACACUUCUAUUGAUUACAACUCGAAACUUAGAACAAGAUAUGACUCUAUAUGAAUGCCUCUGGCGGUGUACCGGGAUGGUGCAAUGAAUCAAGAGUGACAUGUAUGGAAAAUAAUGCAUGGUGGCUUUGCCACAAAUACGAUGUCAACUACAAGAUCAUGCAAUGGCAAUAUGACAAAAGUAAUGCAUGUCACGAUGAUGAUGAUGGAAGUUGCAUGGCAAUAUAUCUCGGAAUGGCUAUGGAAAUGCCAUAAUAGGUAGGUAUGGUGGCUGUUUUGAGGAAGAUAUAAGGAGGUUUAUGUGUGAUAGAGCGUAUCGUAUCCCGGGGUUUGGAUGCACCGGCGAAGUUUGCGUCAACUCUCAAUGUGAGAAAGGGCAACGCACGGUACCGAAGAGGCUAGCAAUGGCGGAAAGGUGAGAGUGCGUAUAAUCCAUGGACUCAACAUUAGUCAAAAGAACUCAUAUACUUGUUGCAAAAAUUUAGAAGUCAUCAAAAAUUCAAAUACUAUGCGCAUGCUCCUAGGGGGAUAGAUUGGUAGGAAAAGACCAUCGCUCGUCCCCGACCGCCACUCAUAAGGAUGCACAAGCCAGGUACACUUCAUGUUUCAAAUUUGUUACAUAACUUUAACCAUACGUGCAUGCUACGGGAUUUGCAAACUUCAACACAAGUAUUUCUCAAAUUCAUAAUCACCCAACUAGCACAACUAUGAUAUUAUCACCUCCAUAUCUCAAAACAAUUAUCAAGCAUCAAACUUAUCUUAGUAUUCAACGCACUCAAAAGAAAGUUUCACAUAUCUUGAAUACCAAGUAUAUUAACAUUAAGCAAAUUACCAUGCUAUUGACGACUCUCAAAAUAAUCUAAGUGAAGCAUGACAGAUCAAGUUUUUUUAAAACAAAUCCACCACCGUGCUCAAAAAUAUCUAAGUGAAGCACUAGAGCAAAAAUUAUCACGCUCAAAAGAUAUAAGUGAAGCACUAUGAGCAAAACUAUCAAGCUCAAAAGAUAUAAGUGAAGCACAUAGAGUAUUCUAGCAAAUUUCAAUUCAUGUAUGGCUCUCUCAAAAGGUGUGUACAUCAAGGAUGAUUGUGGUAAACUAAUAAGCAAAGACGCAAAUAAUACAAGACGCUCCAAGCAAAACACAUAUCAUGUUGGUGAAUAAAAAUAUAGCUCCAAGUAAAUUACCGAUGGAAGUGGACGAAAGAGGGGAUGCCUUCUGGGGCAUCCCCAAGCUUUGAAUUUUUGGUGUCCUUGGAUUAUCUUGGGGGUGCCAUGGGCAUCACCAAGCUUAGGCUCUUUCCACUCCUUGUUCCAUAAUCCAUCAAAAGAAUUCACCCAAAACUUGAAAACUUCACAACACAAAACUCAACAGAAAUCUCGUGAGCUCUGUUAGAGAAAGAAAACAAAAGACUACUUCAAGGUACUGUAAUUAACUCAUUCUUUAUUUAUUUUGGUGUUAAACCUACUGUAUUCCAACUUCUCUAUGGUUUAUAAACUAAUUUAUUAGCCAUAGAUUCAUCAAAAUAAGCAAACAACACACGAAAAACAGAAUCUGUCAAAAACAGAACAGUUUGUAGUAAUCUGUAACUAACGCAACCUUAUGGAACUAUAAAAAUUGUACCAAAAUAGGAAGUCCUGGAAAAUUUGUUUAUUGAUCAGCAGAAAAAAGAAUCAACGCAAAAGCACUCUCCAGUAAACAAUGGCAUCUAAUCUCGUGAGCGCUAAAGUUUCUGUUUUUCAGCAGAAUCAAAUCAACUAUCAUCGUAGGUUAUCCUAUAGGUCCUACUUGGCACAAACACUAAUUGAAACAUAAAACCACAUCCAAACAGAAGGUAGAUGUAUUAUUUAUUCCUAAACAGAAGAAAAAACAAAAAACACAAAAUAAAAUUGGGUUGCCUCCCAACAAGCGCUAUCGUUUAACGCCCUAGCUAGGCAUAAAAGCAAGGAUAGAUCUAGGUAUUGCCAUCUUUGGUAGGCAAUCCAUAAGUGGCUCUCAUGUUAGAUUCAUAUGGUAAUUUUAUUUUCUUUAUAGUGAAGUGUUCCAUACCCUUCUUUAAGGGAAAUAGGAAUCUAAUAUUCCCUUCCUUCAUAUCAAUAAUUGCACCAAUCGUUCUAAGGAAAGGUCUACCAAGAAUAAUAGGACAUGAAGGAUUGCAAUCUAUAUCAAGAACGAUAAAAUCUACGGGCACAUAAUUCCUAUUUGAAACAAUAAGAACAUCAUUAAUUCUUACCAUAGGCUUUUUAAUAGUGGAAUCCGCAAGAUGCAAGUUUAGAGAGCAAUCAUCAAAAUCACGGAAAUCUAGCAAAUCACAUAAAGUUUUGGGAAUAGUAGAGACACUAGCACCCAAAUCACAUAAAGCAUGAAACUCAAAGUCUUUAAUUUUAAUUUUAAUCAUAGGUUCCCACUCAUCAUAGAGUUUUCUAGGGAUAGAAACUUUCAACUCUUUUUCUUCGUAAGAUUGCAUCAAGGCAUCAACAAUGUGUUCGGUAAAGGCCUUAUUUUGACUAUAAGUACGAGGAGAUUCUAGCACGGAUUGCAACAAGGAAAUACAACCAAUCAAAGAGCAAUUUUCAUAAUUAAAUCCCUUGAGAUCCAGAAUAGUGGGUUUAGCAACAUCACAGUUUUUAUUUAUUUCAAUCCCACUUUCAUCAAUUUCAUCAUCAAGAUCUAGAAACUCCGAAUUCUUAGAACGCCUUCUAGGUAAAGGAAGAUCAUAUUCAGUUUCAUCAAGAUUCAUAUUGCAAAACAAAGAUUUAAUGGGGGACACAUCAAUAACUUUUAGAUCUUCAUCUUGAUUUUCAUAGGGAUUAGAAGAACACGCUUUAAUAAAGGCAUCUUUGGAAGCACGCAUCCUAGCGGUUCUUUCUUUGCACUCAUCAAUGGAAAUUCUCAUGGAUUUGAGAGACUCAUUGAUAUCAUGCUUAGGAGGAAUAGAUCUAAGCUUUAAAGAAUCAAUUUCAAGAGAAAUUCUAUCAACGUUCCUAGCCAAAUCAUCAACUUUAAGCAAUUUCUCUUCAAGCAAAGCAUUAAAAUUCUUUUGUGAAUUCAUAAACUCUUUAACACUACUCUCAAAUUCAGAGGGCAUGUUACUAAAAUUUCCAUAAGAGUUUUUGUAGGAAUUUCCAUAAUUAUUAGAAGGAUUACUAGGAUAAGGCCUAGGAUUAAAAUUCCCUCUAUAAGCGUUGUUUCAAAAACUAUUCCUACCAACAAAAUUCACGUCCAUAGAUUCAUUGUUAUUCUCAAGCAAAGUAUAUAAAGGCAUAUCAUUGGGAUCAAGAGGAGUAUUUUUAGGAGCAAACAUCUUCAUAAGUUCAUCCAUCUUUUCACUCAAAACGUUGAUUUCUUCUAUAGCAUGCACUUUUUUACUAGAAGAUCUUUCGGUGUGCCAUUGAGAAUAAUUAGCCAUAAUAUUAUCAAGCAAUUUGGUAGCAUCUCCUAAUGUAAUUUCCAUAAACGUGCCUCCCGCGGCCGAAUCUAAAAGAUUUCUAGAAGCAAAAUUCAAUCCGGCAUAAAAAAUUUGUAUGAUCAUCCAUAAAUUCAAACCAUGAGUAGGGCAAUUGCGAAGCAUUAAUUUCAUUCUUUCCCAAGAUUGGGCAACAUGCUCAUGAUCAAGUUGUCUAAAAUUCAUGAUAUCGUUCCUAAGAGUGAUAAUCUUAGCGGGAGGAAAAUACUUAGAGAUAAAAGCAUCUUUGCACUUGUUCCAAGAAUCAAUACUAUUUUUAGGCAAAGACGAAAACCAAACUUUAGCACGAUCUCUAAGUGAAAACGGAAAUAACUUCAAUUUGACAAUAUUGUUAUCCGUAUCUUUUUUCUUUUGCAUAUCACACAAAUCAACAAAAUUGUUUAGAUGAGUAGCAGCAUCUUCACUAGGAAGGCCGGCGAAUUGAUCUUUCAUAACAAGAUUCAACAAAGCGGUAUUGAUUUCACAAGACUCAUCAUUAUUAAGAGGAGAAAUCGGAGUACUAAGGAAAUCAUUAUUAUUGGUAUUCGAGAAAUCACACAAUUUGGUAUUAUCUUGCGCCAUGGCAACAAGUAAUCCAACACAAAAGCAAACAGAAAGGCAACGAGAAAAGGCAAACGGGAAAGAGAGGAGGAGAUUGGGAAAGAGAGGGUGAAUAAAACGGCAAGGGUGAAGUGGGGGAGAGGAAAACGAGAGGCAAAUGGCAAAUAAUGUGAUGCGAGAGAUAGGGAUUGUGAUGGGUACUUGGUAUGUUGACUUUUGCGUAAGCCUCCCCGGCAACGGCGCCAGAAAUUCUUCUUGCUAUGUCUCGAGCUUGCGUUGGUUUUCCCCGAAGAGGAGAGGAUGAUGCAGCACAGAGCGUAAGUAUUUCCCUCAGUUUUUGAGAACCAAGGUAUCAAUCCAGUAGGAGGUCACGCGCAAGUCCCUCGUACCUGCACAACACGAUAGCAACUCGCAACCAACGCUUAGGGGUUGUCAAUCCCUUCACGGUCACUUACAAGAGUGAGAUCUGAUAGAGAUAAUAUUUUUGGUAUUUUUGAUAGAUAGAUGCAAAGUAAAAAGUAAAGGUAAAGUAAAAACAAAGCAAGUAAAUAAAGUGAUAUAGAUUGAUAUGAUGAGAAUAGACCCGGGGGGCAUAGGUUUCACUAGUGGCUUCUCUCGAGAGCAUAAGUAUUCUACGGUGGGUGAACAAAUUACUGUUGAGCAAUUGACAGAAUUGAGCAUAGUUAUGAGUAUAUCUAGGCAACGAUCAUGUAUAUAGGCAUCACGUCCGAGACAAGUAGAGCGAAACGAUUCUGCAUCUACUACUAUUACUCCACUCAUCGACCGCUAUCCAGCAUGCAUCUAGAGUAUUAAGUAAAAACAGAGUAACGCCUUAAGCAAGAUGACAUGAUGUAGAGGGAUAAAUUCAUGCAAUAUGAUAAAAAAAACCAUCUUGUUAUCCUUGAUGGCAACAAUACAAUACGUGCCUUGCAACUCUUUCUGUCACUAAGUAAGGACACCGCAAGAUUGAACCAAAAGCCAUGCACUUCUCCCAUUGCAAGAACUACCAAUCUAGUUGGCCAAACCAAACAGAUAAUUCGAAGAGACUUGCAAAGAUAACUCAAUCAUACAUAAAAGAAUUCAGAGAAAAAUCAAAUAUUUUCCAUAGAUAAUACUGGAUCAUAAACCCACAAUUCAUCGGUCUCAACAAACACACCGCAAAAAGAAGAUUACAUCAAAUAGAUCUCCACAAGAGACGGGGAGAACAUUGCAUUGAGAUCCAAAAAGAGAGAAGAAGCCAUCUAGCUACUAGCUAUGGACCCAAAGGUCUGAAGUAAACUACUCACACUUCAUCGGAGGGGCCAUGGUGAUGAUGUAGAAGCCCUCCAUGGUGGAUGCCCCCUCCGGCGGAGCUCCGGAACAGGCCCCAAGAUGGGAUCUCGUGGAUACAGAAGGUUGCGGCAAUGGAAUUAGGUUUUUAGCUCCCCCUCUGAUCAUACGGGGAUACGUAGGUAUAUAUAGGAGGAAGGAGUAUGUCGGUGGAGCUCCGAGGGGCCCACGAGGUAGGGGGCGUGCCCAGGGGGAGGGGCGCGCCCUCCACCCUCGUGACCGCCUCGUGGCUUUCUUGACGGAGGGUCCAAGUCUCCUGGAUCUUAUCUGAUGAGAAAAUCACGUUCCCGAAGGUUUCAUUCCGUUUGGACUUCGUUUGAUAUUCUGUUUCUUCGAAACACUGGAAAAGGCAAAAAAACAGCAAUUCUGGGCUGGGCCUCCGGUUAAUAGGUUAGUCCCAAAAAUAAUAUAAAAGUGGAAAAUAAAGCCCAAUAUAGUCCAAAACAGUAGAUAAAGUAGCAUGGAGCAAUCAAAAAUUAUAGAUAUGUUGGAGACGUAUCAAUCUCAAUACCAUGUUCUCCUCGAUCAUCUUGGAGAUCUAUUCGAUGUAACUCUUUUUGCGGUGUGUUUGUCGAGAUCCGAUGAAUUGUGGGUUUAUGAUCAAGUUUAUCUAUGAGAAAUAUUUGAAUCUCCUCUGAAUUCUUUUAUGUGUGAUUAAGUUAUCUUUGCAAGUCUCUUCGAAUUAUCAGUUUGGUUUGGCCUACUAGAUUGAGCUUUGGGUUCAAUCUUGCGGUGUCCUUUCCCAGUGACAGCAGGGGCAGCAAGGCACGUAUUGUAUUAUUGCCAUCGAGGAUAAAAAUAUGGGGUUUAUAUCAUAUUGCAUGAGUUUAUCCCUCUACAUCAUGUCAUCUUUCUUAAUGCGUUACUCUGUUCUUUAUGAAUUUAAUACUCUAGAUGCAAGCUGGAUAGCGGUUGAUGUGUGGAGUAAUAGUAGUAGAUGCAGGCAGGAGUCGGUCUACUUGUCACGGACGUGAUGCCUAUAUACAUGAUCAUGCCUAGAUAAUCUCAUAAUUAUUCGCUUUUGUAUCAAUUGCUCGAUAGUAAUUUGUUCACCCACCGUAAUACUUAUGCUAUCUCGAGAGAAGCCACUAGUGAAACCUAUGGCCCCGGGUCUAUAUUUUAUCAUAUAAGCUUUCAAUCUACUUUUAUUUGCAUCUUUACUUUUCCAAUCUAUAUCAUAAAAUACCAAAAAAAUAUUUAUCUUAUCAUACUAUCUCUAUCAGAUCUCACUUUCGCAAGUGGCCGUGAAGGGAUUGACAACCCCUUUAUUGCGUUGGUUGUGAGUUCUUUGUUUGUUUGUGUAGGUGCGUGGGACUUUUGAGGAGCCUCCUACUAGAUUGAUACCUUGGUUCUCAAAAACCGAGGGAAAUACUUAUGCUACUAUUGCUGCAUCACCCUUUCCUCUUCAAGGAAAACCAACGCAAGCUCAAGACGUAGCAAGAAGGAUUUCUGGCGCCGUUGCCAGGGAGGUCUUCGCUCAAGUCAAGACAUACCAAGUACCCAUCACAAACUCAUCUCCCUCGCAUUUACAUUAUUUGCCAUUUGCCUCUCGUUUUCCUCUCCCCCACUUCACCCUUGCCGUUUUAUUCGCUCUCUCUCUCUCUCACUUGCCCUCUUCUUCUUCCUCGCUUUUUUUUGCCGUUAUGUCUGAAAUUGGGGAGAUUAUUGUCAAUAUGGACAAUAAUGAUAACAUGGAAAAUUCUAAUGCUCCGGCUAAAGAACCCCCUAUCUUGCAUACUAAAAAGUUUCAAAUCGGUAGUGGUAACAUUAUUGGAAAUGGGUUAUUCAAGAUUUCUUUACUUGUGCUGAUGCUUUACCUUCUAUGGGUGGUUAUAUUAUUCAUAGAACUAGUAGUCUUGCGUAUGCUAUCGCUAUGCUUGUAGUUGAGCUUGAAAGACAAUUUAUGCACAUGCAUCCUUGCAUACAAAGAAUUUUCCUGGAAUUUUCUAAUAUUGAGCAUUCUUCUAUUAAGCGCGUCGUUACUAUCUUUUUGGCUAAUGAGUUCAGAUUUAUAAUAAGAGAGGCCAAAGAAAUCUUUGUGCACUAUAGGGUGGACGUUGGUCGUCCUCCCAUAGAGGCGAUCCUCUUUGAUCAAGAGGAAAUUAGGCGUUUUCAAUCUUUGGACUAUGUUGCUUUUAAUGAAAACCUUAGGAAAAGGGUUCCUACCAAUGUCCUAAUUGAUAGAAUUUACGAACUUAAUAAUGAUUUUGCUCUUCGAAACAAUGAUCUAGGAUACUCCCUUGAGUAUAGGCUCAUGAAAUUCUGCCAAAAGAAUGCCUAUAAUGAUGAAUUAGUUGUGCAAUAUGAAGGGCCAAAGGAGGAACCCAUUCCCCCUGUGAUUGAUCUUGGGGACUUUUGUCCCAUUAAAUUUAGCCCUUUUGAUUACUUUUGCUUGCCUCAAAGAAAACUUUCUAUUGAACGUAGAUAAUAUGAGAUGAGUUUUCAAGAUCUAUCUUAUUAGUUUGGCACUACUUAGAUCUAUCCUCGCUUUUAUGCCUAGCUAGGGCGUUAAACGAUAGCGCUAGUUGGGAGGCAACCCAAUUUUAUUUGUGUUUUUUGUUUUUGUUUCUGUUUAGUAAUAACAUUUGCAUCUACUUUCUGUUUAGAUGUGCUUUUAUGUUUUAAUUAGUGUUUGUGCAAAGUAGAACCUAUAGGAUAACCUAUGGUGAUAGUUAAUUUGAUUCAGCUAAAAACAGAAACUUUGCAUGCACGAAAUUAGUUUUGUUAAUUCACAUAAACGUGCUUUUGCGUUGAUUCCUUUUGAUGUAGAUCAAUAGACAAAUUUACAAGGACUUUCUAUUUUAGUAGGAUUUUUAGAGUUCCAGAAGUAUUAGUGGGUUACAGAUUGCUACAGACUGUUCUGUUUUUGACAGAUUCUGUUUUUCGUGUGUUCUUUGCUUAUUUUGAUGCAUCUAUGGCUAGUAUUAAGUGGUAUGAACCAUAGAGAACUUGAAAUACAGUAGGUUUAACACCAAUUUAAAUAAAGAAUGAGUUCAUUACAGUACCUUAUGUGGUCGUUUCGCUUUCUUUCACUAACAGAGCUGAUGAGAUUUCCUGUUGAGUUUUGUGUUGUGAAGUUUUCAAGUUUUGGGUAAAGAUUUGAUGGACUAUGGAAUAAGGAGUGGCAAAAGCCUAAGCUUGGGGAUGCACAUGGCACCCCAAGAUAUUCAAGAAUAUCCAAAAUCCUAAGCUUGGGGAUGCCCCCGGAAGGCAUCCCCUCUUUCUUCUUCGUUCAUUGGUAACUUUACUUGGAGCUAUAUUUUUAUUUGCCACAUGAUAUGUGUUUUGAUUGGAGCGUCUUGUAUGAUACUCCCUCCGUUCCUUGAUAUAAGGUGUAUAGAUUUUUGAGCAAAAGUCCAAAAUAUAAGGUGCAUUGCGUUGCACCACUCGUUUGGAUAAUUUUUUUAGGAAUUUUAUUACAUUUCCUUAUAUCAGGCAAGCUCCUCUAUUUACUCAUGUGAAUUAGUCAUGUGUAAUCUCGCCCAAAACUUGUGAAAUUUUCCCUCCAUGUGUGUUCUUUAUUUUUCUGCCAAAAACUAUACACCCUAUAUUUAGGAAUGGAGGGAGUGUUAGUUUUUGCUUUUUAGUUUCCCACAAUCAUCCUUGUUGUACACACCUUUUGGGAGAAGCCCACUUGAUUGGAAUUUAUUAGAAUACUCUAUGUGCUUCACUUAUAUCUUUUGAGUUAGAUAGUUUUUGCCCUAGUGCUUCACUUAUUUCUCUUAGAGCACGGUGGUGGCUUAAUUUUGUAGAAAUUGUUAGUCCCUCAUGCUUCACUUAUAUUAUUUUGAUAGUCUCUUAGAACAGCAUGGUAUUUGCUAUGGUUAUAAAAUUGGUCCUAGAAUGGUAGGCAUCCAAGUUGGGUAUAAUAAAAACUGUGAUAGGAAGUGAAUUGGAUGCUAUGAUCAAUUUGAUACUUGAUAAUUGUUUUGAGAUAUGGAGGUAGUGAUAUUAAAGUCAUGCUAGUUGGGUGAUUAUGAAUUUAAAGAAUGCUUGUGUUGAAGUUAGCAAGUCCCAUAGCAUGCACGUAUGGUUAAAGUUGUGUAACAAAUUUGAAACAUGAAGUGUCCUUGGAUUGUGCAUCCUUAUGAUUGGCGGUCGGGGACAAGCGAUGGUCUUUUCUUACCAAUCUAUCCCCCUAGGAGCAUGCGCGUAGUGCUUGGUUUUUGAUGACUUGUAGAUUUUUGCAAUAAGUAUAUGACUUCUUCUUUGACUAAUGUUGAGUCCAUGGAUUAUACGCACUUUCACCUUUCCAUCAUUGCUAGCCUCUUUGGUAUCGUGCAUUGCCCUUUCUCACCUUGAGAGUUGGUGCAAACUUCGCUGGUGCAUCCAAACCCCGUGAUAUGAUACGCUCUAUCACACAUAAACCUCCUUAUAUCUUCCUCAAAACAGCCACCAUACCAACCUAUUAUGGCAUUUCCAUAGCCAUUCCGAGAUAUAUUGCCAUGCAACUUUCCACCGUUCCGUUUAUCAUGAUGACAUGCAUCAUUAUUGUCAUAUUGCCUUGCGUGAUCAUGUAGUUGACAUCGUAUUUAUGGCAAAGCCACCAUGCAUAAUUUUUAUACAUGUCACUCUUGAUUCAUUGCCCAUCCCAGUACACCACCGGAGGCAUUCAUAUAGAGUCAUAUCUUGUUCUAGUUUUGGGUUGUAAUUCAUAAGUUGUAAAUCAAUAUAAGUGUGAUGAUCAUCAUUAUUAGAGCAUUGUCCCCAAAUAAAAAAAGGAAAGGCCAAAGAAAAAAAAGAAAGGCAAAAAAGAAAAAAAAAGAAAGGCCCAAAAAAAGAGAAAAAGGAAAUAAAUAAAAAGGGGCAAUGUUACUAUCUCUUUUUCCACACUUGUGCUUCAAAGUAGCACCAUGUUCUUCAUAUAGCAAGUCUCAUAUGUUGUCACUUUCAUAUACUAGUGGUAAUUUUUCAUUAUAGAACUUGGCUUGUAUAUUCCUACGAUGGGCUUCCUCAAAAUGCCCUAGGUCUUCGUGAGCAAGCAAGUUGGAUGCACACCCACUAGUUUCUUUUGUUGAGAUUUCAUGCAUUUAUAGCUCUAGUGCAUCUGUUGCAUGGCAAUCCCUACUCCUCAUGUUGACAUCAAUUGAUGGGCAUAUCCAUAGCUCGUUGAUUAUCCUCGUCAAUGUGAGACUUUCUCCUUUUUUGUCUUCUCCACACUAUCCCCAUUAUCAUAUUCUAUUCCACCCAUAGUGCUAUAUCCAUGGCUCACGCUCAUGUAUUGCAUGAAAGUUGAAAAAGUUUGAGAUUAUUUAAGUACGAAACAAUUGCUUGGCUUGUCAUCGGGGGUGUAUAAUUUGGGAGCAUUUUUGUGUGACGAAAAUGAAGCAUAGCCUAACUAUAUGAUUUUGUAGGGAUGAACUUUCUUUAGCCAUGUUAUUUUGAGAAGACAUGGUUGCUUUGAUUAGUAUGCUUGAAUUAUUACUAUUUUUAUGUCAAUAUGAACUUUUAUUUUGAAUCAUUUGGAUCUGAACAUUCAUGUCACAAUAAAGAAAAUUACAUUGAGAAUUAUGCUAGGUAGCAUUCCACAUCAAAAAUUCUGUUUUUAUCAUUUACCUACUCGAGGACGAGCAGGAAUUAAGCUUGGGAUGCUUGAUACGUCUCCAAUGUAUCUAUAAUUUUUUAUUGUUCCAUGCUAUUAUAUUACCCGUUUUGGAUGUUUAUGGUCUUUAUUUUACACAUUUAUAUCAUUUUGGGGACUAACCUACUAACCGGAGGCCCAGCCCGUAUUGUUGUUUUUUGCUUAUUUCAGUGUUUCGAAGAAAAGGAAUAUCAAACGGAGUCCAAAUGGAAUGAAACCUUCGGGAGCGUGAUUUUUGGAAUGAACGUGAUCCAGAGGACUUGGAGUGCAAGUCAAGAAGCAGUCGAGGCGGCCACGACGGUGGAGGGCGCGCCCACCCCUACUAGGCACGCCUCCUAUCUCGUGGGCCCCUCGGGCGCCCACCGAUCUACUUCUUCCUCCUAUAUAUACCCAUGUAUCCCGAAAACAUCACGGGAGCCCAUGAAAAACUAUUUCCACCAUCGUAACCUUCUGUAUCCGCGAGAUCCCAUCUUGGAGCCUUUGUCGGUGCUCCGCCGGAGGGGGAAUCGACCAUGGAGGGCUUCUACAUCAACACCAUAGCCCCUCCGAUGAGUUGUGAGUAGUUUACCAUAGACCUUCGGGUCCAUGGUUAUUAGCUAGAUGGCUUCUUCUCUCUUUUUGGAUCUCAAUACCAUGUUCUCCUCGAUCUUCUUGGAGAUCUAUUCGAUGUAACUCUUUUUGCGGUGUGUUUGUCGAGAUUCGAUGAAUUGUGGGUUUAUGAUCAAGUUUAUCUAUGAGAACUAUUUGAAUCUCCUCUGAAUUCUUUUAUGUGUGAUUAAGUUAUCUUUGCAAGUCUCUUCGAAUUAUCAAUUUGGUUUGUCCUACUAGAUUGAUCUUUCUUGCAAUAAAAGAAGUGCUUAGCUUUGGGUUCAAUCUUGCGGUGUCCUUUCCGAGUGACAGCAGGGGCAGCAAGGCACGUAUUGUAUUGUUGCCAUCGAGGAUAAAAAGAUGGGGUUUAUAUCAUAUUGCAUGAGUUUAUCCCUCUACAUCAUGUCAUCUUUCUUAAUGCGUUACUCUGUUCUUUAUGAACUUAAUAAUCUAGAUGCAUGUGAUACGUCCAUUUUGCAUCAUGCUUUUAUGACAAUAUUAAUUGCAUUAUGGGCUGUUAUUUCACGUUAUGUCACAAUACUUAUGGCUAUUCUCUCUUAUUUUACAAGUAUUACAUGAAGAGGGAGAAUGUCGGGAGCUGGAAUUCUGGGCUGGAAAAGGAGAAAAUAUUGGAGGACUAUUCUGCGCAACUCCAAAAGUCCUGAAACUCCACGGAAUAUCUUUAAAUAAAUAAAGAAAAAUCAUCGCCAAAGUUGAAGGCCAGGGGACCCACACCCUGCUCACGAGGGUGGGGGGCGCGCCCUCCCCCCUGGGCCCCCUGGUGGCUCUCCGACACCCGUCUUCUCCUAUAUGAAGUCUUUUGAUGAGAAAAAAAUAGAAGGCAACCUUUCGGGACGAGACUCCGCCACCACGAGGCGGAACCUUGGUGGAACCAAUCUAGGGCUCCGGCAGAGCUGUUCUGCCGGGGACACUUCCCUCCGGGAGGGGGAAAUCAUCACCAUCGUCAUCACCAACGCUCCUCUCAUUGGGAGAGGGCAAUCUCCAUCAACAUCUUCACCAGCACCAUCUCAUCUCCAAACCCUAGUGCAUCUCUUGUAUCCAAUUCUUCUCUCCAAGUCCGGGAUUGGUGCUAGUAGGUUGCUAGUAGUGUUGAUUACUCCUUGUAGUUGAUGCUAGUUGGUUUAUUUGGUGGAAGAUCAUAUGUUCGGAUCCUUUAUGCACAUUAUUACCCCUCUGAUUAUGAACAUGAAUAUGCUUUGUGAGUAAUUAUGUUUGUUCCUGAGGACAAGGGAGAAGUCUUGCUAUUAGUAGUCAUGUGAAUUUGGUAUUCGUUCGUUAUUUUGAUAAGAUGUAUGUUGUCUAACCUCUAGUGGUGUUAUGUGAACGUCGACUACAUAACACUUCACCAUUAUUUGGGUCUAGAGGAAAGCAUUGGGAAGUAAUAAGUAGAUGAUGGGUUGCUAGAGUGACAGAAGCUUAAACCCUAGUUUAUGUGUUGCUUCGUAAGGGGCUGAUUUGGAUCCAUAUGUUUCAUGCUAUGGUUAGGUUUACCUUAAUACUUUUGUUGUAGUUGAGGAUGCUUGCAAUAGAGGUUAAUCAUAAGUGGGAUGCUUGUUCAAGCAAUAAUAGCACCCAAGCACCGGUCCACCCACAUAUCAAAUUAUCAAAGUACCGAACGCGAAUCAUAUGAGCGUGAUGAAAACUAGCUUGACGAUAUUCCCAUGUGUCCUCGGGAGCGCUUUUCCUAUUAUAAGAGUUUGUCCAGGCUUGUCCUUUGCUACAAAAAGGAUUGGGCCGCCUUGCUGCACUUUAUUUACUUUUGUUACUUGUUGCUCGUUACAAUUUAUCUUAUCACAAAACUAUCUGUUACCACUUAUUUCAGUACUUGCAGAGAAUACCUUGCUGAAAACCGCUUAUCAUUUCCUUCUACUCCUCGUUGGGUUCGACACUCUUACUUAUCGAAAGGACUACAAUAGAUCCCCUAUACUUGUGGGUCAUCAAGACUCUUUUCUGGAGCCAUUGCCGGGGAGUGAAGCGCCUUUGGUAGGUGGAAUUUGGUAAGGAAAAUUUUAUUUAGUGUGCUGAAAUUUUCUGUCACUUGUUACUAUGGAAAGUAAUUGUCUGAGGGGCUUGUUCGGGGUAUCUUCACCCCGUCCAGUAGAGAAAAGAGAUGCUCCUCAACCUACUCAAACUACUGAACCUAUUGAAAAUGAAACUCCUUUUGAGAUUCCUUCGGGUUUGAUGGAAAAACUGUUAGCUAAUACUUUUACAGGAGAUGGAACAAAGCAUCCUGAUGAACAUCUACGCUAUGUGGAUGAUGUUUAUGGACUAUUUAAGCUUGCAGGUAUACCCGAUGAUGUUGUUAAGAAGAAGGCUUUCCCUUUAUCUUUGAAGGGAGACGCAUUGACAUGGUAUAGGCUAUGUGAUGAUAUGAGAUCAUGGAACUAUAAAAGAUUGAAAUUGGAAUUUCAUCAAAAGUACCCUAUGCAUCUUGUUCAUCGUGAUCGCAAUUAUAUAUAUAAUUUUUGGCCUCGCGAAGGAGAAAGAAUUGCUCAAGCUUGGGGGAGGCUUAAAUCAAUGUUAUAUUCAUGCCCCAAUCAUGAGCUCGCAAGAGAAGUGAUUAUGCAAAGUUUUUAUGCUCGGCUUUUUGAUAACAAUCGCACCAUGCUCGAUACUUCUUGUGCUGGCUCUUUUAUGAUGAAGACUAUUGAGUUUAGAUGGAAUUUAUUGGAUAGAAUUAAAUGCAACUCUGAAGAUUGGGACCUCGGUGAAUGUAAGGAGUCAGGUAUGACACCUAAGUUUGAUUGUGUUAAAUCUUUUAUGGAUACCGAUAUUUUCCGUAAGUUUAGCACUAAAUAUGGACUUGACUCUGAGAUAGUAGCUUCUUUCUGUGAAUCUUUUGCUACUUAUGUUGAUCUCUCCAAGGAGAAGUGGUUUAAAUAUCAUCCUCCCAUAGAAGUAAAAGUAGUUGCACCUAUUAAAGUUGAAGAAAAGGUUGUCACUUAUAAUGAUCCUAUUGUUCCCACUUCUUAUGUUGAGAAACCACCUUUCCCUGUUAGAAUGAAGGAUCAUGCUAAAGCUUCAACUGUUGUUCGUAAAAGCAAUACUAGAACUUAUACACCUCCUGAGCAAGUCAAAGUAGAACCCAAUAUUGCUAUUGUUAAAGAUCUCUUGUCUGAUAAUAUUAAUGGGCAUGUUAUUCAAUUCUGUGGUGAAACUGCUAGAAUUGCUAAACCUUGUGAUAGAGAUAAACAUAGACUUGUGGUAGGCAUGCCUGUUAUUUCUGUUAAAAUAGGAGAUCAUUGUUAUCAUGGCUUGUGUGAUAUGGGUGCUAGUGCUAGUGUAAUACCCAUUGACUUAUACAAAGAAAUUAUGCAUGAUAUUGCACCUGCUGAGUUAGAAGAAAUUGAUGUCACAAUUAAACUUGCUAAUAGAGAUACUAUAUCUCCAAUAGGAAUUGUUAGAGAUGUUGGAGUCUUGUGUGGAAAAACCAAAUAUCCCGCUGAUUUUCUUGUUCUUGGUUCUCCACAAGCUAGUUUUUGUCCCAUUAUAUUUGGUAGACCCUUCUUGAAUACUGUUAAUGCUAAGAUAGACUGCAAAAAGAAUGUUGUUACUAUUGGCUUGGAUGAUAUGGUUCAUGAGUUUAAUUUCUCUAAAUUUACUAAACAACAUCGUGAGGAAGAAUUGCCUAGUAAGGAUGAAAUUAUUGGUCUUGCUUCUAUUGCCGUACCUCCUAGUGAUCCUUUAGAACACUAUUUGCUAGACCAUGAAAAUGAUAUGUUCAUGAAUGAAAGAAGGGAAAUGGAUGAAGUAUUCUUUAAACAGGAACCUAUUCUGCAACACAAUUUUCCUGUUGAAAUCCUAGGGGAUCCUCCUCCACCCAAGGGUGAUCCCGUGUUUGAGCUUAAACCGUUGCCUGAUAAUCUUAAAUAUGCUUAUCUUGAUGAAAAGAAAAUAUAUCUUAUCAUUAUUAGCGCUAACCUUUCAGAGCAUGAAGAAGAAAGAUUAUUGAAAACUCUGAAGAAGCACCAUGCCGCUAUUGGAUAUACUCUGGAUGAUCUUAAGGGCAUCAGUCCCACUCUAUGCCAACAUAAAAUAAAUUUGGAAGUUGAUGCCAAACCAGUUUGUGAUCCUCAACGAUGUUUGAAUCCUAAAAUGAAAGAAGUGGUAAGAAAGGAAAUACUCAAGCUUCUUGAGGUAGGUAUAAUUUAUCCCGUUGCUGAUAGUCAGUGGGUAAGUCCUGUCCAUUGUGUCCCUAAGAAGGGAGGUAUUACUAUUGUCCCUAAUGAUAAAGAUGAAUUGAUUCCGCAAAGAAUUAUCACAGGUUAUAGGAUGGUAAUUGAUUUCCGCAAAUUAAAUAAGGCUACUAAGAAAGAUCAUUACCCCUUACCUUUUAUUGAUCAAAUGUUAGAACGAUUAGGCAAACAUACACAUUAUUGCUUUCUAGAUGGUUAUUCCGGUUUUUCUCAAAUACCUGUGUCGUCUAAAGAUCAAUCAAAGACUACUUUUACAUGCCCUUUUGGUACUUUUGCUUAUAGACGUAUGCCUUUCAGUUCAUGUAAUGCACCUGCUACCUUUCAAAGAUGCAUGGUGGCUAUAUUCUCUGACUUUUGCGAGAAAAUUUGUGAGGUUUUCAGGGACGACUUUUCCGUCUAUGGUUCCUCUAUUGAUGAUUGCUUGAGCAAUCUUGCUCGAGUUUUGCAGAGAUGUGAAGAAACUAAUCUUGUCUUGAAUUGGGAAAAAGUGCCACUUUAUGGUUAAUGAAAGUAUAGUCUUGGGGCAUAAAGUUUCUGAAAGAGGUAUUGAAGUUGAUAAAGCCAAGGUUGAUGCUAUUGAAAAGAUGCCAUGUCCCAAGGACAUCAAAGGUAUAAGAAGUUUCCUUGGUCACGCCGGAUUUUAUAGGAGGUUCAGUAAGGACUUCUCAAAAAUUUCUCGGCCUUUGACUAAUUUAUUACAAAAAGAUGUACCAUUUGUCUUUGAUGAUGAUUGUGUAGAAGCAUUUGAAAUACUUAAGAAAGCAUUAGUCUCUGCACCUGUUGUUUAGCCACCUGAUUGGAAUUUACCCUUUGAAAUUAUGUGUGAUGCUAGUGAUUAUGCUGUAGGUGCUGUUCUAGGGCAAAGAGUUGAUAAGAAAUUAAAUGCUAUCCAUUAUGCUAGUAAGACUCUAGACAAUGCUCAAAGAAAUUAUGCUACUACCGAAAAGGAACUUUUAGCAGUUGUAUUUGCUUGUGAUAAAUUCAGACCCUAUAUUGUUGAUUCUAAAGUAACUAUUCACACAGAUCGUGCUGCUAUUAAACAUCUUAUGGAAAAGAAAGAUGCAAAACCUAGACUUAUUAGAUGGGUUCUCCUGCUGCAAGAAUUUGAUUUACAUAUUGUUGAUAGAAAAGGAGCUGAGAACCCCGUUGCGGACAACUUGUCUAGGUUAGAGAAUGUUCUUGAUGACCCACUACCUAUUGAUGAUAGCUUUCCUGAUGAACAAUUAAAUGUCAUAAGCACUUCUCGUAGCACUCCAUGGUAUGCUGAUUAUGCUAAUUAUAUUGUUGCUAAAUUUAUACCACCUAGCUUCACAUACCAACAAAAGAAAAAAGUUUUUCUAUGACUUGCGACAUUACUUUUGGGAUGACCCACAUCUUUAUAAAGAAGGAGUAGAUGGUGUUAUUAGACAUUGUGUACCUGAGCAUGGACAGGAACAGAUCCUACGCAAGUGUCACUCCGAGGCUUAUGGAGGGCACCACGCUGGAGAUAGAACUGCACAUAAGGUAUUGCAAUCUGGUUUUUAUUGGCCUACUCUCUUCAAGGAUGCCGGUAAGUUUGUUUUGUCUUGCGAUGAAUGUCAAAGAAUUGGUAAUAUUAGUAGACGUCAAGAAAUGCCUAUGAAUUAUUCCCUUGUCAUUGAACCAUUUGAUGUUUGGGGCUUUGAUUAUAUGGGACCUUUUCCUGCCUCUAAUGGAUAUACUCAUAUUUUAGUUGUUGUUGAUUACGUUACUAAGUGGGUAGAAGCUAUUCCAACUAGUAGUGCUGAUCAUAACACUUCUAUUAAAAUGCUUAAGGAAGUUAUUUUUCCGAGUUUGGAGUCCCUAGAUAUUUAUUGACUGAUGGUGGUUCACACUUUAUUCAUGAUGCUUUCCGUAAGAUGCUUGCUAAAUAUGACGUUAAUCAUAGAAUUGCAUCUCCAUAUCACCCGCAGACUAGUGGUCAGGUAGAAUUGAGCAAUAGAGAGCUCAAAUUAAUUUUGCAAAAGACUGUCAAUAGGUCUAGAAAGAAUUGGUCCAAGAAACUUGAUGAUGCAUUAUGGGCCUAUAGAACUGCAUAUAAAAAUCCUAUGGGUAUGUCUCCGUAUAAAAUGGUUUAUGGAAAAUCUUGUCACUUACCUCUCGAACUAGAACAUAAGGCAUAAUGGGCUAUUAAAGAGCUCAACUAUGAUUUCAAACUUGCCGGUGAGAAGAGGUUAUUUGAUAUUAGCUCACUUGAUGAAUGGAGAACCCAAGCUUAUGAAAAUGCCAAGUUGUUUAAAGAAAAGGUUAAAAGAUGGCAUGACAAAAGGAUACAAAAGCGUGAGUUUAAUGUAGGUGAUUAUGCAUUGCUAUACAACUCUCGUUUAAGACUUUUUGCAGAAAAACUUCUCUCUAAAUGGGAAGGUCCUUACGUUAUCGAGGAGGUCUAUCGUUUCGGUGCCAUAAAAAUCAACAACUUCGCAGGCACAAAUCUGAAGGUGGUAAACGGUCAAAGGAUUAAACACUAUAUUUCAGGUAAUCCCAUAAAGGACACUUUCCAGAACGUUUCAGACUCCGAAAAGGAAUAGGUAUGUGGUACGGUAAGUAAACCGACUCCAAAACAAUUUUUAAGGCAAUAUUUCUCUGUUUUGGAAUAUUUAGAAAAUUAGAAAAAUAAGUGGCAGUCCGGGGAGGACAUGAGGCCUCCACGAGGGUGGAGGGCAUGCCCUACCCCCCUGGGCGUGCCCCCUACCUCGUGAGCACCUCGUGUGCACUCCGGACUCCGUUUCCUUGCAUGGUACGUAUUUUUGUCGGUAAAAAUUCAUUAUAUAUACUCCCGAAGGUUUUGACUCCCGUAUCACGCAAAUAUCCUCUGUUUUUGUUUCGAGUUGUUGCUGCUGCAGAUUAGAGCAAGAUGUCUUCCCAAGAUUCAGAGAGAGAGAGCUACAUGGCUGAUUAUAUUACAAAUCCAAAAGUAUAUGGGGAUGUGGAGCAUUAUGGCUGGACCACGGAGGAAAAAGAAGACUAUUAUCCAAAGAGGAAGGAGGAAACGAGUUCCGACAAAGAGGACUAUCCCCUGCCUCAACCUGGUGAUAUGCAUGUGGAGUUCAAGAAGUCAAGCCUCCAUAAGGUCUAAUCUAUCCCGCCUCGUUUUUUGCAGGAUAGCAAGGCAGCACUAUGCAAAAAGAUAAUGAAACUUGAGCUCGAGAAUGAGGAUCUGAGGGAGGAAAAUUUUAGCCUCAGACGCAAGCUAGAGAAGAAAAAUGCAACAACUCCAUCAUCAACAACACCUCCACUGCCAACAACAAAGAAGGAGACAUAAUCACAUGGGUAUGGGCACUCCCCUUGGCAACUUCCAAGCUUGGGGGAGGUGCCCUGGUAUCGUAUCACCAUCACAACUCCUAUCUUUACCGUUUUUCUUAGUUCAAUCCUAUUAGUAGUAUCUUGAUUUAGUAGAAUAAAGUCAUGGCAUGAUCUAGUUUUGAGUUUUGCUUUAUGAUCCUUCUUUGUAAUCGAGUCCGAGAGCUAUAUAAUAAAGAUUAGUGUUGAGUCAAGGGCUUGAGCAUUUUGCCAUGAUCUUGGGUGAUUAGAAGAAAAAGAAUAAAAAGAAUCAAAGAGUUCAUAUUGAUCUUAGUGAAAGUAAUGACUUCACAUAGAAAGAGUAUGAUGAUUAAAAGUUGUUGGGAGUUGGCAAAUAUAGCUUUGGUCAUCGUUGCAAUUAAUAGGAAGUAAUAAGGAAAGAGAGGUUUCACAUAUAGAUAUAUUAUCAUUGACAUCUUUUAUGAUUGGGAGCACUCAUUAAAAUAUGACAUGCUAAAGAGUUGAUGUUGGACAAGAAAGACAACAUAAUGAGUUAUGUUUUCUUACAUCUGAGAUAAGUAUGUUGUCAUGGAUCCUCUACCAUCUUGAGCUUGCCUUUCUCCCUCAUGCUAGCCAAAUUCUCAGCACCAAGUAGAAAUACUACUUGUGCUUCCAAAUACCCUUAAACCAGUUUUGCCAUGAGAGUCCACCAUAUCUACCUAUGGAUUGAGUAAGAUCCUUCAAGUAAGUUGUCAUCGGUGCAAGCAAUAAAAAUUGCUCUCUAAAUAUGCAUGACUUAUUAGUGCAGAGAAAUAAGCUUUGUAUGAACUUGUUGUGGACGCAAUAAAAGCGACGGACUACAUAAUAAAGGUUCACAUACAAGGGGCAAUAUAAAGUGACGUUCUUUUGCAUUAAGAUUUUGCGCAUCAACCCUAAACGCGCAUGACAACCUCUGCUUCCCUCUGCGAAGGGCCUAUCUUUUAUUAUUAUCCUCUACCUUAUGCAAGAGUCACGGUGAUCUUCACCUUUCCUUUUUCAUUUUAUCCUUUGGCAAGCUCAGCAUGUUGGAAAGAACAUGAUAUAUAUAUCUCUAAUUGGAUGUGGGGUAGCAUGAAUUAUUAUUGUUGACAUUACCCUUGAGGUAAAAGGUUGUGGGGCAAAACUAUAAGCCCCUAUCUUUCUCUGUGUCCGAUUAAAACUCCGUAACCACAAGUAUUGCGUGAGUGUUAGCAAUUAUGAAGGACUAAGUGAUAGUUGAGUAUGUGGACUUGCUUUUAAGCUCUGACAUAGACUCUUUCCGAUGUUAUGAUAAAUUGCAAUUGCUUCAAUGACUGAGGUUAUAAUUUGUUGGUGCUCAAUAAGGUUUCUGAUUCAUACUUUGGCUUUGUGAAAAGAUCAUCACUUGAACAUGAGUAAUCAUAUGACAAAAUCUAUUUAUGUUGCUGUUAUGGAAAUAAUCAUGAUGCCUUCAUGUCCGUAUUUUAUUUUUAUCGACGCCUCUACCUCUAAACAUGAGGACAUAUAUAUUGUUAUCAGCUUUUCACUUGAGGACAAGCGAGGUCUAAGCUUGGGGGAGUUGAUACGUCCAUUUUGCAUCAUGCUUUUAUGACAAUAUUUAUUGCAUUAUGGGCUGUUAUUUCACGUUAUGUCACAAUACUUAUGGCUAUUCUCUCUUAUUUUACAAGGAUUACAUGAAGAGGGAGAAUGCCAGCAGCUAGAAUUCUGGGCUGGAAAAGGAGCAAAUAUUAGAGGACUAUUCUGCGCAACUCCAAAAGUCCUGAAACUCCACGGAAUAUCUUAAAAUAAAUGUCAGGACCCCGACUCGAUGUCACAUUGAUCUAGCCGGUAACACCUCAUAUCACUUUGCGGCCUCACGCACGGUAUUCCCACGGGUGUCUCCUUACCUUUGCCCGGGACCGUUUGCGCCUUUUGGCUCACGUAUAUGAUAGUGUCGCUAGCAUCCAUAUGAUAAGGAGCCCGGGCUGACAUGACUAGUCGUAAACCCAAAGUGGCACAGACUUACAGGGACAGGCAUCCAUGACCCAGCUUCGAACGUGUCGGUCAUCAGCAAGUGGGUCCGGGCUGUAGCACUGGGCUAGCAGGACUCCGGUAAACCGGGCUAUAGCGGGCUAACAGGACUCCGGUACUCAAAGCGUGACAUUUCCCCGAAGGGACAGACACCGGAACGAAGAAGGACACAUGCCGGCCAGCCUAAGUGUUCCAGAGCAGUAGCAAGCUACCAUGGCUCAGCGGUAACACUAGGAGACAUUUCCCGGUAAGAGAGGCUACUAAAGAUAAACAACUAGAUAGUCAGAUCCCACACAUAUCAAGCAUUUCAAUCAUACACACAAUAUGCUCGAUAUGUGCAAAUACAACGAAGCAUCACAACAUGACUCUACGACACAAGUACUUUAUUUAAGGCUCAGGGAGCCAUACAUAACAUACACAAGGGUACGGGUCUCACGACCCAACAUUCAAGUCAUACAGUCAUACAAACCAGCAGCGGAAGUAACUUGUCUGAGUACAGACAACUAGUAAAAUAAAAGAGGCUUGGGAAGCCUAGCUAUACUACGUGGUCCUUCACAAGCUCAGGGUCACCACCUGGGUCUUUAGCCUACUCGUUGAUGUCAAUGUCUACAUAGAACCCAUCAGAAGGGGUUGCAGCGUCUUCUGAAAAAUGUAAAUUAUAGCAACAUGAGUACAAAGGUACUCAGCAAGACUUACAUCAGAUCCUACAUACAUGCAUAUUAUCAAGAAGAGUUGGUGGAGUUAUUGCAGCAAGCCAGCUUUGACUCUUGGCUAGACUAUCCUACGAUACUCCAACUUGAAAUGGUUUAGCGCACACGAGUCCACUACUCACCAAUUCAAUACACUACCGAGGAUCCACCUCCGUCUUCCUACAGAGGAGCCAUCCUCGGCACUCACACUUAUCUUGAGGCUUUUAGUAGUUUCCAUUUACUUGUCUAUGAACUGUAUAGGCAACCAAGUAGUCCUUUACCGCGGACGCGGCUAUUCGAAUAGAUCAUGAUAACCCUGCAGGGGUGUACUUCUUCAUACAUGUUUCCACCACUUAGCGUCUGCACACGACAUGUGCUCGGCAGACUUCAAGCGAAAGCCGACGUGGGUGUAGACCACGACCUACCUAAACACUUAAGCCUCUAGUCCAGGUUUAUCGCCUAUUCAGGUUCCAUCCGCAGGGAGUCCGGCCGAGGUUUCCCAUACGGCCCCGAACGAUGUGAACAGGGUUCCCGAGAUACCUAACGGGUAUUCGGUACACCGUGCCACGUACCUACCGCAUCACAGCCCACCCCUACGGUCAGCGCUGUCCACGGCCUCCAGUAGGCUACAAACACCAGAAACUACUUGCAACUCCUGGACGGAGAACUGGGGUGAAUAAGAAGUCGAGAGGGUCCAUUGGUUUCGGGCCCAAUGCAUGGUAGUAGCUGAUUCUUAAAUCACACAUACAGAUCUCAGUGCUUAAGGUCGGCUUCAAUGAAACAACCCACCAUGUACUCCUACAUGGCCUCUCAUCGAUACCUUUACCAAAUCGUGUUCACCACACCACUCUCAUUACCGACAUAAUCAUUUCACUCUAGCCCAUCACCCAGAUGAACCAGACCUGACACGACUCUAAGCAUAGCAGGCUUAGCAAGGUAGGAACAACACAUACAUAUGGCUCAAUCAACUCCUACACAUGCUAGUGGGUUUCAUCUAGUUACUGUGGCAAUGACAGGUCAUGCAGAGGAAAUGGGUUCAACUACCGUAACACACAGCAGUUUGAAUCGCGUUGUCUUAAUGCAGUAAAAGAGAGCAGGGGCGAGAACAUGGGAUUGUAUCGAUAUGAUCAGAUGGUUGGUUGCUUGCCUGAUGGUUCGUUGCACGGAUACGGUUCUUCGUUAGGGUAAUCACGGUACUCCUCGGGGACAGAUCCUGUCGCAAAGGACAUCGAUACACAAACAUCACCAAACAAUAUGCAACAAUAUGAUGCAUGCAUGAAACAUGGCAAUAUGAGUGUGUUGGGCUAAUGCAACUAAAACCAGAAGGGUUUGAACAAAUUUGAAUCAAGGAUUCAAAUUUCAAAUUCAAAUAUGGCCUUUUAAAGUGCCUUUUCUUGUUCUGAUUAAAACAUCAACUUAACUUGUUUGAUCAUGCAUGGAAAUGGUACAGAUGGAUAGAUUGGAUUUUUCUGAUCAUUUUUCAUAUAUAAUUUGUCCAAUUUGGAGUUACAGAAUAAAAGUUAUGAAUUUUUGAAGUUUAAUUAAUAUUCUGGAAUUUCCUGAUUUAAUUCAACGCUGUCAGGACCCCGACUCGAUGUCACAUCGAUCUAGCCGGUAACACUUCAUAUCACUUUGCGGCCUCACGCACGGUAUUCCCACGGGUGUCGCCUUACCUUUGCCCGGGACCGUUUGCGCCUUUUGGCUCACGUAUAUGAUAGUGUCGCUAGCAUCCAUAUGAUAAAGAGCCCAGGCUGACAUGACUAGUUGUAAACCCAAAGUGGCACAGACUUACAGGGACAGGCAUCCAUGACCCAGCUUCGAACGUGUCGGUCAUCAGCAAGUGGGUCCGGGCUGUAGCACUGGGCUAGCAGGACUCCGGUAAACCGGGCUGUAGCGGGCUAACAGGACUCCGGUACUCAAAGCGUGACAUUUCCCCGAAGGGACAGACACAGGAACGAAGAAGGACACAUGCCGGCCAGCCUAAGUGUUCCAGAGCAGUAGCAAGCUACCAUGGCUCAGCGGUAACACUAGGAGACAUUUCCUGGUAAGAGAGGCUACUAAAGAUAAACAACUAGAUAGUCAGAUCCCACACAUACCAAGCAUUUCAAUCAUACACACAAUAUGCUCGAUAUGUGCAAAUACAACGAAGCAUCACAACAUGACUCUACGACACAAGUACUUUAUUUAAGGCUCAGUGAGCCAUACAUAACAUACACACAAAGAUACGGGUCUCACGACCCAACAUACAAGUCAUACAAUCAUACAAGCCAACAGCGGAAGUAACUUGUCUGAGUACAGACAACUAGUAAAAUAAAAGAGGCUUGGAAAGCCUGGCUAUACUAUGCGGUCCUUCACAAGCUCAGGGUCACCACCUGGGUCUUUUAGCCUACUCGUUGAUGUCAACGUCUACAUAGAACCCAUCAGAAGGGGUUGCAGCGUCUUCUGUAAAAAUGUAGAUUAUAGCAACAUGAGUAGAAAGGUACUCAGCAAGACUUACAUCAGAUCCUACAUACAUGCAUAGUAUCAAGAAGGGUUGGUGGAGUUAUUGCAGCAAGCCAGCUUUGACUCUUGGCUAGACUAUCCUACGAUACUCCAGUUUGAAAUAGUUUUGCGCACACGAGUCCACUAUUCACCACUUCAAUACACUACCGAGGAUCCACCUCCGUCUUCCUACGGAAGAGCCAUCCUCGGCACUCACACUUAUCUUGAGGCUUUUAGUAGUUUCCAUUUACUUGUCUAUGAACUGUAUAGGCAACCAAGUAGUCCUUUACCGCGGACGCGGCUAUUCGAAUAGAUCAUGUUAACCCUGCAGGGGUGUACUUCUUCAUACAUGUUUCCACCACUUAGCGUCUGCACACGACAUGUGCUCGGCAGACUUCAAGCGAAAGCCGACGUGGGUGUAGACCACGACCUACCUAAACACUUAAGCCUCUAGUCCAGGUUUAUCGCCUAUUCAGGUUCCAUCCGCAGGGAGUCCGGCCGAGGUUUCCCAUACGGCCCCGAACGAUGUGAAUAGGGUUCCCGAGAUACCUAACGGGUAUUCAGUACACCCGGCCACGUACCUACCGCAUCACAGCCCACCCCUACGGUCAGCGCUGUCCACGGCCUCCAGUAGGCUACAAACACCAGAAACUACUUGCAACUCCUGGACAGAGAGCUAGGGUGAAUAAGAAGUCGAGCGGGGUCAUAUUUCAGGGCCCAAUGCAUGGUAGUAGCUGUAUCUUAAAUCACACAUACAGAUCUCAGUGCUUAAGGUCGGCUUCAAUGAAACAACCCACCAUGUACUCCUACAUGGCCUCUCAUCGAUACCUUUACCAAAUCGUGUUCACCACACCACUCUCAUUACCGACAUAAUCAUUUCACUCUAGCCCAUCACCCAGAUGAACCAGACCUGACACGACUCUAAGCAUAGCAGGCAUAGCAAGGUAGGAACAACACAUACAUAUGGCUCAAACAACUCCUACACAUGCUAGUGGGUUUCAUCUAGUUACUGUGGCAAUGACAGGUCAUGCAGAGGAAAUGGGUUCAACUACCGUAGCACACAACAAUUUGAAACGCGUUGUCUUAAUGCAGUAAAAGAGAGCAGGAGCGAGAACAUGGGAUUGUAUCGAUAUGAUCAAAUGGUUGGUUGCUUGCCUGAUGGUUCGAUGCACUGAUACGGUUCUUCGUUAGGGUAAUCACGGUACUCCUCGGAGGCAGAACCUGUCGCAAAGGACACCGAUACACAACCAUCACCAAACAAUGUGCAACAAUAUGAUGCAUGCAUGAAACAUGGCAAUAUGAGUGUGUUGGGCUAAUGCAACUAAAACCAGAAGGGUUUGAACAAAUUUGAAUCAAAGAUUCAAAUUUCAAACUCAAACAUGGCCUUUUAAAGUGCUUUUCCUUGUUCUGCUUAAAACAUCAAUUUAACUUGUUUGAUCAUGCAUGAAAAUAGUACAGAUGGACAGAUUGGAUUUUUCUGAUCAUUUUUCAUAUAUAAUUUGUCUAAUUUGGAGUUACAGAAUAAAAGUUAUGAAUUUUUGAAGUUUAAAUAAUAUUCUGGAAUUUCUGAUUUAAAUUAAAUCCAGAAAUAUAUAUAUUGCGCCAGCAUGACGUCAGUGGUCAACUGCGGCUGGCUGGGGUCAAACCUGACGUGUGGGGUCCACACGUCAGUGACAUGGGGGUUUAACAGGGUUAAUUAAAUCCUAAUUAAGAAUUAGUGGCGCUGGGGCCCACUGUCAGUGUCAGGGGGGUUAAUUAAGCGGUGAUUAGCACUAAUCUGACCACCUGGCCGACGGGGCCCACGCGUCAGUGACCCUGGGGGGUCAAACCCCAGGUCAAACAGGUCAAACCCACCGGCGACAUGACGCCGGCGGGGCCCGAGACGGCGGCGCGAUGCGGGAUCGCGCUACAGGGCACGGGCGAGGCCGUGCUUGGGCUCGUUGGAGAGCUCUUGCUCCCGCGCGUCGAACGGUGGUGGUGGCCGUGCCUGAGGUGGCCGGUACCGACGACGGCGACGACCGUGGCGGCUGCCGGAGCUCGGUUGAGCUCGGGGUCGAGGCUACAACGGCUGCGGGGAUGCGGGGUUGGCACCUACGGCUUCGACGCGGUGCGGUGAGGACGUGGGUGUGCUCCGUUGGGCGCUACGGUGACUGUGGCCACGACGGCGACGAGGCACGGCGGCGGCGAGCUUCGGAGCUCAAGGGGGCGGCAGCUACAGGAGGCUAGGGACGACGGGGCAAGGGGGAAUCGAGUCAGUGGCUCACCGCGGAGCUGCAGGGAUGGUUAGCGGGCUCGGGGACGUCCGGUAGCUCCCGAUUCGACGGCGACGAUCUCCGGUGGCCGAGGAGGGGAACGGCGACGUUGGCGGCGAUGCAGGGCUUCCCGAGGGGCUUGGCUUGGUGGGGAGGAAGAGGGGGUCGAGGCGGAGCUCCUGAGCUCAACGGAGGGGCGAGGGGUGGCCGGAGACGGCUGCUAUGGCGAACGGCGGCGACGGUGGUGUUCGGCCGUGAGAAAGGGAGCGAGGGAGAGGAGGGAGGAACCGAGGGAGAGUGAGAGAGAGCAGGGGGAGGGCGUGGCGUCGUCCGGGGCAUCGAGACGAGGAGGGGAGGGCAGGCAAGCAGGCGAGCAGGUGGCGUGGCGCGGUGGCGCGCGCGCGCGCCGGCCACACUCCCCUCCCUCUGUCGAGGACGAAGACGACAGAGGAGGGAGGCGGGCUGGGCCGCCUGCUGGCUGGGCCGGCCAGCUGGCUGGGCCGCACAGGGAGGAGCCCAGGUAAGCUUCUCCCUUUUUAAUUAUUUCUGUUUUCUAAUUUCUGACAUUUGUUUUGAUUUAAAUAAAAUAUUAAAUCAUUUAUUUACCUUAUGCCAAAUUUUGCAGGAGCUAGAUAUAUUAUUCCAGAGCUCCCCAACAGGUGGCAUAAUUUUUGGACAUAUAUUAAUAUAUAUAACUAAUAUAUUUCUAGAGCAAAUAGUUAUGCAUUAAUUCCAAAUGCCCAAAAUAAAUACCUAUGAGCUCUUAAAAAUAUUGGUUUGAUUUUUAUCUCUGUCCAAUAUUUUCAGAGAGCAACAUGAGCAUUUUCUUGGACACUUUUGGAGCAAUUUUUAUUUGGGUCAUUUUCAAAAAUGAUUCUGAGGGUUUCACAAAUCCCCAUUUCAAAUUAAAUGGAAUUUUAAACAUGAUGCACACACUCUGAUGCAUGACUAGCUAGGGUGUGACAACUCACCCCCACUCAAAAGAAUCUCGUCCCGAGAUUUGGGUUCCUCCGGGAAGAAGGCGAGAUACUCGAGUCGAAGACGAUCCUCCCUUUCCCAAGUUGCUUCAUCCUCAGAAUGGUGCGACCAUUGAACUUUGAGAAACUUGAUAUUAUGACGCCGGGUGGUACGUUCGGCCUGAUCGAGGAUACGAACGGGGUACUCUCGAUAUGUAAGAUUAUCCUGGAGAUCAAGCGUUUCGUGGUCCACUCCAAGAAGCAACGCCUGAGUUGAGAAACGUGGAAGACAUCAUGGACUCUGGAGAGGUGCGGAGGUAGUUCCAACUGGUAGGCAACUUCUCCUCGUUUGGCGAGAAUGCGAAAAGGUCCAAUGUAACGAGGAGCCAAUUUGCCUUUGGUACCAAAACGAUGGGUUCCUUUCAGAGGGGUGACCCGAAGAUAAGCCUUCUCGUCAACCUCGAAAGUCAUAGCCUUAUGGUUUCGGUCGUAUUGACUCUUUUGACGAGAUUGGGCUGUUUUCAAAUUUUCACGAACGAUACGAACUUGUUCUUCUGCUUCCUGAAUCAUAUCCGGGCCAAAGAAUUGUCUUUCCCCGGUCUCUGACCAGUUAAGGGGUGUUCAACACCGUUGUCCAUAGAGAACUUCAAAAGGGGCUUUACCCAAGCUAGAUUGAUAGCUGUUGUUGUAGGCGAAUUCGGCAAAUGGAAGGCACUUCUCCCAGUCCAUUCCGAAUGAGAUAACAGAGGCUCGAAGCAUGUCUUCUAGAAUCUGGUUGACGCGUUCCACUUGACCACUCGACUGAGGGUGGAAGGCGGUGCUAAAGGAAAGACGGGUUCCCAUAGCAUUUUGGAAACUUUCCCAAAAUCGAGAGGUGAAAAGACUUCCUCGAUCCGAGUUAAUUUCCAAAGGAACACCAUGGAGGGACACUAUUCGGGAGAUGUAUAAGUCUGCCAGCUGACUAGCGGUAAUACUCUCACGAACAGGUAAGAAAUGGGCUACUUUGGAAAGACGAUCGACAACGACGAAAAUAGCAUUAUUCCCUCUCUUGGUCCUGGGAAAACCAGUAAUGAAAUCCAUACCAAUUUUAUCCCAUUUCCAUUCAGGAAUAGCUAAGGGUUGAAGGGUGCCAGCAGGCCGUUGGUGCUCUGCUUUUACACGACGACAGACGUUGCAAUUAGCAAUAUACUGAGCAAUUUCUCUCUUCAUCCUAGUCCACCAGAACCUCUGGCGUAGGUCCUGAUACAUCUUAGUACUACCGGGAUGAAUGGUGAGAGGAGAUUCAUGAGCCUCCUUAAGGAUCAACUGCCGUAGAUGCUGGUUCUUGGGAACCACUAGACGGUUCUCAAAGUACACAACACCAUGAUCAUUUGUGGAGAAACAACUAGCACCUCCGCUAGCAAUGUUCUCUUUGAUUUUAGAUAUUCCCUUAUCUCGCUUUUGGGCAGCGAUGAUUUGAUCCGUAAGAGUAGGUUUUGCUACCAAGGUGGAAAGAAAACCUUGGGGUACAAUGUGAAGGUUAAGCUUCCGAAAUUCCUCAUGGAGAAGCGGUUGACUUUGUUGUAACAUCAGGUUGUUACAAUAAUAUUUACGACUUAGUGCAUCAGCCAUGACGUUGGCUUUCCCUAGGGUGUAGGUUAUUCCUAAGUCGAAGUUUGUGAUCAAUUCAACCCAACGCCUUUGCCUGAGAUUCAGAUCCGGUUGGGUGAAAAUGUACUUCAGACUUUGGUGAUCAGUGAAUAUUUCGCAACGGUUACCGAGGAGGUAAUGUCGCCAGGUUUUAAGUGCAUAGACUACGGCUGCAAGCUCUAGAUCAUGAGUAGGAUAAUUCUCCUCAUGUGGGUGCAAUUGCCGUGAAGCGUAGGCAAUUACGUGUCGAUCUUGCAUGAGAAUGCAACCUAGUCCUUGUCGCGAGGCGUCGCAGUAGAUAACAAAGUCCUUGGAGAAGUCUAGCGGUACCAGUACGGGAGCAGAGGUCAGGCGUCUUUUCAGUUCCUGAAAGCUGUGCUCACAUUGUGGAGUCCAUUCGAACUUCUUAUCUUUCUUGAGGAGUUCGGUUAGAGGUUUGGCAACUUUGGAGAAGUUCUCGACAAAGCGACGACAAUAGCUCACUAAGCCCAGAAAACUCCGAACUUGCUUGACCGAUUCAGGUGGAGUCCAAUUAAGGACGACUUGAACUCGCUCAGGGUUAACAGCAAUACCUUUACCAGAUAUUACAUGACCCAGAUAGGUCACUUCUGACAACCAGAAUUCACAUUUAGAAAAUUUGGCAUAAAGGCGAUGCUCUCGAAGUUUCUUCAACACUAGCCUUAGAUGUUCGGCAUGUUCUUCCUCGUUCUUGGAGUAGAUGAGUAUAUCAUCGAGGUAAACAACGACGAAUUUAUCCAAAUACUCCAUGAAGAUUGAGUUCAUUAACCGAGAAAAGGUGGCUGGAGCGUUGGUUAAUCCGACGGACAUGACGGUGUACUCGUAUUGGCCAUAACGAGUGACGAAGGCCGUUUUAGGAAUGUCCCCGUUUCUGAUUUUGAUUUGAUGGUAGCCCAACCUCAAAUCCAUCUUGGAGAAGACUGAGGAUCCAGCGAGCUGAUCAUACAGGUCGUUGAUCCUGGGAAGUGGAUAUUUGUUUUUGAUUGUGACCAAAUUGACAGGUCGGUAAUCUACAACCAUCCGGUCCGUACCAUCCUUCUUCUUGACGAAUAGGACGGGGCAAGCCCACGGAGAUGAGCUAGGUCGGAUGAAACCCUUUUUCAAGGACUCAUCGAGUUGUUUCUUAAGCUCGGCUAGUUCUAGUGGUGCCAUCUUAUAAGGUCUUCUAGCAAUCGGAACGGUUCCUGGAAUGAGGUCUAUUACGAACUCAACAUCCCUGUCAGGUGGAACACCUGGCAAUUCCUCUGGAAAGACAUCCGGGAAGUCAUGGACUACCGGAACAUCCUCAAGGUCUGGCAAAGGGCUGGCGUUAAGAGAAUAUAAUUGUCGCUUGGCUAUUCGGGUCAAGACAUUGACUAUCUUCCCCGAAGGAUGGGUUAGUUGAACAGUCCUAGAGAAGCAAUCAAUUUUGGCUUGAUGAGAUGACAUCCAGUCCAUACCCAAAAUGAUAUUAAUAUCUGAAAAUUUAAGGGCUAUCAAAGAUGCAAGGAAAACAAGUCUGUCGACUUGGAUUUCAUUUCCAUGGCUUACUCUAGAAGUUUGCCAUUUGGAUCCCGGAGUUUGAAUUACCAUAGAGGUUGGCAUAUCACCGAAUGCGACGUUAUGCAAACGAGCAUAGUUUUCAGAUAUAAAAGAAUGAGAGGCUCCUGUAUCGAAAAGAACAGAUGCCGGGUGGCAAUUAACAAGAAGCGUACUGAGAACGACGUUGGGAUCCUCUUGAGCUUCUUCGGCAGAGAUACAGUUGACAUGGCCACGUGGAGCGGUGGCCGGCUUGGCGUGGAACACUUUCCCUGUCGGCUUGCCACGGCCAACAGCUUUAGCAGAUUGAUUGGGGUUGGUCUGGGGACACUCACGCAUAUAGUGACCAGAUUCCCCACACUUGAAACAAGUCACGGAACUGGUACGUGGAGGAGCAUUGUUGGUUGGACCCCCAUAGGGCUUAGCCGGUGCAGACUGUUGAACAGGGCGAGGCGCCUGGAAAGAUGGCCUCGGUGUGAACCUGGGUGGCAGGGCGGUGUUGGGCACCCACACGCGGCGCUUCUGAGGACCAGCACCGGAUGAGGAACCCAUGUCACGGCCAUGCUUGCAUGUUGCAUCAUAGUCAGUCUGACCAGUUUCAGCACUGAUGGCUUUGUUAACAAGUUUCUGAAAAGAUGUGCACUCAUGCAGACGGAGGUCGCGGCGAAGCUCAGGACUAAGGCCCUUACGGAACCUUGCUUGCUUCUUGGCAUCAGUAGACACUUCCUCAGUUGCAUAUUGUGCGAGGUUACCAAACUCCCUGCUGUAAGCAUCCACAGAAAGUUGGCCUUGGGUGAAACUGCAAAAUUCCUCACGUUUACGGUCCAUGAGACCCUCCGGAAUGUGAUGUUCACGAAAAGCCUCACUGAAUUCAGCCCAAGUAGUGACAUGGCCCGCUGGGCGCAUAGCUCCAUAAUUCUCCCACCAUAGACUGGCGGGGCCUUCAAGAUGAUAUGCAGCAAAGGUGACCUUGUCAGCCUCCGCUACCAGCGCGGAACGCGGUUUGUGAGAGAUACUGCGAAGCCAGUCAUCAGCGUCGAGAGGCUCGACGGAGUGGUGGAACGUGGGUGGAUGCAAUUUGAUAAAAUCACUGAGUGACACCACGUUAGUCCUCUGAUGGUGUGCCGUGUUCUGUUCAAUACGCUCCAACAAACGGUUGGUCUCCCGCUUGUUUCUUUCAGCUUCCAUCAUAACCUCGGCUAGGGAAUGAGGAUGAGGCAGAUUUGCAUCCCUGACUUCACUGCCUUCGGCCUGCUCUUGAGGAGCAGGGUUAGUGCGCGUGUUGACCAUCCUAGGUAGACAAGACAAUGAUUUAGUCAGGAUGAUAAAAUUCCGACAUAGGAUAUAAAAUGUAAGGAAUAACUCGAAAUGCAAGAUGAUCAUCCGUAUGACAUGGUAGAUACAGAAACUGCUUCUUUUAUUCCAUCGUCAUACACACCAUACAGGGUUUAGUACAAGACCAAACAAAGUACUAUUACGGUGAGAAAAGGAUUACAUCUCAUCGGAGGCAUCCCAAGCUCCUAUACAUUAUUUUUCUACACCUCCGGAAAGAGUACAAACUAGGUCAUAUCCCACGAGUCACGCGGGAUGAUAGACGACACAGCUAGUGCGAACUAGUGAUACUACCACUAACUCGGACCGAUCCGUAGUAGUCCUCGUAGAAGUCACCUCCAUAGCCUGGAAGCUCAACAUGAUCAUCCGGAAACAGACGAUCUCACGGAGCUUGUGGACCAUAGGGGCUAGGAUGAGGUCUUGGACCAACAGACGGUGGCCUGCGGGGACCGCGAGGUGGGGUGAUGCCUCCUACAUCACGCCAACCCAUCACGUCUGGCAGAGCAGAUCUCACAGGAUAGAGAUCGCGCAUAUCUGAAUAUCCAGCUUGCACCGCCGGUGCGAACCGAGUCAAAGUGGCCCAGUGGUCAGCACGGGUAUUGAAGAGCUCUAAUCUUAAGGCCCGAUUUUCACGGUCCUUAUCCUCGAGCAUCUCAGCAGUGGUGCGAGUCCGUGAAUCCUCCUGAGUGGGGUCAGCAUAGAUAGCCUGGAGAUACCCUUGUGCUCCCGGAAGUGAUCCUGGCAUAUACCGGAAAUCAGAGUCCCGAAAUAGACCAGAUCUGACUCGCAUAAUGGUCAUCAUAGAGUAGGCGGCGUCCUGCACAGCCAUCUCAAUAGUAACCCCGAGGCCAUAGGAGCAGUGAAGGGGCUCGGUGGAUCCAGGAUAAGAUGGAAAUAUCCGGACAGUGCAGAGAUACUGGCUUUGAUUAAAGUCUCGGAAUUGCUCUUCGACCGUGUACUCAGGAUACCAUCGGUAUCCAGCCUCAGUCAUUACCCUGACCAACUUGGCAGUAUGGCCGGGUACAUCUAGGCAUCGAGUCAGGCGAACCACUUGAUUGAGGUCGCGAGUGGCCAUCUGAAAGCACAAUCAUAAUGCAAAGGCAUUAGAAUUUCUAGCAAAAUUUCGGCAGCAUAACAGCUGUAAAUGCUCAAGAAGGAUUUGAGACAUUUGACAAAGGAUUUCAUACACACUCAACAUCAUCAUAUCAAAGUUCUGAAUCCAUUCUAACAACAUAAUGUGGUAGUAGGACUGAACUAGGCUUGUAUCCAUCAAACUUAUAAGGUACUACUGAUUAGUAACACGUGAUCCUGAUAGAGAGAAUAGAUCCUAAUUCCUUAACCCCCGGUGGAAGAAUGGACUGACUCAGAUCAGAAUGUCAUAAGAUAAAGGAGUAAAAGAGCCUUACGUUCCAACCCACAAACAAUUCCCCUACAUAUAACUAAAGAAUUUCUAGACUCAACAUCGACCAGUUUGGCUUGGAGAACCUACAGGCAGUCCGGCUCUGAUGCCAACGCUGUCAGGACCCCGACUCGAUGUCACAUUGAUCUAGCCGGUAACACCUCAUAUCACUUUGCGGCCUCACGCACGGUAUUCCCACGGGUGUCUCCUUACCUUUGCCCGGGACCGUUUGCGCCUUUUGGCUCACGUAUAUGAUAGUGUCGCUAGCAUCCAUAUGAUAAGGAGCCCGGGCUGACAUGACUAGUCGUAAACCCAAAGUGGCACAGACUUACAGGGACAGGCAUCCAUGACCCAGCUUCGAACGUGUCGGUCAUCAGCAAGUGGGUCCGGGCUGUAGCACUGGGCUAGCAGGACUCCGGUAAACCGGGCUGUAGCGGGCUAACAGGACUCCGGUACUCAAAGCGUGACAUUUCCCCGAAGGGACAGACACCGGAACGAAGAAGGACACAUGCCGGCCAGCCUAAGUGUUCCAGAGCAGUAGCAAGCUACCAUGGCUCAGCGGUAACACUAGGAGACAUUUCCCGGUAAGAGAGGCUACUAAAGAUAAACAACUAGAUAGUCAGAUCCCACACAUAUCAAGCAUUUCAAUCAUACACACAAUAUGCUCGAUAUGUGCAAAUACAACGAAGCAUCACAACAUGACUCUACGACACAAGUACUUUAUUUAAGGCUCAGGGAGCCAUACAUAACAUACACAAGGGUACGGGUCUCACGACCCAACAUUCAAGUCAUACAGUCAUACAAACCAGCAGCGGAAGUAACUUGUCUGAGUACAGACAACUAGUAAAAUAAAAGAGGCUUGGGAAGCCUAGCUAUACUACGUGGUCCUUCACAAGCUCAGGGUCACCACCUGGGUCUUUAGCCUACUCGUUGAUGUCAAUGUCUACAUAGAACCCAUCAGAAGGGGUUGCAGCGUCUUCUGAAAAAUGUAAAUUAUAGCAACAUGAGUACAAAGGUACUCAGCAAGACUUACAUCAGAUCCUACAUACAUGCAUAUUAUCAAGAAGAGUUGGUGGAGUUAUUGCAGCAAGCCAGCUUUGACUCUUGGCUAGACUAUCCUACGAUACUCCAACUUGAAAUGGUUUAGCGCACACGAGUCCACUACUCACCAAUUCAAUACACUACCGAGGAUCCACCUCCGUCUUCCUACAGAGGAGCCAUCCUCGGCACUCACACUUAUCUUGAGGCUUUUAGUAGUUUCCAUUUACUUGUCUAUGAACUGUAUAGGCAACCAAGUAGUCCUUUACCGCGGACGCGACUAUUCGAAUAGAUCAUGAUAACCCUGCAGGGGUGUACUUCUUCAUACAUGUUUCCACCACUUAGCGUCUGCACACGACAUGUGCUCGGCAGACUUCAAGCGAAAGCCGACGUGGGUGUAGACCACGACCUACCUAAACACUUAAGCCUCUAGUCCAGGUUUAUCGCCUAUUCAGGUUCCAUCCGCAGGGAGUCCGGCCGAGGUUUCCCAUACGGCCCCGAACGAUGUGAACAGGGUUCCCGAGAUACCUAACGGGUAUUCGGUACACCGUGCCACGUACCUACCGCAUCACAGCCCACCCCUACGGUCAGCGCUGUCCACGGCCUCCAGUAGGCUACAAACACCAGAAACUACUUGCAACUCCUGGACAGAGAGCUAGGGUGAAUAAGAAGUCGAGCGGGGUCAUAUUUCAGGGCCCAAUGCAUGGUAGUAGCUGUAUCUUAAAUCACACAUACAGAUCUCAGUGCUUAAGGUCGGCUUCAGUGAAACAACCCACCAUGUACUCCUACAUGGCCUCUCAUCGAUACCUUUACCAAAUCGUGUUCACCACACCACUCUCAUUACCGACAUAAUCAUUUCACUCUAGCCCAUCACCCAGAUGAACCAGACCUGACACGACUCUAAGCAUAGCAGGCAUAGCAAGGUAGGAACAACACAUACAUAUGGCUCAAACAACUCCUACACAUGCUAGUGGGUUUCAUCUAGUUACUGUGGCAAUGACAGGUCAUGCAGAGGAAAUGGGUUCAACUACCGUAGCACACAACAGUUUGAAACGCGUUGUCUUAAUGCAGUAAAAGAGAGCAGGAGCGAGAACAUGGGAUUGUAUCGAUAUGAUCAAAUGGUUGGUUGCUUGCCUGAUGGUUCGAUGCACUGAUACGGUUCUUCGUUAGGGUAAUCACGGUACUCCUCGGAGGCAGAACCUGUCGCAAAGGACACCGAUACACAACCAUCACCAAACAAUGUGCAACAAUAUGAUGCAUGCAUGAAACAUGGCAAUAUGAGUGUGUUGGGCUAAUGCAACUAAAACCAGAAGGGUUUGAACAAAUUUGAAUCAAAGAUUCAAAUUUCAAACUCAAACAUGGCCUUUUAAAGUGCUUUUCCUUGUUCUGCUUAAAACAUCAAUUUAACUUGUUUGAUCAUGCAUGAAAAUAGUACAGAUGGACAGAUUGGAUUUUUCUGAUCAUUUUUCAUAUAUAAUUUGUCUAAUUUGGAGUUACAGAAUAAAAGUUAUGAAUUUUUGAAGUUUAAAUAAUAUUCUGGAAUUUCUGAUUUAAAUUAAAUCCAGAAAUAUAUAUAUUGCGCCAGCAUGACGUCAGUGGUCAACUGCGGCUGGCUGGGGUCAAACCUGACGUGUGGGGUCCACACGUUAGUGACAGGGGGGUUUAACAGGGUUAAUUAAAUCCUAAUUAAGAAUUAGUGGCGCUGGGGCCCACUGUCAGUGUCAGGGGGGUUAAUUAAGCGGUGAUUAGCACUAAUCUGACCACCUGGCCGACGGGGCCCACGCGUCAGUGACCCUGGGGGGUCAAACCCCAGGUCAAACAGGUCAAACCCACCGGCGACAUGACGCCGGCGGGGCCCGAGACGGCGGCGCGAUGCGGGAUCGCGCUACAGGGCACGGGCAAGGCCGUGCUUGGGCUCGUUGGAGAGCUCUUGCUCCCGCGCGUCGAACGGUGGUGGUGGCCGUGCCUGAGGUGGCCGGUACCGACGACGGCGACGACCGUGGCGGCUGCCGGAGCUCGGUUGAGCUCGGGGUCGAGGCUACAACGGCUGCGGGGAUGCGGGGUUGGCACCUACGGCUUCGACGCGGUGCGGUGAGGACGUGGGUGUGCUCCGUUGGGCGCUACGGUGACUGUGGCCACGACGGCGACGAGGCACGGCGGCGGCGAGCUUCGGAGCUCAAGGGGGCGGCAGCUACAGGAGGCUAGGGACGACGGGGCAAGGGGGAAUCGAGUCAGUGGCUCACCGCGGAGCUGCAGGGAUGGUUAGCGGGCUCGGGGACGUCCGGUAGCUCCCGAUUCGACGGCGACGAUCUCCGGUGGCCGAGGAGGGGAACGGCGACGUUGGCGGCGAUGCAGGGCUUCCCGAGGGGCUUGGCUUGGUGGGGAGGAAGAGGGGGUCGAGGCGGAGCUCCUGAGCUCAACGGAGGGGCGAGGGGUGGCCGGAGACGGCUGCUAUGGCGAACGGCGGCGACGGUGGUGUUCGGCCGUGAGAGAGGGAGCGAGGGAGAGGAGGGAGGAACCGAGGGAGAGUGAGAGAGAGCAGGGGGGAGGGCGUGGCGUCGUCCGGGGCAUCGAGACGAGGAGGGGAGGGCAGGCAAGCAGGCGAGCAGGUGGCGUGGCGCGGUGGCGCGCGCGCGCGCCGGCCACACUCCCCUCCCUCUGUCGAGGACGAAGACGACAGAGGAGGGAGGCGGGCUGGGCCGCCUGCUGGCUGGGCCGGCCAGCUGGCUGGGCCGCACAGGGAGGAGCCCAGGUAAGCUUCUCCCUUUUUAAUUAUUUCUGUUUUCUAAUUUCUGACAUUUGUUUUGAUUUAAAUAAAAUAUUAAAUCAUUUAUUUACCUUAUGCCAAAUUUUGCAGGAGCUAGAUAUAUUAUUCCAGAUCUCCCCAACAGGUGGCAUAAUUUUUGGACAUAUAUUAAUAUAUAUAACUAAUAUAUUUCCAGAGCAAAUAGUUAUGCAUUAAUUCCAAAUGCCCAAAAUAAAUACCUAUGAGCUCUUAAAAAUAUUGGUUUGAUUUUUAUCUCUGUCCAAUAUUUUCAGAGAGCAACAUGAGCAUUUUCUUGGACCCUUUUGGAGCAAUUUUUAUUUGGGUCAUUUUCAAAAAUGAUUCUGAGGGUUUCACAAAUCCCCAUUUCAAAUUAAAUGGAAUUUUAAACAUGAUGCACACACUCUGAUGCAUGACUAGCUAGGGUGUGACAAUAAAUAAAGAAAAAUCGUCGCCAAAGAUGAAGGCCAGGGUGUCGGCGUUUUGGGAAUGGGGGUACCCAAACUUUCCUGCCUGCGGCCUGCGGCCUGCGGCGUGGCUCAAGGAGUGGCCCAGUACGGCCCAUCUUCAUCAACACAUUCUCAAGACCCUCGCGAGGGGCCAAGCCUCGCGAGGAAGGGCGACAGGAGGCUACCUCAGGCACGGCCUCGUCAGGCUAGCUCGUGAGGAGGCGGAGAGAUCAAGGCGGGGUACUUCACGAGGUGCCCGUGACGCAAGCCAUGACGACCAGGGCCAGGCGGGCGCCAGGCGGGCGCCGGCCUGCGCAGAGUCCUUGUUUCCCCUUUGGUGCAAAGGGGGCAAGCGCAGGCAAUGGUAUCAAACAAAGGCAACCAUUUUUGUGCAACAAGACCAAGACCAAGACCAGCAGGGCGGCAGAACGGAGGUCAUCGUGGAGCCCAAGCCAGCGUCAUCGUCAGGGCCUUUAGCAGGCGAGGACCAACUUUAGUCAGGAUAAGUGUACUAGAUGUUCCCCUUCAAAAUGGCCAAUUGUUGGCGCCCUUCCCGCUCAAUAUUUGGGAAGAGGCCCAGGGCCUUCGCCUAUAAAUAGGACUAGCCACCCCCAGGGUAGAGGCAUCGGCAUCUGAUCUGGAGACCAACCAGAGAGAAGAACCUUGGACAACACCACCACCAUAAGAACAGACCCUCGCGAGGCUGUUCUUCCCUUGUAUUGUUCAUCAUCAGCCCCAGAGGCAAUCCACCACACCACACACUGGAGUAGGGUAUUACACCACAAUGGUGGCCUGAACCAGUAUAAAUCUUGUGUCCUUUGUGUUGUUCUUCAUGUAGUUUAGAUCCUAGUGAGGCGGUGAGACAUGAGUAGGCUGGGGGUGUGAUCUCCGCGUGCACCCCAGUGUUCGAACCUCAAGGGUCUGCCGGAACCCGAAAUCCGACAUUUGGCGCGCCAGGUAGGGGUGCACCGGAAUCCGCCCUCCGUCGCCUCGUGUUUCUCCGUCCAUCGGACCAUCAUCAACAUGUCUGGCGACCCGACAGGCAACCCCGAUCCCUGGGCGGCAUGGCCCGCCCGCUCAGAGCCGCCUGCCCAGGGCGACCUCAACCCAGUGCCCCAGGUAGCCCGCGGUCUGCAGGGCGUUGCGGGCCGCGGGCGACACGGUCAAGUGGCACUAGCUCUCACGCCACGGCAGGUGCGGUCGGCAGCCAGGGCCUCGAGCCACACCGCGGCCGCGGCGCUGUACUCGCGGCAAGAGCAGGCAAACUCAAGGGCUGCUGCAAUGCAGGCUGCAAGAGGGCGGCCGCGACGUGCUACUAGAGCGGGUGGCAGAGCUUCUGGGCUCCGUUGCCUCGGGGGCUCACCCCUUCUGCACCCAGUUGCCCCCUCAAGCCCAAGGCGGAUCGCAUGGAGGCCCCACGCGCGCCCGCAUAGCCCCGAGCGGGUUCCAGGGCCACUCCAACACCACCCUGGCCGUCAGCGCCUGGUCACCAAUGGUGCUGCCUUCGCCCCCGGCCAGCGAAGAAGGACUCGUCACAGCCCACGGUCCCAGCGGGCCGUCGCGCCACCACCCCCAGGUGGGCGCCUCAAGUAGGGCUACAUGGCACACGGGGCACUACAGCGAAGCGUUCGGGGUGGCGGCCCCAGAGGAGUACGUGCCCCACAUGAUGGAUCAAGGGCACGCGUAGGAGGAAGAUCACAGGUUGUUCCUCGGCCCAAGCUGGGGGGAAGAGACACCCGAAGCUGAGCUCUUUCAGGAGCCCCGGGAAAGCCCCGUCGACUGCGCUGGAGGCAGCGAUUAUCGGGUACCGCUAAUUCCUCAGGAGCAAGCAUACGCUAACCGUGGGUCGCAGGAGGUACAAGUCGUCGCGGCGGAUGGCUGCCCCAAUCUAGCAGCUUCCUACCCCUCAGGAGGAGGGCGCCGGGGGCUGCAGGAGAGGGUCCGGGAUCCGGCAUCACCACCGCAGCGUUCGGAGCAAGGUGUCCUCAAGAGGUAGGCCCUAUGCCGGGGAGGUGCCUCAGGGCCUACCCCCGGCAGAGGACCCGUGGUCGUCGGGGGAACAGCUGGCGACCGCUCUACCCCAUCGGCGGCGUCCUUGGUCUUCAGCCAUCAUCGAUGGCACUAGAGUGUGGCGCAAGGCGGGGCCCUCGUCUGGCAAUAUGAAGCAAGGCUGGUACCUGUGAAGAAGGCCCAGUGCCUGUGAAGCUCGCCGCCGCGUGACACUCUCACGUAAUAAUGAGUGGGGCUGUACACGCCCCGGAGUCUCCAGAGAGCCGCCCUCGGGCCUCGGGGGCUCCCGCCCACGCCCAGUGGCAGCACUUAGCUCCGCGCUGGUGAGAAGACGUUGAAGACUAGACUAGGUGCCGGACACGGCUUUUUCUGCUUUCCUUGCUUUUCCCCUUGGUUGUUACUUUUCCCUGUUCGGAUUUAAGUUGGAUUUGAGCUUGAGACUUGCGUGUGUUCGGGGAAGGGGUGUUUAGUCUCGUUCGAGCAAUCUCUCGCAUUCUGGUCAUCGCUUUGCGUCCUUUCGGCCUCAGCCGCCUCCCCUCGUGAGCCCCUCCCGAGCCGGGUUAGGCCCAGCAUGCGCGCAGCCCAGGCUGCCGUCGCCGCGCCCUCUCNNNNNNNNNNNNNNNNNNNNNNNNNNNNNNNNNNNNNNNNNNNNNNNNNNNNNNNNNNNNNNNNNNNNNNNNNNNNNNNNNNNNNNNNNNNNNNNNNNNNNNNNNNNNNNNNNNNNNNNNNNNNNNNNNNNNNNNNNNNNNNNNNNNNNNNNNNNNNNNNNNNNNNNNNNNNNNNNNNNNNNNNNNNNNNNNNNNNNNNNNNNNNNNNNNNNNNNNNNNNNNNNNNNNNNNNNNNNNNNNNNNNNUAAUAGGCGAGUCGACUCGCCACGAGACCGGUCGACUGGCGCAGGCACACGGGUGAUAUCAUGUCUACAAAUACGCUAACUGCAAGUUUUUACAUGAGGGGCUCCCCCUCCCAAAAUGCUCUUACAAUCCUCUGGGCCAAGCCCGAACUCUCUCUACGCAGGAUAAAAGCAGGAACAGCACGCGAUCAAUCAGAUAAAUCCCCCAAUGCAUCCUCAGGGACACCUCCGGAGUCGCCACUGGCAUCACUGGCCUCGCCAUCACCUUCUGCGCCGCCGCCGACAGCACCUAGGCCGUUCACCACUCCGCCCUCAUCAGUGGUCACGACCACGCCAUCGUCAUCAGAGAUGAAAGCCCUGACAAGGGUGUCCAUGUUGUCUUCCACCCAACAUGCCAAAUCGCCCCGGAUCGCCAGGGGUACCGGUGCGAUGGCGGCGUCAAAGUCGAAAUGGUGAUCCAUGUUCUGGAGAUGACUGAAGACGCGAGAAAAAGCACGCCCCAGUAGGGCACGGCUCCUCUCCUCCACCAACCUAUCGGCUCUGCCCGCCCGAGCCUCCAGCUGCGUCACCACGUCGGUGAAGAACUGAAGGUUACCAGCAUAGUUGACCACACGAGGUUCCCCAACGGCUGCCUCACAGAUGAUACCCAAGGCCGUGUUGGCUCUUUCCCGGAGCUCACGGAGCAUGGGGCUGUGCACGUGCUCCAAGGUCUGCCAUUGGCGUAUCUCGUCUUUGUUCCGCCGUGCAAUGGCCUCGGCCGCGUCCACCCUUUGGUGGAGAAGAAGCACCUCGGCGCGGGAGGAAGCCAGUUCCACUUGUGCCGCGCCAAGAGCGGCUCGGGCAACGUCCCCGCGCCGCGUCACUUCAUCCAGCUUGGCCUUCAGGGCAGCGGUCCUCCCCUCUGCUUCAACCUUAAUCAACUCCAGCCUCUCCUCGAACUCACGCUCAAGGUUCAAGCGGGCCUCCACCACCCGGCGAUCAACCUCUUCUGCGGCUCGGGCUUCCCUCUCAGCAACGUCCUCCUUCGCCCGCAUCACCAUGCGCUCCUUUGUCUCCAACCGCUCGAGGUCCAGGGUGCGUUUGGUGGCCUCCAUCAUCAACGCCUCCUCGCGUCUCUGGAGCUCCGCCCGGUCAGCCGAAGCCCCCUCCAUAGAUGCAAGGGCCGCCUCAUGCAACUCCACCCGCUCCUCCAGGGAGCUACUCUAGGCCCGGAGCUCCCAUGCCCGCUCUUCUGCGACCUUGCGCCGACGGUCAGCCUCCUGAGCCUCCAAGACGGCCCGGGAGCAGGCCUCCCGAGAGGCUGCCAGCAACACCUCAGCCUUCUCAUUGUCGAGGUCACGCUGGUGGCAUGCAAGAGCGACGGCCACCUAUAGCUUCCGCCUCUCCUCAGCUAGGCGCACGCCCUUGGCCUCAAGACGUGUGUCCUCAUCGGCGAGAUCUUCACCAAGCUGGCUCACCGCGUCCGCCACCCUCCGGAGGAACCCUUGGCAGAGGGCGCGGCGCUCCCGAGUGCGCUCGAGCAUGUCUUCCGCAUCGCCUUCCACCUCGGGCGCGCGGGGAGGGCCACGGAACAACAUGCACCCUCCGGGCAGGGGGCUAGGGGCUGGCGCCCUCGCGAUGACCGGACGCGCCUCGCCAGAAGCCUGGUCCAGAACCAGUUCGCCCUCCAAGGAAGACCGUAGGGCCGGUGUCGGUGUCAAAACCGGCGAAUCUCGGGUAGGGGGUCCCAAGCAGUGCGUCUUAGGAUCAAUGGUAACAGGAGGCAAGGGACACAAUGUUUACCCAGGUUCGGGCCCUCUCGAUGGAGGUAAAACCCUACUCCUACUUGAUUAAUAUUGAUGAUAUGGGUAGUACAAGAGUUGAUCUACCACAAGAUCGGAGAGGCUAAACCCUAGAGGCUAGCCUAUGGUAUGAUUGUUGUUGUAUCUCUAUCGACUAGCCUGGCCCUGAUUUAUAUAAUGCACCAGAGGCCUAGGAUAACAAGAGUCCUAGCCGAAUACGCCGGUGGGGGAGGAGUCCUUGUCUUGAUUGCCAAGUUUUGUUGAUUCUUCCUUGUAUGCGGCAGCUGUCCGGACUGGCCCAUGAGUAUACGGCCAUGGGGGUCCUCGGCCCAAUCCAGCAGAUCGGGAGACGACGCAUUGAGUACCCCCUAGUCCAGGACACCGUCAGUAGCCCCCUGAACCAGUCUUCAAGUUAGGGACGCUCCUCGAUUCUUCUGAACUGUUCUUCAUCUACGGUUGCCGGUCUUGAAAAUUGGUUCAACAAAUCUUCUCAUCUUCUAUCUUGAGCAUCGCUGAAAUGCAUUCGACGAGUUUACACGUCAGGUAUCCGAGGAGCCCCUUUAAGUUUCCGGCCUUUAUCAAUGCCUUGUUAUUUUUAUGCCACACUUCGGGUUUGAAGUUAUUCCCGGGAGGCAGUGUCCUCUUGCGUCCGAGCUCUAACGCCGGACUGCAUUCAAGGUAUCUUUUGCAGCCGAGCACCAAUGUCAGACUGCUUUCGAACUCCAACGCCAAAAUGUAUCUGAGCUCCAAUGUCGGACUGUGUCCAAGCUCCAACGCCGGACUAUGUCCAAGCUCCAAUGCCGGACUAUAUCCAAGAUGUCAUAGAUCAUCUUGGUCCAAAAAAGUUGAAGGAGUUUUAGCCGAGCUUAAUGCCGGAAAUGCCCUCUAAGGAGCCAGCCACUUGCAUCCGAGCUAUAUGCCGAACUGCUUCCGAGGUCGUUCAGCACCUCGGUCAUGGGCUAAUUUUUGGUUAAUAUUUUUUAUUGAUGCAAUUUAUUCUCUGACGAGAUAUAUAGCCAGUAGCCCUCAAGGUGUGUAUCAGUCUAAAACCCGAGAUGCACCUAAAGGAUGACAUAAGACCGCGGAUCCCAGUAACCGCUGAGACUCAGGUUGAUUUGCAAAAUCGGCCUGAGGAUCAAGUCCUAGCUCGGCAGAAUUCUUCGGGACACAAAAAGCGGCGUGCUCAGUCCUCGAGACUCAGGUUGGGUGCGGCCGACCAACCUGAGGAUCAAAAUCUCCUCGGAAACUGUAUUGCACUUAAAAUUUUCUGCAUAGAACAGGCAAUGCAGUAGCCCCCGAGACACUGGUCGGGUGGCAACACCAGAUCUUGGGAUCAAUGUGCCCCUUUAAUAUUUGUAAAUAAUAAGCCCGAAGCCCAGUAGCCCCUGAGCCUUAAUGCGGGCACGGGAGGCCGAAUUAAGGAUCGAUAUCCAUAGUAAAAUCACAAAUUAUGUGUAAUGACUCUAUGUAUCCAAGUACUUUACGUCAUUAAUGCUCGGAUCCGCAUUGUACAAAACUUUGUUGACCGACCAUCGGCUUCCACCUCCUCGGCCAAUAGCCGAGGAGUGUUUGUCCUACUUUAUAAAGCCUUUUAUGAGGGCAAAGAUUUACAACAAACAAGGCAAUCUGGCCAUACGGUUUUAUAAACAAAGGUACGCGGAGAGACAUGUUAUAUUAUUGUUUAACAGAAGAAAUGUCUUCCAAAGAAAAUAGUCCCGCUAUCGGUUCCUUUCUUUGGGUUGUCAUGCUAAGCAUGAUCAUGAAACCUCAGCUCCAAUGUAAGAGAAAAAUAUCGAGGAUUUAGUUUGGGAGGCCAGUUAAUAGCCCCCGGUAGUGUUCGGCCACAGCCGAGGUCAAGCCGUAAACACUUCGGCCAUUGUUAUGAAUGGCCCGUCGUUUAACGCCGUCAUCGGAUCGCUGACCAGUUUACGCUUAUUGCGACAGUCAGUUUUCGGCUUUCUCCACUGAGGUGCUUAACCAUGUGAGUUGGAAGCACAAUCGUAGUGGUUCUCCCUUUGCACACCUAGCCGAACAAAGCGGAACAUAGGAGGCAAGCGUAGGAGCCGGGCAACCCAAUUAUUGAUCGAAGACACAAUUCAAAACCGAUGCAUAUAUAGCAAUAUCCGAUAAUGUUUUUGCCGAAUCUCUAAAGGUGUCCGGCUUGCACUGCGAGACUUGUGCUGAAAACACACAAAUAGUUUAAAAGUGCCAUGGGCUCAAAAAGCCAAAAAACUUAUUCAAAAGGUUAAUGUCCGAACUAGAUCAAGUGUUCGGUGCCAAUCCAAAAAUUGGACUUUAGAAAAAAAAGGGUGCUUCUGCCGUGCUUUAACAUGACACAUCCUAUCUCAAAACUUCAAGCGGGUCAGCCUACGGCUUCAACCUUCUAUCCCGAAGGCGGAGUACUUCUUACUAGGCCAGUUUAGCAAACUAAACUCUAGCGGCUUUGAGAGAGAAAUUAGGCUCCCUGACUAGUGACCGCACACUUGUGUCGAAAAAAGGAGUGAUAAAUAAUAAUAAAAACUUUGCAAUUACUAAGAAGAAAAACACUUAUCAUAAAACGGCUCACAUAAAUUUAAGAGCCCCCAAGUGACUUGGGUAAAAGAAUGAUUGCAUGUACCGAAGUACUUAUAUCAUAUCUAUGUUCAACCAAACUUUAAACGCGUCUUAACCGACCGUCGGCUUCUCCCUCUUCGGUCAAGGACCGAAAAGUGUUAUGUACUCCAUCUGUUGAGAAUAUUGACGGUGUUUCCAAUAACCAGGCAAUCAGGCCAUAAGGCUAUAACAGACAAAGCGCGCUCAGGGAACUUAUGCUAUAUUACUGCGAAGAGUAAUAAGCAUCUUCGAAGAAAAUAGUACCCCCACCGAUACCUUUCUUCGGUGCUCAUUGUUAUUAUGAGACUUGUGCAAUAGAUUUUUUGUACUCAUGAGUUCCGUUGUGUGCCGACCAUGAUUGAAAACAAUAAGAGCGCUAGCUUUCAGCUUCAUCCAGUCUGAGGUCCGGCUCGGGUGACCCGAUCGUGACAAUCACAGAGGUGCUCCCUUUACUCCCUAGCCAAACAAUCGGGAACGUAUGGGUAAGCACAGGAGCCAGGCAACCCAGCUUGCAAAUCGCUUAAGUCAAUAGGGUGCAUAUUGUGGCGUAAUACACGAACAAGGAACGAAGCCGUACAAGUAUAACCAUAUGCAAGAGGAAAAAGCUUCAUGAAGGAAGCCCCCAAGUAAACGGGGUAUUUGAAUUUGAGCGUCACAAACAAAGUUUGGACAAGGAAAUUUUUACAAGCAACUUUUUUCCAAAAAAGUAUAAUGCUUGGCUGAGCCGAACACAAGUUAAAAAUUUAAAACUUUGAGCAUGAAGACAACUUAGCUGGUUAAUGUGUUCGGUAUUGAUGACGCGGUCCGAGCUUGAUGCGGAACAAGGUUCCAUCCCCGAGCUGGUCCCGAGGUGGCGGAGCAAAGAACUCGGCACUCCGAAGUGGUGACAUAGCACGGUCAGUGCAGGACGGUAGGGUGAUGCCGAAGUCCCCGGCAUGGGGUAAUGAAGUGUUGACGAAGCCCCCCGUCCAGCCGAGGUAACGCCAAAGGAUAUAGUCCAGCUAGAUCAUUUUUCUGUGCACAAAAAAAUAGUGCAAACCGGAGAUAAUAGUAAUAGUAAUAAUAAAAAAUCAUUGCAUAACAAAUAAUUUAUGCAAAGUGAGUAAUAAAAGAAAUAUGGCCUGGCGCCAAAGUCAAUGUCGAUGCAGGGCGGCAGCGUGAUGUGGUAAGGGCAUGGCAAGGCCUGAAUUCACAGGUCGGUUCGAGUUCCGGAUGCGGCGUUCGCCGGACUAUGUACGGAAACUGACCGAACCACCAUGCGGCCGUCGUUAAGAAGCCACCAUUUGAUAGACCUACGUACAUAUGACGGACAAACCAGAGUAAUAAUUCAUUGGGAAAAUGAACCCUAACAAGCAAAAAAUACUAGGAUUAAUAGCACCUGGCUUAUUUGUCGUAGCAAUCCGAAGAAAGGUGAUUCCCAAAAUUGGGACUCGAUCCGCACACCUAUCGCCUGAUGGGCGAUAAAGCAACAGCAUGGCGAUACUGGCAAAGGUUGGCUCACCGAGGCAAAACCCUCGGUCCAGCUAACGUGAUGGAGCUGGUCGGCCAGCGACACCGAAGUCUCCGGAGUAGGUUGAUGAAGAGAUGAUGAAGCCCCCGGUCCAGCGAUGCAGGUCGUGACGUGGUCGAUGCCGGCUUGAUGAAGUGACCGUGUGGCGAUGCAGAUGUGCCCGCUCCGUGUAAUCCGUGGGGCGGUGAUGUUGGCGACGAUUUAUCCUUCGCGAUGCCAAACUAUUGUUCGGCUGGCCGAGAUUAUGAUCCGAAGAAAUUGAGCUCGGCUCAACAAAGCGACGACGUGUCUAACGCAGGUCGGCCGCCGUGGAGUGAUGUUGUCGGGCUGGUCUGACACCGGCGCGACGGUGAAGUUCGUAUUGCAAGAAUACUUUUAAUACUACUGGGAUAUGUUUGAGAAUGAAACACAACACCCCAUACGAAAACUUCCUUCAAAAAGGAUGUCCGAGAUCCCAUUCAUAAAGAAGAUGAAUUCGGGUCGGAUUCGUUCUCGCGCAGAAAACAGAUCCAAAAAAGUGAUGCACUAAUCGGAAGUUUCCCAGAGUUUGGACGGUCGGAUCGAGCUGAAUGUUUGGCAGGUGGUAGAUAUGGGAAUUCCGCAGCAAAUCAAUGGUUGGAUCCUCCAAAGGACAUCCGAGCUAGAUGAUGGAUACCACGCCCUAAACUCGUCCGGAUUCUCGUCCAGAUUCAACAGGGCUCCGGUAUAUCGGAGAUUGCCGGAGAUUCCUCCAUUGGAACUCGACGAAAUUUUUGCAGGGUUGUUGUAGACUUAAUUCUGCAUAAUUCCACUGAAGUAAUUGUUUAAGCGACACUCGAGUAGGCGGUGGCGGUGGAUACAAGUUUGCUGUCCAGAAAAACAGCACGGUCGCCUAAGGGCAAUGUUGACGUUGAGCCCCCGAGCUCCAUGGAUGACUCCUCCAUGAUCUUGAUAUAGAUCGGAGUUGGUGUUGAUGAAGGCCUUCAUCCGAACAUGACGAUCGAAGGUAGGGCGCAGUCCUCGGUCAAGCCAAGGUGACCAGUCGAGCUGGUGACGAAGAAGCCGACGUCGCAGUGCAGUCGAGCCAUUGAUCCUUUCGCCGAUCACACAGCGGAACUCUCAAUGAAAGCACCAAUGUCGGUGUCAAAACCGGCAGAUCUCGGGUAGGGGGUCCCAAGCAGUGCGUCUUAGGAUCAAUGGUAAUAGGGGGCAAGGGACACAAUGUUUACCCAGGUCCGGGCCCUCUCGAUGGAGGUAAAACCCUACUCCUGCUUGAUUAAUAUUGAUGAUAUGGGUAGUACAAGAGUUGAUCUACCACGAGAUCGAAGAGGCGAAACCCUAGAGGAUAGCCUAUGGUAUGAUUGUUGUUGUAUCUCUAUUGACUAGCCUGGCCCUGGUUUAUAUAAUGCACCAGAGGCCUAGGAUAACAAGAGUCCUAGCCGAAUACGCCGGUGGGGGAGGAGUCCUUGUCUUGAUCGCCAAGUCUUGUUGAUUCUUCCUUGUAUGCGGCAGCUGUCCGGACUGGCCCGUGAGUAUACGACCAUGGGGGUCCUCGGCCCAAUCCAGCAGAUCGGGAUACGACGCGUUGAGUACCCCCUAGUCCAGGACACCUUCAGCCGGCCUCCGCCCGACACCGUCCACAACCAGUCGAAGAACCCAGGGGUGGCAGGCUAUGCCCUAGGAGGGCCCGCAAAGGAUGGUCGCAGUAUAUGCAGAAUCGGGACGCAUCACGGGAUGGCCUGCCUCUCCGAUCGGCCUCACCACAAGGGCAGUGCUGGAGCCCGGGGCGCUUGGGGAAGGUGGAGAGGGCGGGGCCAGCAGGGAUGGCUCCUCAGCCAUCUCCGCGAACUCGGCAGGAAGGGCCCUGCAGCGUGAUAAUCAGUUGAAGCAGCGGGAAAGUAAGGGACAGAGAAAGGGAAAGGCUUACUCAUCGGUGGCGAAGUACUUCCUCUGGUUCAAUAGGUGGCAAGGGUAAUCAGCACCCAAGGCCUCCCUCCUCUUUCGGAGAGCCUCGAAGUCCACUCGGAAGCGGCUCGGGAGCUCGGCGCAAGGGUCAACCUGCAACGAGGAAGAAGCGCCGAUAAGGUCAACGACGGGGCAUCAUCCUGGCGCCCGCUGCCAGGCGCCACACCAUGGAGGGUGGCUGGGGCAUCAGAGGCCUCUGCCACUAGGGCUGCAGGCUGCGGCUCAGCCCCCUCUAUCGCCGCAGGAUGGACCUCAGGAGAUACCACCUCAGGAGCCCCACUUGGUGUUGUCGUCCCGAUAGCGGCCGCCUCAGCCCCCGGCGGCCCCUGCCUCCCAGCUCCACCACUCGAGGAGGGACCGUCGUGGGCAACCGGAAGGGCGACCGCCACGACUAGGUUCUCGCAAGGCCCCCUGAGGCCUGCGGGGCGCAGCCCCCAUUCGUCGAAGCUGGGCGUCUGCUUCACGAAGUCACCCCUGCUCGAGCAGAGGUACAGCAAGGCGCCACCAUGCCGGAUGCUGCUGGGAGAAGGGUCGCCAGUUAGGAUCAUGAGAACCUUCCUCAGCGGUUCAGGCGUCAGAUCUUCCUCUUGGAGCCUCAUGCGGUCUUCACACCCCCCGAAAGACCACAUCCUGUGAGAAUGGCACUGGAGAGGGGCAAUGCAGCGCAGGAGGAACUCCUUCACCACCUUGGACACAGUUACAUCGAGCGCCCUCAAGUACGCGAAGCACGCCAGACGAAGACGAGCCGGGGGCUCGUGAGUGUCUCCUGGCCCCAGCCUAAAUUGGGACGGCAGGCAAGGUGGGCUCCGAGAGCAGGGGGCUGAGUACUCCGACAUCGACGUACAGCCACCACUCUCAGAACGCAGUCGCGGGAGGAGGGAGUCUGAAGUCAAUUCCCGAGGCCUCUGUCUCUAGUGCGGCAAAGAAGCUCACGCAUCCCGAGUGUUGGGAGGGGUCACUGAGGCGCAAAGAGAAGAAAUGGCGCAGCAAAGCAACUGAAGGAGGGAUGCCCAUCAUCGCCUCGCAAACAAAAGCGAAAACAGCAAGAAGAGCAAUGGAUUCGGGACCUAAAUGCAUCAUGUGGAUCUGGUAGUGGGAAAGAACGGCAUUGAAGAAAUCGGAAAAGGGAGGAACCAAUCCCGCCCACAUGGCGUCAGCGAAGUACUGAACCUCGGUGGCUAUCCUAUCAAUGGAGAAGUGAGACGCGGGCCAGACCGUCGUCCUCCCACACUCGUUGAAGAUGGUGGCAAUGGCGGAACUGACCUUGUCCAAGCCUUCCAGGUUGAGUAUGAUUGACUUAUCAACAGCAGGAGCCGUUGACGGCGACGGGCCGGAUGAAGGCACCAACUUUUGCCCCUUCCCCUUCUUUGUCGGAGCCAUGACGACGGGAAGGGGGAGGAUUCAAGAUUGGAUUGGAGGCGGAGGCUGGAGCUCAAGAGAAGGAAGAGCAGGAGGCGUGCGAGCGGCGAGAAGAGGGGAGAUUGUGUGCACCCAUGGGUCCGCCUAGCUGGGCGCAAAAUAAGGAGGUGUGGGGGAACAGGGACGCCCACGUCCAAUCAACCGCCAUGCGGAGCCCAAGGCCGCAGGCUAUUGGGGCCCGCGGCGCUUCGCACUUGCCUCUUCGCUUCUCUGCUAAGCCAAGUCCAAGCGCGCCUUGGGCCCGGGGGCUACUGUCGGCAUUCUGGGAACGGGGGUACCCAGACUUGCCUGCCUGCGGCCUGCGGCGUGGCUCAAGGAGUGGCCCAGUACGGCCCAUCUUCAUCAACACAUGCUCAAGACCCUCGCGAGGGGCCAAGCCUCGCGAGGAAGGGCGACAGGAGGCUUCCUCAGGCACGGACUCAUCAGGCUAGCUCGCGAGGAGGCGGAGAGAUCAAGGCGGGGUACCUCACGAGGUGCCCGUGACGCAAGCCAUGACGACCAGGGCCAGGCGGGCGCCAGGCGGGCGCCGGCCUGCGCAGAGUCCUUGUUUCCCCUUUGGUGCAAAGGGGGCAAGCGCAGGCAAGGGUAUCAAGCAAAGGCAACCAUUUCGGUGCAACAAGACCAAGACCAGCAGGACGGCAGAACGAAGGUCAUCGUGGAGCCCAAGCCAACGUCAUCAUCAGGGUCUUUGGCAGGCGAGGACCAAGUUUAGUCAGGAUAAGUGUACUAGAUGUUCCCCUUCAAAAUGGCCAAUUGUUGGCGCCCUUCCCGCUCAAUAUUUGGGAAGAGGCCCAGGGCCUUCGCCUAUAAAUAGGACUAGCCACCCCCAGGGUAGAGGCAUCGGCAUCUGAUAUGGAGACCAACCAGAGAGAAGAACCUUGGACAACAACACCACCAUAAGAACAGACCCUCGCGAGGCUGUUCUUCCCUUGUAUUGUUCAUCAUCAGCCCCAAAGGCAAUCCACCACACCACACACUUGAGUAGGGUAUUACACCACAAUGGUGGCCUGAACCAGUAUAAAUCUUGUGUCCUUUGUGUUGUUCUUCGUGUAGUUUAGAUCCUAGUGAGGUGGUGAGACAUGAGUAGGCUGGGGGUGUGAUCUCCGCGUGCACCCCAGUGUUCGAAGCUCAAGGGUCUGCCGGAACCCGAAAUCCGAGACAGGGGACCCACACCCUGCUCGCGAGGGUGGGGGCGCGCCCUCCCCCCUGGGCGCACCCCCCUACCUCGUGGGCCCCCUGGUAGCUCUCCGACGCCCGUCUUCUCCUAUAUGAAGUCUUUCGAUGAGAAAAAAAUAGAAGGUAACCUUUCGGGACGAGACUCCGCCGCCACGAGGCGGAACCUUGGCGGAACCAAUCUAGGGCUCCGGCAGAGCUGUUCUGCCGGGGACACUUCCCUCCGGGAGGGGGAAAUCAUCACCAUCAUCAUCACCAACGUUCCUCUCAUUUUGAGAGGGCAAUCUCCAUCAACAUCUUCACCAACACCAUCUCAUCUCCAAACCCUAGUGCAUCUCUUGUAUCCAAUUCUUGUCUCCAAGUCCGGGAUUGGUGCUAGUAGGUCGCUAGUAGUGUUGAUUACUCCUUGUAGUUCAUGCUAGUUGGUUUAUUUGGUGGAAGAUCAUAUGUUCAGAUCCUUUAUGCACAUUAUUACCCCUCUGAUUAUGAACAUGAAUAUGCUUUGUGAGUAAUUAUGUUCGUUCCUGAGGACAAGGGAGAAGUCUUGCUAUUAGUAGUCAUGUGAAUUUGGUAUUCGUUCGUUAUUUUGAUAAGAUGUAUGUUGUCUAACCUCUAGUGGUGUUAUGUGAACGUCGACUACAUAACACUUCAUUUGGGCCUAGAGGAAGGCAUUGGGAAGUAAUAAGUAGAUGAUGGGUUGCUAGAGUGACAGAAGCUUAAACCCUAAUUUAUGUGUUGCUUCGUAAGGGGCUGAUUUGGAUCCAUAUGUUUCAUGCUAUGGUUAGGUUUACCUAUAUACUUUUGUUGUAGUUGCGGAUGCUUGCAAUAGAGGUUAAUCAUAAGUGGGAUGCUUGUUCAAGCAAGAAUAGCACCCAAGCACCGGUCCACCCACAUAUCAAAUUAUCAAAGUACCGAACGCGAAUCAUAUGAGCGUGAUGAAAACAAGCUUGACGAUAUUCCCAUGUGUCCUCGGGAGCGCUUUUCCUAUUACAAGAGUUUGUCCAGGCUUGUCCUUUGCUACAAAAAGGAUUGGGCCACCUUGCUGCACUUUAUUUACUUUUGUUACUUGUUGCUCGUUACAAUUUAUCUUAUCACAAAACUAUUUGUUACCACUUAUUUCAGUACUUGCAGAGAAUACCUUGCUGAAAACCGCUUUUCAUUUCCUUCUGCUCCUCGUUGGGUUCGACACUCCUACUUAUCAAAUGGACUAUGAUAGAUCCCCUAUACUUGUGGGUCAUCAGCAUGCUAGAUAGCGGUUGAUGUGUGGAGUAAUAGUAGUAGAUGCAGGCAGGAGUCGGUCUACUUGUCACGGAUGUGAUGCCUAUAUACAUGAUCAUGCCUAGAUAAUCUCAUAAUUAUUUGCUUUUGUAUCAAUUGCUCGACAGUAAUUUGUUCACCCACCAUAAUACUUAUGCUAUCUCGAGAGAAGCCACUAGUGAAACCUAUGGCCCCCGGGUCUAUCUUUUAUCAUAUAAGCUUUCAAUCUACUUCUAUUUGCAUCUUUACUUUUCCAAUCUAUAUCAUAAAAUACCAAAAAAUUAAUUAUCUUAUCAUACUAUCUCUAUCAGAUCCCACUUUCACAAAUGGCCGUGAAGGGAUUGACAACACCUUUAUUGCGUUGGUUGCGAGUUCUUUGUUUGUUUGUGUAGGUGCGUGGGACUUUUGAGGAGCCUCCUACUGGAUUGAUACCUUGGUUCUUAGAAACUGAGGGAAGUACUUACGCUACUAUUACUACAUCACCCUUUCCUCUUCAAGGAAGACCAACGCAAGCUCAAGACGUAGCAAGAAGGAUUUCUGGCGCCAUUGCCGGGGAGGUCUUUGCUCAAGUCAAGACAUACCAAGUACCCAUCACAAACUCAUCUCCCUCGCAUUUAUAUUAUUUGCCAUUUGCCUCUCGUUUUCCUCUCCCCCACUUCACCCUUGUUGUUUUAUUCGCUCUCUCUCUCGCUCGCUUGCCCUCUUCUUCUUCCUCGCUUUUGUUUGCCGUUAUGUCUGAAAUUGGGGAGAUUAUUGUCAAUAUGGACAAUAAUGAUAACAUGGAAAAUUCUAAUGCUCCGGCUAAAGAACCCCCUAUCUUGCAUACUAAAAAGUUUCAAAUCGGUAGUGGUAACAUUAUUGGAAAAGGGGUUAUUCAAGAUUUCUUUACUUGUGCCGAUGCUUUACCUUCUAUGGGUGGUUAUAUUCUUCAUAGAACUAGUAGUCUUGCGGAUGCUAUCGCUAUGCUUGUAGUUAAGCUUGAAAGACAAUUUAUGCACAUGCAUCCUUGCAUACAAAGAAUUUUCCUGGAAUUUUCUAAUAUUGGGCAUUCUUCUAUUAAGCACGCCUUUACCAUCUUUUUGGCUAAUGAGUUUAGAUUUAUAAUAAGAGAGGCCAAAGAAAUCUUUGCGCACUAUAGGGUGGACGUUGGUCGUCCUCCCAUAGAGGCGAUCCUCUUUGAUCAAGAGGACAUUAGGCGUUUUCAAUCUUUGGACUAUGUUGCUUUUAAUGAAAACCUUAGGAAAAAGGUUCCUACCAAUGUCCUAAUUGAUAGAAUUUACGAACUUAAUAAUGAUUUUGCUCUUCGAAACAAUGAGCUAGGAUACUCCCUUGAGUAUAGGCUCACGAAAUUCUGCCAAAAGAAUGCUUAUAAUGAUGAAUUAGUUGUGCAAUAUGAAGGGCCAAAGGAGGAACCCAUUCCCCCUGUGAUUGAUCUUGGGACUUUUGUCCCAUUAAAUUUAGCCCUUUUGAUUACUUUUGCUUGCCUCAAAGAAAACUUGCUGUUCAACAUAGAGAAUAUGAGAUGAGUUUUCAAGAUCUAUCUUAUUAUUAUGGCACUACUUAGAUCUAUCCUCGCUUUUAUGCCUAGCUAGGGCGUUAAACGAUGGCGCUAGUUGGGAGGCAACCCAAUUUUAUUUGUGUUUUUGUUUUUGUUUCUGUUUAGUAAUAAAUUUUGCAUCUGCCUUCUGUUUAGAUGUGCUUUUAUGUUUUAAUUAGUGUUUGUGCCAAGUAGAACCUAUAGGAUAACCUAUGGUGAUAGUUAAUUUGAUUCAGCUAAAAAACAGAAACUUUGCAUUCACGAAAUUAGUUUUGUUAAUUCACAGAAACGUGAUUUUGCGUUCAUUCCUUUUGCUGUAGAUAAAUAGACAAAUUUCCAAGGACUUCCUAUUUUAGUAAGAUUUUUAGAGUUCCAGAAGUAUUCGUGGGUUACAGAUUGCUACAGACUGUUCUGUUUUUGACAAAUUCUGUUUUUCGUGUGUUGUUUGCUUAUUUUGAUGCAUCUAUGGCUAGUAUUAAGUGGUAUGAACCAUAGAGAACUUGAAAUACAGUAGGUUUAACACCAAUUUAUAUAAAGAAUGAGUUCAUUACAGUACCUUAUGUGGUGGUUUUGCUUUCUUUCACUAACAGAGCUUAUGAGAUUUCCUGUUGAGUUUUGUGUUGUGAAGUUUUCAAGUUUUGGGUAAAGAUUUGAUGGACUAUGGAAUAAGGAGUGGCAAAAGCCUAAGCUUGGGGAUGCCCCCGGAAGGCAUCCCCUCUUUCAUCUUUGUUCAUUGGUAACAUUACUCGGAGCUAUAUUUUUAUUCGCCACAUGAUAUGUGUUUUGCUUGGAGUGUCUUGUAUGAUACUCCCUCCAUUCCUUGAUAUAAGGUGUAUAGAUUUUUGAGCAAAAAUCCGAAAUAUAAGGUGCAUUGCGUUGCACCACUCGUUUGGAUAAUUUUUUUAGGAAUUUUAUUACAUUUCCUUAUAUCAGGCAAGCUCCUCUAUUUACUCAUGUCAAUUAGUCAGGUGUAAUCUCGCCCAAAACUUGUGAAAUUUUCCCUCCAUGUGUGUUCUUUAAUUUUCGUGCCAAAAACUAUACACCCUAUAUUUAGGAAUGGAAGGAGUAUUAGUUUUUGCUUUUUAGUUUCCCACAAUCAUCCUUGUUGUACACACCUUUUGGGAGAAGCCCACUUGAUUGGAAUUUAUUAGAAUACUCUAUGUGCUUCACUUAUAUCUUUUGAGUUAGAUAGUUUUUGCUCUAGUGCUUCACUUAUGUCUUUUAGAGCACGGCGGUGGCUUAAUUUUGUAGAAAUUGUUAGUCUCUCAUGCUUCACUUAUAUUAUUUUGAUAGUAUCUUAGAAUAGCAUGGUAUUUGCUAUGGUUAUAAAAUUGGUCCUAGAAUGGUAGGCAUCCAAGUUGGGUAUAAUAAAAACUAUCAUAGGAAGUGAAUUGGAUGCUAUGAUCAAUUUGAUACUUGAUAAUUGUUUUGAGAUAUGGAGGUAGUGAUAUUAAAGUCAUGCUAGUUGGGUGAUUAUGAAUUUAAAGAAUGCUUGUGUUGAAGUUAGCAAGUCCCAUAGCAUGCAUGUAUGGUUAAAGUUGUGUAACAAAUUUGAAACAUGAAGUGUCCUUGGAUUGUGCAUCCUUAUGAGUGGCGGUCGGGGACGAGCGAUGGUCUUUUGCUACCAAUCUAUCCCCCUAGGAGCAUGCACUUAGUGCUUGGUUUUUGAUGACUUGUAGAUUUUUGCAAUAAGUAUAUGAGUUCUUUUUUGACUAAUGUUGAGUCCAUAGAUUAUACGCACUUUCACCUUUCCAUCAUUGCUAGCCUCUUCGGUACCGUGCAUUGCCCUUUCUCACCUUGAGAGUUGGUGCAAACUUCGCUGGUGCAUCCAAACCCCGUGAUAUGAUACGCUCUAUCACACAUAAACCUCUUUAUAUCUUCCUCAAAACAGCCACCAUACCUACCUAUUAUGGCAUUUCCAUAGCCAUUCCGAGAUAUAUUGCCAUGCAACUUUCCACCGUUCCGUUUAUCAUUAUGACACACAUCAUUAUUGUCAUAUUGCCUUGCAUGAUCAUGUAGUUGACAUCGUAUUUGUGGCAAAGCCACCAUGCAUAAUUUUUUAUACAUGUCACUCUUGAUUCUUUGCCCAUCCCGGUACACCGCCGGAGGCAUUCAUAUAGAGUCAUGGCUUGUUCUAGUUUUGGGUUGUAAUUCAUAAGUUGUAAAUCAAUAAAGGUGUGAUGAUCAUCAUUAUUAGAGCAUUGUCCCCAAAUAAAAAAAGGAAAGGCCAAAGAAAAAAAGAAAAAAAGAAAGGCAAAAAAAGGCCCAAAAAAAGAAAAAGGAAAUAAAUAAAAAGGGGCAAUGUUACUAUCUCUUUUUCCACACUUGUGCUUCAAAGUAGCACCAUGUUCUUCAUAUAGCGAGUCGCAUAUGUUGUCACUUUCAUAUACUAGUGGUAAUUUUUCAUUAUAGAACUUGGCUUGUAUAUUCCUACGAUGGGCUUCCUCAAAAUGCCCUAGGUCUUCGUGAGCAAGCAAGUUGGAUGCACACCCACUAGUUUCUUUUGUUGAGAUUUCAUGCAUUUAUAGCUCUAGUGCAUCCGUUGCAUGGCAAACCCUACUCCUCAUGUUGACAUCAAUUGAUGGGCAUCUCCAUAGCCCGUUGAUUAUCCUCGUCAAUGUGAGACUUUAUCCUUUUUUGUCUUCUCCACACAAUCCCCAUUAUCUUCUAUUCCACCCAUAGUGCUAUAUCCAUGGCUCACGCUGAUGUAUUGCGUGAAAGUUGAAAAAGUUUGAGAUUAUUUAAGUAUGAAACAAUUGCUUGGCUUGUCAUCGGGGGUGUAUAAUUUGGGAGCAUUUUUGUGUGACAAAAAUGAAGCAUAGCCUAACUAUAUGAUUUUGUAGGGAUGAACUUUCUUUAGCCAUGUUAUUUUGAGAAGACAUGGUUGCUUUGAUUAGUAUGCUUGAAUUAUUACUAUUUUUUAUGUCAAUAUGAACUCUUAUUUUGAAUCAUUUGGAUCUGAACAUUCAUGCCACAAUAAAGAAAAUUACAUUGAGAAUUAUGCUAGGUAGCAUUCCACAUCAAAAAUUCUGUUUUUAUCAUUUACCUACUUGAGGACGAGCAAGAAUUAAGCUUGGGAUGCUUGAUACGUCUCCAACGUAUCUAUAAUUUUUUAUUGUUCCAUGCUAUUAUAUUACCCGUUUUGGAUGUUUAUGGGCUUUAUUUUACACAUUUAUAUCAUUUUUGGGACUAACCUACUAACGGGAGGCCCAGCCCGUAUUGUUGUUUUUUGCCUAUUUCAGUGGUUCAAAGAAAAGGAAUAUCAAGCGGAGUCCAAACGGAAUGAAACCUUCGGGAGCGUGAUUUUUGGAAUGAACGUGAUCCGGAGCACUUGGAGUGCAAGUCAAGAAGCAGUCGAGGCGGCCACGAGGGUGGAGGGCGCGCCCACCUCUACUAGGCGCGCCCCCCUAUCUCGUGGGCCCGUCGAGCGUCCACCGACCUACUUCUUCCUCCUAUAUAUACCCAUGUACCCCGAAAACAUUAGGGGAGCCCACGAAAAACUAUUUCCACCACCGUAACCUUCUGUAUCCGCGAGAUCACAUCUUGGAGCCUUCGCCGACGCUCCGCCGGAGGGGGAAUCAACCACGGAGGGCUUCUACAUCAACACCAGAGCCCCUCCGAUGAGUUGUGAGUAGUUUACCACAGACCUUCGGGUCCACAGUUAUUAGCUAGAUGGCUUCUUCUCUCUUUUUGGAUCUCAAUACCAUGUUCUCCUCGAUCUUCUUGGAGAUCUAUUCAAUGUAACUCUUUUUGCGGUGUGUUUGUCGAGAUCCAAUGAAUUGUGGGUUUAUGAUCAAGUUUAUCUAUGAGAAAUAUUUGAAUCACCUCUGAAUUCUUUUAUGUGUGAUUAAGUUAUCUUUGCAAGUCUCUUCGAAUUAUCAGUUUGGUUUGGCCUACUAGAUUAAUAUUUCUUGCAAUGGGAGAAGUGCUUAGCUUUGGGUUCAAUCUUGUGGUGUCCUUUCCCAUUGACAGCAGGGGCAGCAAGGCACGUAUUGUAUUGUUGCCAUCAAGGAUAAAAAGAUGGGGUUUAUAUCAUAUUGCAUGAGUUUAUCCCUCUACAUCAUGUCAUCUUUCUUAAUGUGUUACUCUGUUCUUUAUGAACUUAAUACUCUAGAUGCAUGCUGGAUAGCGGUCGAUGUGUGGAGUAAUAGUAGUAGAUGCAGGCAGGAGUCGGUCCACUUGUCAUGGACGCGAUGCCUAUAUACAUGAUCAUGCCUAGAUAAUCUCAUAAUUAUUCGCUUUUCUAUCAAUUGCUCGACAGUAAUUUGUUCACCCACCGUAAUACUUAUGCUAUCUCGAGAGAAGCCACUAGUGAAACUUGUGCCCCCCGGGUCUAUCUUUUAUCAUAUAAGCUUUCAAUCUACUUUUAUUUGCAUAUUUACUUUUCCAAUCUAUAUCAUAAAAUACCAAAAAUUUAUUUAUCUUAUCAUACUAUCUCUAUCAGAUCUCACUUUCGUAAAUGGUCGUGAAGGGAUUGACAACCCCUUUAUUGCAUUGGUUGCGAGUUCUUUGUUUGUUUGUGUAGGUGCAUGGGACUUUUGAGGAGCCUCCUACUGGAUUGAUACCUUGGUUCUCAAAAACUGAGGGAAAUACUUAUGCUACUAUUGUUGCAUCACCCUUUCCUCUUCAAGGAAAACCAACGAAAGCUCAAGACGUAGCACCACGCCACUUUAUGAUGAUUUUUUAUGGACCAAAAGGAAGAAGUUGGGCCCUAGUUGCACCUGCGGGACUCCCAAGGAGGGGACAACCCACCAAGGCACGCUAGGAGGCCCAAGCGUGCCCUGGUGGGUUGUGCCCACCUCGGGUGUCCCCUCGACCACCUCUUUGCUCUAUAAAUACCCCAAUAUUCCAGAAACCCUAGAGGAGUCGGCGAAAUAUUCAUCUAGCCGCCGUAGAGUCCAGAACCACCAGAUCCAAUCUAGACACGAUCACGGAGGGGUUCACCACUUCCAUUGGUGCCUCUCUGAUGAUGCGUGAGUAGUUCUUUCUAGACCUAUGGGUCCGUAGUUACUAGCUAGAUGGCUUCCUCUCUCUCUCUCUUGAUUAUCAAUACAAUGGUCUCUUGGAGAUCAGUAUGAUGUAUGUCUUUUGGCGGUGUGUUUGUUGGGAUCCGAUGAACUUUGAGUUUAUGAUCAGAUCUAUGUUUUUAUCCAUGAAAGUUAUUUGAGUCUUCUUUGAUCUCUUAUAUGCAUGAUUGCUUAUAGCCUCGUAUUUCUUAUCCGAUAUUUGGUUUUUGUUUGGUAAACUUGAUCUAUUUAUCUUGCAAUGGGAAGAGGUGCUUUGUAGUGGGUUUGAUCUUAUGGUGCUUGAUCCCAGUGAUAGAAGGGGAACCGACACGUAUGUAUCGUUGCUACUAAGGAUAACAAGAUGAGAUCUAUAUCUUCUACAAUAGAUAAAUAGAUCUUGUCCACAUCAUGUCAUCGUUCUUAUUGCAUUACUCUGUUUUCCCCAUGAACUUAAUACACUAGAUGCAUGUUGGAUAGCGGUCGAUGUGUGGAGUAAUAGUAGUAGAUGCAGGCAGGAGUCGGUCUACUAAUCUUGGACGUGAUGCCUAUGUAAUGAUCACUGCCUUGAUAUUGUCAUGAUUAUUUGAAGUUCUAUCAAUUUCCCAACAGUAAUUGUUUUCCCACUGUUUGCUAUUUUUCUCGAGAUAAGCCACUAGUGAAACAUACGGCCCCCGGGUCUCUUUUCAUCAUAUUUGCCUUUGCGAUCUAUUUUCUCUUGCAUUUAUUUUCAUAUCUAUUAAACCAAAAAUAUAAAAAUACCUAGCUGCAAUUUAUUUGUUCCGCGAUCUAUUUAUCCUAUCUACCACUUUUUACCUCAUGUUAUUUUGCCCACUAGAGGCGCCGUACCCCGAAAGGGAUUGAUAACCCCUUUAACACGUGGGUUACGAGGUGUUGUUCUUUGUGUGCAGGGGCUGUUUACAUUGUGUUGCUUGGUUCUCCUACUGGUUCAAUAACCUUGGUUUCAUAUCUGAGGGAAAUACCUACCGCCGAUGUGCUGCACCAUCCCUUCCUCUUUGGGGAAAUACCGACUAGCUUCAAGCGACAUCAAAAGGAAUUUUUGGCGUCAUUGUCGGGGAGGAUCUUCAACAUCAACUAGGUUCCUAAUCACAAAUCUCAUCUCCUUGCAAUUUACAUUAUUUGCCAUUUGCCUCUCGUUUUCCUCUCCCCCACUUCACAAAAAUUUGCCGUUUUAUUCGCUCUCUUUUUCGUUCGCCGUUUUCUCUUCAAGUCUCUUCUUUGCUUGUGUGCCACAUGUCUUCUAUUUGCUUGCAUCUUUGCUUGCUAAAUAUCUUUUGAUAUGGAUCCUCAUCCACUUGCUAAUCUUUUUAAGAGAUCCAAUUAUCAUGAACAAAUUGCUAGUGAUUUGAGUACACUAUAUUAUCUUUAUGAAGUUUUGCUUGAGAUUCGUGAAUCUAAAAAUUGUGAUGAAGAAACCUCUUUGAAUGAAAAGCAUGAUUGCAAUGAUUUUUCUAUAAAUUCUAUUAAUGUCAAUUGUACUAAUGACAUGCAAAACCCCAGGCUUGGGGAUGCUAAUUUUGCUAUGUCCACUACUUAUUGCAAUGAUCAUGAUUGGGGUGAUUCUUCUUAUGAUCUUGAAGAUUUAUUUAAGCCCCGUGAUGAAUAUGAGAUAUAUAAUAGUGUUUGCAAUAAUAUUGAAAGUGGGUUUGGAAGAGUGUCAACUUUAGAUCCCACUACUAUGGAGAAUGUUCAAUCCUAUGCAUUUUUUGAUAAAAGUGGGUUUGGAGAGGUCAUGACUUUAGUUAAUGUUAAUCCCACUAUUUUGGAAGAGUGUCAACUUUGCAUGCAUGUGGAUCAUGUAGAAAAUAUGUUAUGUGAUAGCUAUAUUGUUGAAUUUGAAUAUGAUCCCACCUAUAAUUAUUAUGAGAGAGGUAAAUAUGGUUGUGGAAAUCUUCAUGUCACUAAGUUACUUCUUUUCAUGUUGAGAUUGCUAUUGUUUCUUUCUUCUUCCUUGCAUAUGCUAGAUCUUGCUUGUCUUGCUAAAAUAUUUUCCUAUAAAAUUCCUAUGCAUAGGAAGUAUGUUAGACUUAAAUUUGUUUGACAUAUGCUACAUGAUGCUCUCUUCGUAUUUCAAUUACUAUCUUUUAUGUGAGCAUCAUUGAAAUAUUAUGCCUAGCUAGGGGCAUAAAACGAUAGCGCUUGUUGGGAGGCAACCCAAUGAAUAAAAUUUAUUUUUGCUUUUUGCUUUUUGUUCUUGAGUUUUAGCACAAUUAUGCUACUGCUAUGAUUGUGUUUUUUGUGUUUUAGUUAGUGUUUGUGCCAAGCAAUGCCUUUGGGAAGACUUGGGUGGAAGUUUAUUUGAUCUUGCUGAAAAACAGAAACUUUUGCGCUCAUGAGAUUCAUUGUCAUUUUUUUACAAAAUAGUGCUUUUAAGUUCAUUCUUUUUGCAGAGGAUUAAUAGACAAAUUCCUCACGUCCACAAAUUUAUUUCAUAAUUUUUGGGGUUACAGAAGUAUUCUAAAUUUUCAGAUUGCUACAGACUUUCUGUUUUUGACAGAUUUUGUUUUCUUUGUGUUGUGUGCUUGUUUUGGUGAUUCUAUGGUUCUCUUUAAUGAGUUUUUGCCAUAGAAAAGUUGGAAUACAGUAGAUAUAAUGCAAAAAGGAAAUAAUAAUAGGUUUUCUACAUUACUUAUAGUAGUGGUUUGGUUUCUUAUACUAACGGAUCUCACGAAGGUUUUGUUUGAGUUUGGUGUGAUUGAAGUUUUCAAGUUUUGGGUUAUCUUACGAUGGAUGAAGGAAUAAGGAUAAGCAAAAGGCUAAGCUUGGGGAUGCCCGAGGCACUCCAAGAUAAUAUUCAAAGAAGUAGCGGAUACGUCUCCAACGUAUCUACUUUUCCAAACACUUUUGCCCUUGUUUUGGACUCUAACUUGCAUGAUUUGAAUGAAACUAACGCGGACUGACGCUGUUUUCAGUAGAACUGCCAUGAUGUUGUUUUAUGUGUAGAAAAGAAAAGUUCUCGGAAUGUCCUGGAAAUCCACGGAGGCACUUUUCAGAAUUAAUAAGAAUUUUUGGCGAAAGAAUCAAGGUCAGGGGGCCCACAGGCUGUCCACGAGACAAGGGGCGCCCCCCCCCUAGGACGCGCCCUCCUAUCUCGUGGGCCCCCUGGACCUCCUCCGACCUCAACUCCAACUCCAUAUAUACCGUCUCGGGGAGAAACAAAUCGAGGAGAAAGUUUCAUCGUGUUUCACGACACGGAGCCACCGCCAAGCCCUAAUCUUUCUUGAGAGGGCUGAUCUGGAGUCCAUUCGGGGCUCCGGAGAGGGGGAUUCGUCGCCGUCGUCAUCAUCAACCAUCCUCCAUCACCAAUUUCAUGAUGCUCACCGCCGUGCGUGAGUAAUUCCAUCAUAGGCUUGCUGGACGGUGAUGGGUUGGAUGAGAUUUACCAUGUAAUCAAGUUAGUUUUGUUAGGGUUUGAUCCCUAGUAUCCACUAUGUUCUGAGAUUGAUGUUGCUAUGACUUUGCUAUGCUUAAUGCUUGUCACUAGGGCCCGAGUGCCAUGAUUUCAGAUCUGAACCUAUUAUGUUUUCAUUAAUAUAUGUGUGUUCUUGAUCCUAUCUUGCAAGUCUGUAGUCACCUAUUAUGUGUUAUGAUCCAACAACCCCGAAGUGACAAUAAUUGGGAUACUUCUCGGUGAUGACCGUAGUUUGAGGAGUUCAUGUACUCACUAUAUGUUAAUGCUUUGGUCCGGUUCUCUAUUAAAAGGAGGCCUUAAUAUCCCUUAGUUUCUGUAAGGACCCCGCUGGACACGGGAGGGUAGGACAAAAGAUGUCAUGCAAGUUCUUUUCCAUAAGCACGUAUGACUAUUUACGGAAUACAUGCCUACACUACAUUGAUGAAUUGGAGCUAGUUCUAUAUCACCCUAUGUUAUAACUAUUGCAUGAGGAAUUGCAUCCGGCAUAAUUAUCCAUCACUAAUCCAUUGCCUACGAGCUUUUCACAUAUUGUUCUUCGCUUAUUUACUUUUCCGUUGCUACUGUUACAACUACUACAAAAACCCAAAAACAUUUAUCUUUACUUUUGCUACCGUUACUAUUAUUAUCAUACCACUUUUGCCACUAAACACUUUGCUGCAGAUACUACGUUAUCCAAGUGUGGUUGAAUUGACAACUCAACUGCUAAUACUCAAGAAUAUUCUUUGGCUCCCCUUGUGUCGAAUCAAUAAAUUUGGGUUGUACUUCACCCUCGAAAGUUGUUGCGAUCCCCUACACUCGUGGGUUAUCAAGACUAAUUUCUGGCGCCGUUGCCGGGGAGCAUAGCUCUAUUCUCUGAGUCACUUGGAAUCUAUAUCUGUUGAUCACUAUGAAGAACUUGAAAGACGAUCAAACUACUAUUUUGCCCUCAACUACGAGGGGAGGUAAGGAACUGCCAUCUAGCUCUGCACUAGAUUCUCCUUCCGUUAUUAGUAGGCUUGCAACACCUAAACCUGCUACUGCUAUGAAUUCUGAUAUGUCACAUGUUAUUGAUGAUGCCACUUCUGCUAUGCAUGAUGAAACUACUUCUGUGCGUGAUACUACUUUGCCAUUAGGUGAAAUUCUUGAUGAACAACUUGCUAGAGUUAGGGGGAAUGAUAUUAUUGAAGAUCCUAUUACUGAUAACAGUGAUGAUGAAUGUUCCCCCAAUGAUUAUGUAUUACCUGUUGUUCCUAAGGGUUAUGUCAUGAAUGAAAAAGCUGCUAUGGAAAUUCUUGCUUGCAAUGAUAGAAAUGAUCUUAAGAAAUUAUUAGCUAAAUGGAAGCAACAGUCUCUUAAUGCUAGAAUGAAACCCGAUCCUGCUUUUGCUACUUCACCUAUCUGUGUUACUGAUAAGGAUUAUGAAUUCUCUGUUGAUCCUCAUAUUAUUACUUUAGUUGAAUCUGAUCCUUUUUAUGGCCUUGAAUCUGAAAUUGUUGUGGCACAUCUUACCAAGUUGAAUGAUAUAGCUAACCUGUUUACCACUGAUGAGAAGUCUCGCUAUUUAUAUAUUCUUAAGAUAUUUCCGUUCUCAUUAAAGGGUGAUGCUAAGACUUGGUAUAAUUCUCUUGCUCCUGGUUGUGUGCGUAGUCCCCAGGAUAUGAUUUAUUACUUCUCUGCUAAAUAUUUCCCUAUUCAUAAGAAACAAGCUGCCUUGCAGGAAAUAUAUAAUUUUGUGCAAAUUAAAGAAGAGAGUCUCCCACAAGCUUGGGGGAGGCUUCUCUGGUUACUUAAUGCUUUGCUUGAUCAUCCUCUUAAGAAAAAUGAAAUACUUGAUAUCUUUUAUAAUGGACUAACCGAUGCUUCCAAGGACUACUUGGAUAGUUGUGCUGGUUGUGUUUUCAAGGAAAGAACAGUCGACAAAGCUGAAAUACUACUAAAUAAUAUGUUGACUAAUGAAAAUAAUUGGACUCUUCCUGAGCCAGUUCCUGAAGUAAUUUCUGAACCAAUUGAGCCAACUCCUGAGCCUAUUCCUAAACCCACUCCGAAGAAGAGAGGUGUUUUAUUUCUCAGUCCUGAAGAUAUGCAAGAGGCAAAGAAAUCAAUGAAAGAAAAAGGUAUUAAAGCUGAAGAUGUUAAGAAUUUACCUCCUAUUGAAGAAAUACAUGGUCUUAAUUUACCGCCUGAAGAACCACAUUGUCUUGAUAACCCGACACAGGUAGUAAAGGUAAAUUCUCUCUAUAGAUAUGAUAAAGUUGAAAUACCCUCUACUAAAUUUCAUAGCCCAUGCUUAGAUGAAUUUGAUGACUUUAUGGCUAGACAAGAAAGUUUUAAUGCUUAUGUUGGUAGAGAGUUAAAGAAUAAUGCUUUCGAGAUAGGACGCGUAGGUGAUAAUCUGGCUAGAGUUAAAGAUGAACUUCACCGCGUUAGCAAAUAUGCUUCUAUGGUUGCUACCCAAGCUGAGCAAGUACUCAAAGCUCAAAAUGAUUUGCUUGAUGAAUUAAAUAAUAAAAAUGACUUUGCUGUUAGAGUGGCUACUAGAAAUGGUAGAAUGACUCAGGAACCUUUGUAUCCUGAAGGCCACCCUAAGAGAAUCGAGCAAGAUUCUCAGAGAAAUAAUUUAGAGGCACCUAGUUCUUCUAAGAAGAAGAAAAAGAAAAAGAUAGAACCUUGCAUGCUUCUAAUGAACCUACUGUAGACACACCUGAGAAUCCCAAUGAUAUUUCUAUUUCUGAUGCUGAAACACAAUCAGGUGAUGAACAUGAACUUAGUGAUAAUGUUAAUGAUAAUAUUCAUGUUGAUGCUCAACCUAGCAAAAACAAUGAUGUAGAGAUUGAACCUGCUGUUGAUCUUGAUAAUCCACCAUCAAAGAAUCAACGUUAUGACAAGAGAGAUUUUGUUGCUAGGAAGCACGGUAAAGAAAGAGAACCAUGGGUUCAGAAACCCAUGCCCUUUCCUCCUAAACCAUCCAAGUCAAAGGAUGAUGAGGACUUUGAGCGCUUUGCUGAAAUGAUUAGACCUAUUUUCUUACGUAUGCGCUUAACUGAUAUGCUUAAAGUAAAUCCUUAUGCUAAAUAUAUGAAGGAUAUCAUCACAAUAAAAGAAAGAUGCCAGAAGCUGAAAUUUCCACCAUGCUUGCUAAUUACACUUUUAAGGAUGGAAUACCAAAGAAACUUGGAGAUCCGGGUGUACCAACUAUACCAUGCUCUAUUAAAAGAAAUUAUGUUAGAACUGCUUUAUGUGAUCUUGGAGCUGGUGUUAGUGUUAUGCCUCUCUCUUUAUAUCGUAGACUUGAAUUGAAUAAGUUGACACCUACUGAAAAUCUUUGCAAAUGGCUGAUAAAUCAACUGCUAUACCUGUCGGUAUUUGUGAGGAUGAGCCUGUUGUGGUUGCAAAUGUCACUAUCUUAACGGACUUUGUUAUUCUUGAUAUUCCCGAGGACGAUAGUAUGUCUAUUAUCCUUGGUAGACCUUUUCUUAAUCCUGCAGGGGCUGUUAUUGAUUGCAACAAAGGCAAUGUCACUUUUCAUGUUAAUGGUAAUGAGCAUACGGUACACUUUCCGAGGAAACAAUCUCAAGUUCAUAGCAUCAAUUCUAUUGAAAAAGUUCCAACUAUCAUUUUUGGAGGUUUUCAAUUUCCUCUCCCUACUGUCAAGAAAAAGUAUGAUAUUCUUAUUGUUGGGGAUUUUCAUAUCCCCGUUGAGGUAACUUAGUGUUAUUCGAAAUUUCUCCGGUUCCGUGUUAUUCGGAAUGAGUUUGUUAACAAGACUUGAUCAACCUUGUUAGUAGGUUCAUUUUGAUGAUCAUGAGAUGGAUGAAACUAGAAGGCACAACCUUCUGUACCCUCUUUUUACUUUCUGUUAUUUAGAAUAAAUAAGGCAAAAAUAGUAUUAUCUGUCUGUUUUCUGAUUUAUCCGUGCAUUAAAAAAUAGUUCGAAAAUCAAAGUGCUCCAAAUGCCCUGCAAAUUUAGUAUGAUUUUUUCUAGAAUAUUUGAGGAUUUUAGGCACUGAAAUCACUGCAGGAGGGCCAAGCACUAGGCCACGAGAGAGGAGGGCGCCCCCCUGUAGGGCGCGCUCCCUUGUCUCGUGGGCCCCUGGUAGCUCCCCUCCACUUAUGCCAGCACCCACACACUUCAUCUUCCACCCAAAAAAAUCCCCAUCCAGCUCAAGCCCGAGUUUUAGCUUGUUUUGCUGCGAUUUUCGAACUCUUAGAUCAAAGCUCCACUCACAAAACUACUUUGGGAGAUUGUUGCUUGGUAUGUGACUCCUCCAUUGGUCCAAUUAGUUUUUUUCUAGUGCUUUAUUCAUUGCAAAUUUUUGCUGCAUAGGUGACCAUGUUCUUGAGCUUGCAUGUUAAACUUUUGAGGUCCCAAGCAAUUCCAAUGCAUGAUAUAGGCUCUAGGCACUCGUAGGAGUAGUUGCUAUCAAUCUUGUUUAGUUUUAUCCCCUUUUAUUUUGAAGUUACUAAAAUUUCAGAAAUUUUCAGAAAAUGUUAAGGAGGUUCUUUAACGGCUCUUCUAGCCAAAGCUCUAAGGAAAAACAAGACAAAGAGAAGGAAAAACCCAAGUAUAAUCUUCCUCGCUUAGCGGAAGUACGGUCAUGUGAGGAUUUCUUGAAGGAAGCCGAAAUUCAUGAACACUUUUAUGCUUUAAUCGGGACUGCAGGCCUCACCGGUUUCAUGAACGACCGAAUCGAACAGUAUCUCUUACUUACCAAUACUUUCGUGCAAAAUUUUUAUUAUUAUCCUAAGAAGUCACCGCCUGCAGUAUCAUUUCAUUUAUAUGAUGAAUUCAAAGAAAUGUCUUUACGUCAUUUUUGCGCGGUAUGUAGGAUACCUUAUGAGGGAGAAUUAGAGGAACCCCAUCGUGAAGAUGUGGAUGGCUUCGUUAAAACUAUUGCUGUAGAAGAGCCAAAGGAGGGCUCUGAGGCAAAAGUCUCUAACAUACACUUUCCGGUUUUACGCUACUUUGCCAUAUUUGCUAGUAGAUGCUUGAUUGGUCAUGGGAAUAGUGGAAAUUUGAGUGUCCCAGAUAUUAUUAUUCUUCAACAUGCUUUGCUAGGGGACAAUACUUUUAGUAUGGGUGUCGUCAUUGCUAAACGGCUAGCCCUGAAUCGUACAAAAGGUCCCAUAUUUGGAGGUAUCUAUGCUGCACGUCUUGCUGAACAUUUUCAGAUACCCAUUAGGCACCUUGAGGAGGAGGAGACAAAAUUACCUCCUCACAUUUUAGAUUACAAGAGCAUGGUAGCACACAAGUUUAUUGUUGAUAACAAAGAGAAGAUGCUCUUGUAUAAACUUAGAUUUAAUAAGAAACACAUUGAGAUUAUUAUUUUGCCUGCACCUCUGUUAUUUGAUUUGCUUGUAGAAAAUCGCCAUGUCACGCCGGAGACGGUGAACAACCAUCUAGCCCAAGCUUUUACUCCGGAACCUGAACCUGAACCAGAACCUGAGCUGGACCCUUAUCGUGCAUCAUCUGUCUAGUGGGAUCCGGAGAUGACCAGCCAAUGGUAUCCUGAUUACACCUCCAACUACACCGGGGAGAAUAGCGGCGGUCCUUGGUACUAGACCAACUUAGGCCAAAAGCCUAAGCUUGGGGGAGUACAUAUUUCUCACCGACUUUACAUUCAUGUUCACACACUAGUCGUCGGUGCUCAUACUCUUUCAUUGUAUUAUCCUUGUUAGUUUAAAUUCCUUUUUAUAGCUUUCUUCUUGUGUGUUUGUUAAACCUUAAGAAGAACCAAAAAAAUAGUUAGUUUAAUUUCCCUGCUUGUAGUAGAAAUUAAAAUGAAAACCCAAAAAGAUUUUUCGUUCUUCUUUUACUUGUUGGGAGCUUUCCCGUGUAAAUAGUUUUAUUUCCUUUUCUUUCUUUUGGGGGUCGAGAAGACCAUAUUGAAAAUGCUUAGUGGCUCUUAUAUGCAUGAUUGUUUAUUUAUAUUUAGAGCCCAUAUUACUUGUCUUCUCUCUUGAGUUGAAUUCUUGCAGAUUCCAGCUUAGUCCAAUGCACGUGCACUCUUAUUAUUAUACACAUCGUUCGGUCAUGCAAGUGAAAGGCAAUAAUGAUGAUUUAUGAUGGACUUAUUGGGAUGAGAAAAGCGGGUAUGAACUCGACCUCUUUUGUUUUUGCAAAUAUGAUGAGUUCAUCGUUCCUCAGUCAGCUAUUAUGAAGUAAGCAUAUUUGCAAUGACAUUUAGAAAUUAUAGUUGCUUGUGCCAUGCUUGAUUAGCUAUGAGUUAUAAUGGUCUACCUUGCGUGCCGACAUGCUAUUAGAAUGAUUUUGAUGUGGUAUGAUGGGAUGGUAUCCUCCUUUGAAUGUAUUAAGUGACUCGACUUGGCACAUGUUCACGCAUGUAGUUGAAUCAAAUCAACAUAGCCUUCAUGAUAUUUAUGAUCAUGGUGGAUUAUAUCCUACUCAUGCUUGUUUUCGGUGUGAAUUAAUUUUAAUGCAUGCUUAUGACUGUUGUCGCUCUCUCAGUUGGUCGCUUCCCAGUCUUUUGCUAUCCUUCACCUGUACUAAGCGGGAAUACUGCUUGUGCAUCCAAACUCCUUAAACCCCAAAGUUGUUCCAUAUGAGUCCACCAUACCUUCCUAUAUGCGGUAUUUACCUGCCGUUCCAAGUAAGUUUGUAUGUGCCAAACUCCAAACCUUCAAAUGAAAUUCUGUUUUGUAUGCUCGAGCAGCUCAUGUUUCAACUAGGGCUGCCUAUAUCUUCCAUGCUAGGUGGGUUAUUCUCAAGAGGAGUGGACUCCGCUCCUCAUUCACGAGAAAGGGCCGGUAACCGGGAUUCCCAAUCCCAUGAUCCAAAAAGAUCAAAGCAAAUCAAAUUAAUUAAACAAAACUCCCCCAGGGCUGUUGUAUGUUAGAGGCACUCGUUGUUUCGAGCAAGACAUGGAUUGAUUCUUGUUGGUGGUUGGGUGAGUAUAAACCUUUACCAUUCUGUUUGGGAACUAUAUAUAAUGCAUGUAGUAUGGAAGAUACAACCAUCUCAUAGUUGUUGUGUUGACAGCGAAAGUAUGCCGCUCAAAAUGUUAUUCAAUCUCUAUUUUAAAAUCGAGCUCUAGCACCUCUACAAAUCCCUGCUUCCCUCUGCGAAGGGCCUAUCUAUUUACUUUUAUGUUGAGUCAUCACCCUUCUUAUUAAAAAGCACCCGCUGGAGAGCACACUGUUAUUUGCAUUCAUUAUUAUUGGUUUAUAUUGGGUAUGACUUGACUGGAUCUCUUUUACCAUGAAUUACAAUGUUUAGUCAGUCCUUGAUCUUUAAAGGUGCUCUUCAUUUAUGUUUUGCGGUCUCAGAAAGGGCUAGCGAGAUACCAUUUUUUUAUAUCAUGUUAUGAUUAUUUUGAGAAAGUGUUGUCAUCCGAGUUUUAUUAUUAUGGCUCGCUAGCUGAUUAUGCUAUUGAUAUGAGUAAUUGUGAGACCUAUGUGUUAUUGUGAGUAUGGUUAGUUCAUAAUAUUUGCUGAAACUUGAAUGCUGGCUUUUCAUGUUUACAACAACAAAAGCAAACAGAGUUUGUAAAAGUUUUUCUUUAUCACUUUCAGUUUAUCAACUGAAUUGCUUGAGGACAAGCAAAGGUUUAAGCUUGGGGGAGUUGAUACGUCUCCAACGUAUCUACUUUUCCAAACACUUUUGCCCUUGUUUUGGACUCUAACUUGCAUGAUUUGAAUGAAACUAACCCGGACUGACGCUGUUUUCAGCAGAACUGCCAUGAUGUUGUUUUAUGUGUAGAAAAGAAAAGUUCUCGGAAUGUCCUGGAAAUCCACGGAGGCACUUUUCAGAAUUAAUAAGAUUUUUUGGCGAAAGAAUCAAGGUCAGGGGGCCCAUGGGCUGUCCACGAGACAGCCCCCCCUAGGGCGCGCCCUCCUAUCUCGUGGGCCCCUUGGACCUCCUCUGACCUCAACUCCAACUCCAUAUAUACCGUCUCGAGGAGAAAAAAAUUGAGGAGAAAGUUUCAUCACGUUUCACGACACGGAGCCGCCGCCAAGCCCUAAUCUUUCUCAGGAGGGUUGAUCUAGAGUCCGUUUGGGGCUCCAGAGAGGGGGAUUCGUCGCCGUCGUCAUCAUCAACCAUCCUCCAUCAUCAAUUUCAUGAUGCUCACCGCCGUGCGUGAGUAAUUCCAUCAUAGGCUUGCUGGACGGUGAUGGGUUGGAUGAGAUUUACCAUGUAAUCAAGUUAGUUUUGUUAGGGUUUGAUCCCUAGUAUCCACUAUGUUAUGAGAUUGAUGUUGCUAUGACUUUGCUAUGCUUAAUGCUUGUCACUAGGGCCCGAGUGCCAUGAUUUUAGAUCUGAACCUAUUAUGUUUUCAUGAAUAUAUGUGUGUUCUUGAUCCUAUCUUGCAAGUCUAUAGUCACCUAUUAUGUGUUAUGAUCCGACAACCCCGAAGUGACAAUAAUCGGGAUACUUCUCAAUGAUGACCGUAGUUUGAGGAGUUCAUGUAUUCACUAUGUGUUAAUGCUUUGGUCUGGUUCUAUAUUAAAAGGAGGCCUUAAUAUCCCUUAGUUUCCGUAAGGACCCCGCUGAACACGGGAGGGUAGGACAAAAGAUGUCAUGCAAGUUCUUUUCCAUAAGCACGUAUGACUAUUUACGAAAUACAUGCCUACAUUACAUUGAUGAAUUGGAGCUAGUUCUAUAUCACCCUAUGUUAUAACUAUUGCACGAGGAAUCGCAUUCGGCAUAAUUAUCCAUCACUAAUCCAUUGCCUACGAGCUUUUCACAUAUUGUUCUUCGCUUAUUUACUUUUCUGUUGCUACUGUUACAACUACUACCAAAACCCAAAAACAUUUAUCUUUACUUUUGCUACCGUUACUAUUAUUAUCAUACCACUUUUGCCACUAAACACUUUGCUGCAGCUACUAAGUUAUCCAGGUGUGGUUGAAUUGACAACUCAACUGCUAAUACUCAAGAAUAUUCUUUGGCUCCCCUUGUGUCGAAUCAAUAAAUUUGGGUUGUACUUCACCCUCGAAACCUGUUGCGAUCCCCUACACUUGUGGGUUAUCAGUAGCAAGCAACUAAGCUUGGGGAUGCCCCGAGUGGCAUCCCCGCUUUCUUCUAACGACCAUCGGUAUUUUACUUGAAACUAUAUUUUUAUUCGUCACAUGAUAUGAGUUUUGCUUGGAGCGUCUUGUAUGAUAUGAGUCUUUGCUUGUUUUGCUUUGUAUUUUAAGUGUCGAAUCCUUGUUAGACACACCCUUUUUAGAGAGCCAAAAAUUAUGCUAUGCUUGCUCCUAUGCUUCACUUAAAUUUUUAGAGUCGUGGACUUGCUCUAGUACUUCACUUAUAUCUUUUUGAGCAUGGUGUGCUUUGUUAAGUUUGAAGAAAUGCUCUCAUGCUUCACUUAGAUUUAUUUGGGAGUUAGUAAAUUUGGAAGAAAUUCUCUCUUGCUUCACUUAGAUUAAUUUGAGAGAAAGAAAAAAUUAUGCUCAUGAUCUUCACUUAUAAUUGUUUGAGCCUACCAAAAGCAACAUAUGAAAAUAGUUCCAAAGUGAUAGAUAUCCAAGGAGGAUAUAAUAAAAAACUUUCAUGAAGAUCAUUGGACAAAAUAAACUUGAUUCUUAGUAAUGGUUUUGAGAUAUGAUGAUAUGAUAUGUGAGUCAUAUUGAUGAGUAAUUGUGCUUUAGUAAGAAUAUUGAUGUUAAGGUUUGUGAUUCCCUAUGCAAGCAUGAAAGUCAAUAGUUAUGCAAUGAAAUUUAUAUCCUACUCAUGGUGCAUUAUUCGAUGUUACUUAUGCUUAAUGCUUGGGUAUGAGAAUUUUCGCUUUUUGGUUGGUCGCUUAUCAAUCUUUUUGCUAGCCUUCAUUUUGCACUAAGUAUGAUCACUACUUGUGCAUCCAAAACCCUUUAAACCAGUUUUGCCAUAUGAGUCAACUAUACCUACCUAUAUGCGGUAUUUCUAUGCCGUUCUAAGCAAAUUUGCAUGUGCCAUCUCUAAUGUUCAAAAUAAAUUUCUCUUUUGUAUGCUUUACUACUCGCGAGGCGAUAAAGGGUAGCCAAUAUUUUCCAUGCUAGAUGUGUUAUUCUCACGAUGAGUGUUUAUUCACUUGUCAUUCAUGAGAGUACGAUAAAGGUAUUAGGGAUGAAAAAUGAAUUUAUUUUAUGUUGUCAAAUAAUAAAUUCCUUGGAAAGCGUUGGUAUGGAAGGCACCCAUGGAUAUGGCUAGCCAUGGAAAGUGAAAGUUAUGGUGGAAAAAGGAAUAAGCUUUAUUUUCUAUUUGGGAACCGCCUAUGAUGUACCUAGCAUGGAAAGUGUUGGGAUGCUCCAAGUCGUUUUCGUUGGUAGGAAAAGUAUGCCUCUCAAAAAAUAAUUUUAUCUCUCAAUUUAAGCUUUGAGCUCUGGCACCUCUACAAGUCACUACUUCCCUCCACGAAGGGCCUUUCUUUUACUUAUGAAAAUUUUAUUUUGAAUUUGAGUCUCCAUCUUCUCUUGUAAAGCACCAACUAAGGGGCACUAUGAUUGUAUUUGAGCAUUGGGUGUAGCUAAUAUUCGAGUGUGUUUCAUGAAUGGAUCAAUGAUUGAGCAUGAUGGGCUAGGGAUAACUUGCUUUAGAGUUGAUAUUUUGAAAGGCAUGGUUGCUUGUUAGUAUGCUUGAGUAUUAAAGUCUUCAUGUCAAAACUAGACUAUUGCUUUGAAUCAUAUAAAAGACCAUAUGACCAUGCUAUAAAGAAAAGAAUGUGAUGAACAUGUUAGGCAACAUUCCACAUCAAAAAUUCUGUUUUUAUCAUUUACCUACUAAAGGACGAGCAGGAAUUAAGCUUGGGGAUGUUGAUACGUCUCCAACGUAUCUAUAAUUUUUGAUUGUUCCAUGUUGUUAUAUUAUCAUUCUUGGAUGUUUUACAAUCAUUUUAUAGUCAUUUUAUAUCAUUUUUUUGGUACUAACCUAUUGACAUAGUGCCAAGUGCCAGUUGCUCUUUUCUGCAUGUUUUUUACAUCGCAGGAAAUCAAUAUCAGACGAAGUCCAAAUGCCACGCCACUUUAAGAUGAUUUUUUAUGGACCAAAAGGAAUAAGUUGGGCCCUGGUUGCACCUUGGGGGAGUCCCGAGGAGGGGACAACCCACCAGGGCGCGCCAGGAGGCCCAGGCGUGCCCUGGUGGGUUGUGCGCACCUCGGGCGUCCCCUGGAUCGCCUCUUUGCUCUAUAAAUACCCCAAUAUUCCAGAAACCCUAGAGGAGUCGAUGAAAUAUUCAUCUAGCCACCGCAGAGUCCAGAACCACCAGAUCCAAUCUAGGCACCAUCUCGGAGGGUUCACCACUUCCAUUGGUGCCUCUCCGAUGAUGCAUGAGUAGUUCUUUGUAGACCUACGGGUCCGUAGUUAGUAGCUAGAUGGCUUCCUCUCUCUCUCUCUCUCUUGAUUAUCAAUACAAUGGUCUCUUGGACAUCCAUAUGAUGCAAGUCUUUUUGCGGUGUGUUUGUUGGGAUCCGAUGAACUUUGAGUUAAUCAUCAGAUCUAUGUUUUUAACCAGGAAAGUUAUUUAAUUCUUCUUUGAUCUCUUAUAUGCAUGAUUGCUUAUAGCCUCGUAUUUCUUCUGCGAUAUUUGGGUUUUGUUUGGCCAACUUGAUCUAUUUAUCUUGCAAUUGGAAGAUGUGCUUUGUAGUGGGUUCGAUCUUACGGUGCUUGAUCCCAAUGAUAGAAGGGGAACCGACACGUAUGUAUCAUUGCUACUAUGGAUAACAAGAUGAUAUCUAUAUCUUCCAUAAUAGAUAAACGGAUCUUGUCUACAUCAUGUCAUCGUUCUUAUUGCAUUACUCCGUUUUUCCAUGAACUUAAUACACUAGAUGCAUGCUGGAUAGCGGGCGAUGUGUGGUGUAAUAGUACUAGAUGCAGGCAAGAAUCAGUCUACUAAUCUUGGACGUGAUGCCUAUGUAAUGAUCAUUGCCUGGAUAUCGUCAUGAUUAUUUGAAGUUCUAUCAAUUGCCCAAGAGUAUUAUUUUCCCACCAUUUGCUAUUUUUCUCGAGAGAAGCCACUAGUGAAACCUAUGGCCCUCGGGUCUCUUUUCAUCAUAUCUGCCUUUGCGACCUAUUUUCUCUUGCAUUUAUUUUUAGAUAUAUUAAACCAAAAAUACAAAAAUACCUUGCUGCAAUUUAUUUGUUCCGCGAUCUAUUUAUCCUAUCUACCACUUUUUACCUCACGUUAUUUUCCCACUAGAGGCGUCGUACCCCGAAAGGGAUUGACAACCCCUUUAACACGUCGGGUUACGAGGUGUUGUUCUUUGUGUGCAGGGGCUGUUUUACGUUGUUUUGCUUGGUUCUCCUACUAGUUCGAUGACCUUGGUUUCAUAUCUAAGGGAAAUACCUACCGCCACUGUGCUGCAUCAUCCCUUCCUCUUUGGGGAAAUACCGAUGUAGCUUCAAGCAACAUCAGUUCACCACUUCCAUUGGUGCCUCUCUGAUGAUACGUGAGUAGUUCUUUGUAGACCUACGGGUCCGUAGUUAGUAGCUAGAUGGCUUCCUCUCUCUCUCUCUCUUGAUUAUCAAUACAAUGGUCUCUUGGAGAUCCAUACGAUGCAAGUCUUUUUGCGGUGUGUUUGUUGGGAUCCGAUGAACUUUGAGUUAAUCAUCAGAUCUAUGUUUUUAACCAGGAAAGUUAUUUAAUUCUUCUUUGAUCUCUUAUAUGCAUGAUUGCUUAUAGCCUCGUAUUUCUUCUGCGAUAUUUGGGUUUUGUUUGGCCAACUUGAUCUAUUUAUCUUGCAAUUGGAAGAUGUGCUUUGUAGUGGGUUCGAUCUUACGGUGCUUGAUCCCAAUGAUAGAAGGGGAACCGACACGUAUGUAUCAUUGCUACUAUGGAUAACAAGAUGAUAUCUAUAUCUUCCAUAAUAGAUAAACGGAUCUUGUCUACAUUAUGUCAUCGUUCUUAUUGCAUUACUCCGUUUUUCCAUGAACUCAAUACACUAGAUGCAUGCUGGAUAGCGGGCGAUGUGUGGUGUAAUAGUACUAGAUGCAGGCAAGAAUCGGUCUACUAAUCUUGGACGUGAUGCCUAUGUAAUGAUCAUUGCCUGGAUAUCGUCAUGAUUAUUUGAAGUUCUAUCAAUUGCCCAAGAGUAAUUAUUUUCCCACCAUUUGCUAUUUUUCUCGAGAGAAGCCACUAGUGAAACCUAUGGCCCUCGGGUCUCUUUUCAUCAUAUCUGCCUUUGCGACCUAUUUUCUCUUGCAUUUAUUUUUAGAUAUAUUAAACCAAAAAUACAAAAAUACCUUGCUGCAAUUUAUUUGUUCCGCGAUCUAUUUAUCCUAUCUACCACUUUUUACCUCACGUUAUUUUCCCACUAGAUGCGUCGUACCCCGAAAGGGAUUGACAACCCCUUUAACACGUCGGGUUGCGAGGUGUUGUUCUUUGUGUGCAGGGGCUGUUUUACGUUGUGUUGCUUGGUUCCCCUACUAGUUCGAUGACCUUGGUUUCAUAUCUAAGGGAAAUACCUACCGCCACUGUGCUGCAUCAUCCCUUCCUCUUUGGGGAAAUACCGAUGUAGCUUCAAGCAACAUCAGUUCACCACUUCCAUUGGUGCCUCUCUGAUGAUACGUGAGUAGUUCUUUGUAGACCUACGGGUUCGUAGUUAGUAGCUAGAUGGCUUCCUCUCUCUCUCUCUCUCUCUUGAUUAUCAAUACAAUGGUCUCUUGGAGAUCCAUAUGAUGCAAGUCUUUUUGCGGUGUGUUUGUUGGGAUCCGAUGAACUUUGAGUUAAUGAUCAGAUCUAUGUUUUUAACCAGGAAAGUUAUUUAAUUCUUCUUUGAUCUCUUAUAUGCAUGAUUGCUUAUAGCCUCAUAUUUCUUCUUAGAUAUUUGGGUUUUGUUUGGCCAACUUGAUCUAUUUAUCUUGCAAUGGGAAGAGGUGCUUUGUAGUGGGUUCGAUCUUACGAUGCUUGAUCCCAGUGACAGAAGGGGAACCGACACGUAUGCAUCAUUGCUACUAAGGAUAACAAGAUGGGGUCUAUAUCUACAUAAAAUAUAUAAAUAGAUCUUGUCUACAUCAUGUCAUUGUUCUUAUUGCAUUACUCCAUUUCUCCAUGAACUUAAUACACUAGAUGCAUGCUGGAUAGCGGUCGACGUGUGGAGUAAUAGUAGUAGAUGCAGACAGGAGUCAGUCUACUAAUCUUGGGCGUGACGCCUAUAUAAUGAUCAUUGCCUGGAUGUCGUCAUGAUUAUUUGAAGUUCUAUCAAUUGCCCAACAAUAAUUGUUUUCCCACCGUUUGUUAUUUUUCUCGAGAGAAGCCACUAGUGAAACCUACGGCCCCUGGGUCUCUUUUCAUCAUAUUUGCCUUUGCGAUCUAUUUUCCUUUGCAUUUAUUUUCAGAUCUAUUAAACCAAAAAUACAAAAAUACCUUGCUGCAACUUAUUUUUUCCGCAAUCUAUUUAUCCCAUCUACCACUUUUACCUCACGUUAUUUGCCUAUCUUGAGGCGCCGUACCCGAAAGGGACUGGCAACCCCUUUAACACGUCGGGUUGCGAGUAUUUGUUAUUUGUGUGUAGGUGUUGUUUACGUGGUGUGAGGAGGUUCUCUACUGGUUUGAUAACCUCGGUCUCAUCACUAAGGGAAAUACCUACCGUCGCUAUACUGCAUCAUCCCUUCCUCUUUGGGGAAAUACCGACUUAUCACGCGUGUGGAGGUCGAGGCGCCUCCGUUUUGGCCCGUUGGGCGGCAACAUUUCGAGUUGAUCUGCGCACGACAAUGAUCUCAUUUCACCAGGGCGAAAAUUGCUCUAUCUCAAUCUAGCCGCCUUGCUUCACUGGAUGAUGAACAAGUGGUGGUUGAUGCACGGUUCCUCCGUGAGAAUGAAUCCAUUUCCGUUGGUGACCAAGUUUCCUUCCCCUGCUCCAUUGCCACGGUGGGAGGAUGAACUGAUCUAAGAUCUUCAUCUGCAUCCGAGACGAUCAUUCACCCCCCCCCUUGAAAAGAUUUUGCCGGGGCAUGUGGUGGAUCAAAGCUAUGAACCUACUUUGAAUCAGAAUCUACAUCUAGAUCUUUGUUCAAUCAUGGAGUUCCAGAGAUUCAUUUGGCAAAAGUUUAACUCCCAAGUUGCUUUGACUCAUGGACGAGGUGCACGAGAGUUCUUUUCGGUGGCUUCUUUCGAGCGACACAAACACAUGUUGUACUGUUCAAAUGUGAGUGAGUAUCUUAGGUCAUGCCUGGGUGGUAUUGCACUUGAUUUCAGAGUAUGUCUCCCGCGAGAUCAAACUUUUCGCUGUUCAGUCUUCUCUAAAAAAGUGGGUUUUGCUAUGAAUGCCCUUAAAAGUUAUGAAUGUUCAGAAUUCAUGGUGUAUUUCAGCCUGUGGGGCAAUGGCGGACUUGAUUUUAUCAGAGAGUACAAAUUGUGGGAAGAGGAGGAGCUGUGCUCUUAGACUGUAGUAGGGAAAAAGAAAGCAAUCACCAGGCUGGACUCUGUUGGUAACGUUACUCAGCAUCGCCCGAGCUUUGGUCCCAAAGAUGGGGUCUAUUCUUACAUGAAUAGAUCUUGUCUAAAUCAUGUCAUCGUUCUUAUUGCAUUACUUUGUUUCUCCAUGAACUUCAUACACUAGAUGCAUGUUGGAUAGCGGUCGAUGUGUGGAGUAAUAGUAGUAGAUGCAGACUGGAGUCGGUCUACUAAUCUUGGACGUGAUGCCUAUAUACAUGAUCAUCGUCUUGGAUAUCGUCAUAAUUGUUUGCUUUUCCAACAGUAAUUUAUUUACCCACAAUAUGCUAUGUUCUCGAGAGAAGCCACUAGUAAAAUCUACGGCCCCCGGGUCUAUUUCUCAUAAUAUAUUUUCAGAUCUAUAUUUCUAUUUGUGUUUCCAAUUUAUUUACCUCUUUUGUUUGAGAUCUAUAUUAUCAAAAACCCAAAAAUAUCUCAUUGAGUUUUAUUUGCUUUUAUUUGAUUUGCAUCUAUCAAUCUACCUAUUUAUCAUAUUUCAAUACCUUGGAGGGACUGACAACCCCUCUACGCGUUGUGUUGCGAGGAUUUGUUGUUUGUGUGUAGGUGUUGUCUGCAUAGUUUUGCUUGGUUUCCCUACUGGAUUGAUAACAUUGGUUUCAUAACCGAGGGAAAUACUUACCGACACUAUGCUGCAUCAUCCCCUCCUCUUCGGGGAAUUUACUGACGCGGAUCACAAGUAGCAGCGAUCGCUUCGUAGUUUCAUUGACCGUAGAUGAUUAAUUUUGUGUUCAUGUUUGUACCUAUUUUGGGUACCGGGAAGAACUCCACGGCGGCGUUAUCAUCCUCCAGCACGCCCACCUGCACCCGAGCCACCGGCCCUGGGGCCGGCUCGACCCUCCUCGCCUCCUGUCGUCCUGCUCCAGGGGCUCUAACCGGCUCCUGGCGCGGUGAUCCCGCCUCACGUACUGCUGCUCCUGCUGAGCGAGACCGCUGGAUCAAUGAAGGAGGUGCUCACCGGCGGAAGGGGCACGUACUGCUGCUGCUGCUACUGAGCGAGCAUGCUGGAUCGAUGUAGGAGAUGCUCACCGAUGGCGGGGGCACGUGCUGCUGCUGCUGAGCGAGCAUGCUGGAUCGAUGCAGGAGAUGCUCACCGGCGGCGGGGGCACGUGCUGCUGCUGCCGAGCGAGGUAGACGACGACCUCCCACGCGCCAAGCACCGCGGUUGUCGCGUCAUCCAUCUAUGUGGGCACUGCUUGGCUAGGAGGAGGCGAUCGUGGAGGGGACCGGCUUGGUGGUUCGGCCGGGCGCGGUUGGAGUUGGGGGGAGUAGACGAGGUGGUGGGGUGUGGUGCAGUCUCACAAGUACUCGCCAGUGAGGUAGACGGUGGCGCGACGCCGAGUCCGACGGUGGCCGUGGUGCCCAAGUCCGACGACGAGGGCGAACUAGUUGUUGGCGUCGUCGUCGUCAUCCACCGCAGUCGCGCGUGGCGAUGGUGGGCGCGUUGUCACCACCCUGGUACAAGGUGUCGAGGCAGAGCGCGUUCAACAGUGGCCGCGUCGAACUAGUCCGACAGGGGUGUGACGAACUAGUCUCCGUAACUGUGUGUUAAAUGUGUGUUAUACAUAGAUGUUAACUCUUAAUCAUAUCCCGUGUAUAUAACCAAUGAGUUAAAUACACUACAGAUGCCCUAACUUGUCCGACGCGGUCAGUUUGGUGCCUAAACUUGAAAAAUACAUAAAAGUGGUACCGUAACUUGUCUAGGCGUUCAAAUACGGUACCUCUGGACAUAUGCCGCCGUAUCAAGUGCCCGUAUGGCACGUCAGCGUGUCGCUGGGCCACAUGUCGGUGGUUGCAGGCGUGUUGUGAGCUGUGCGUGUAGUUUUUCACAGAAAUACCCUUGGCUUUAGUUAAUUUUCAAAAAAAAUCGUUGCGGGCGGUGGACGCACGCUGUUUUUCUUAGGAGAACGCGCCUGUACUUUAAUUAAUUUUCACAAAAAUAUAAACACAAGAUUGCCUGACGGGAAUUCGAACCACGGACCUCCUUGUUGCCUAACAAAUAAGCGGACUAAGGCCACACGUAUUCCUACAGUGUGUUCUGGAGUACUGCUUCGUUUUUUUAAGUGAAGUUUCUGUUUAAUUUUCAUUAUACAUAAAUUUUCCCAAAUAUAAAAUAACUAUCAAUAUGCAAUUAUUGUUUAUUUCAUAUCUGCUUUCAUUAUUGUGUACCUUGAAGAGAUAAACAUGAAAAUUUUCUAAAAUUUAUGUGGAUAUAAAAGGUUGAUCGUAUAUUAAAAAUUAUUGUGUAAAAUUAUGCAUCUUCAUAAAGGACCAUAAGCACGAACAAUUAUUUUCUAUCUUCAUUCUAUUUUUAAAAUGCACAAUUAUUUAAAAUUGACAAUAUUGUAUUUUAAAAACUCAUGAACGUGUAUUAAUUGUUAUUGUCUGACAAUAAUAAAUUCUAGAAAUGUACUAACAUGUCAAGUGUGUUUGUAGAGACUUAAGAAUAAUAUUACACAUUUUUUAAUACGCAUUCAACAUUUUCAAAAAACACAGUGAGCAUUUUCUAAAAUAAUAGGAAAAUGAACGCGAACGUGUAUUUCAAAAAAUGCUCACCGUGUUUCUAAUAUACGUUCAACUUUUAAAUUCUACAUCAAUUUUAGAAAAAGUUCAUGUUUAUCUCUUCAAAGUACACAAUCAUGGAAAUAGAAUAGAGAAAUAAAAUAAACAAUAAUUUCGCAUUACAAUUAUUUAAUGUUUUCAUAUGAAAAAAAUUUAUGUAUAUGAAAACUAAACAGAAAUUUCGCUCGAAGGAAAACAAGAUAGUAACUUAGAAAUAAAUAAAAAGAAAAAUACUCCUGUAAAAGUAUAUGCAAAGCGACAAGUACAAUCAUCUAUAUAAACUGCUUGCUGAUAAUUAAGCGCACACCAGACCGUGGCCGCCUGGUCCGCUCGAUUGUCAGGUGACGAGGAUAUCCCAUGUCCGAAUUCCCUGCACGCUCGCUUCCUGAUAUUUUUUUGCGAGUAUUAAUUAAAAUGAAGGAGUAUUUUUGCGAGAAUUAAUUAAAAUCAAAGGGCAUUUCUGUAAAAAAACACGCAUAGCUCACAGUGUGUCCAACGCCUACAAGAACUGACAUGUGGCCCAGGGACACAAUCGCAUGCCACGCGGACACUCGAUUCAGCGGCAUACGUCCAAAGGCACCACAUUUAAACGCCCAGACAAAUUACGACACCACUUUUGUGUAUUUUUCAA
rnacentral:lncRNA from 1 species